UUUUUUUUUUUUUUUUUGUCUCUUUGAGUCCAAAUUACUGAAAACCUACAUUCCGUCACACAAUUAACAUAACCAAAUAUACCUAAUUUUAAUCAAAGAUUAUAAUUACAAAUAAAAAAGACUUACCAAACCCAAACAAAAAAAAGAUCUCAGUCUGCUGCAGAGAACCAUACAUUUGUGAGACAAGUUGCCAUCAUUAAUAUAGAUGCUCAGCUGGCAAGUUUAGCAAAAUAAACUAAAGAAUGGCAUGCUAAUUAAUUAAUGUAGUACCUAGUUCUUUAAAUUUUGCAGCUGUAUCAGAAAUCCACCAAAAUUAUAAUUCUGCAAUGAUGGGGUUCCAUUAUUAUUAGGGGUCCCCUCGUUCCUUCCUCUCUAACCAACAAAAGAAGUGAAGUUUACAGAAGAAAGAAAGGAAAAAUUAACUGGAAAAAAAAAAACAGUUAUUCUAAUCUAAAUGCAUCAGUGAAGUUGGUAAUGAAUUUCCAGGACCAUUUGCAUUGAAAAUUCAAUUUUUGAAUUCAAAACUUUUCUUUUCUUUUUUUUUUGGUGGGAUUGAUGCAUACACAAGAUAAUCAACCGCACAAGAAUUAAUUACAGACAUGUGGGAUGAAAACUAACACCUUAGAUUAUAGACUGAACUCAGCAUUCAAAACUUUAGUCAAGAAUACAUAAUAACUAGUGACUAGUCAAAAUGCUUACCCGGAUUGUACUGCAUUACUCUGAUGGAUGAAUUUAUGCAAGAAGUAGAGAACCAAAUAUUAUACACUUCAUCAGUUUAAGUUUCCCUCUCCUUUCUCUCCGUUGUUUUACCCGUUGCCGGAGUUUUAAGUUCCAUUUUCUCCUCCUUCCGUCUCUCUCUCUCUCUCUCUCUCUCUCUCUCUAUAUAUAUGGCUUUAAGAUUAUUCCUGCAGCUUUGUAGUAGUUGAAGUAGAUUGAUUAAUGUGUGGUCAAUCGUAUACUUCUUGCAAGAUUUAUUGUCCCUUUGUUAUGCCUUCCAAGUAAAUCAUGCUGUUACGGUAAUCUGGAUUACUUUUCCAGGCGGUGGACACUUCUUAAGCUAAAUUAAAGAAUUCGAGAUACCUACUCCUAAUCCAUUCGAAAACAGAUUGAGAUUAUAGUUUAAAGGAUUCUAUUUACGAGCUCAGUUCAGUUUUCUCAAAAUCCAAGCUCCAAAAAGUAUAGUGGACAUACCUAAUUAUUGCUCUACUGAAAAUGGUUUAUUUUGGAUGGGAAUGUGAUCGAUUUGUCACCUAAGAUUGUUUUGAUCAAAAUGGGCAGAGGCACAAAUCAACGGGUGAAGAAUCCAGAGGGAUAAAACCCUACAAAGGAAGAAACCCUCAAAUUGGUCACCACCACUUGUUUCUUUGAUCAUUUCUUAACGCAUUCUCAAAUUGGGUUGGAAGCAAAAGAAUUCAACAUUUAUAAUUUAUUCGAGUUCUAAAAAACUAUUCAAGAAUAUACAUGACUGGCAAUGAAUCAUUCAUUUUCUCACUUUACAUAUCAGUGGAUGAAUUGUGAUUACUUGGAUAGUAUAUAUACAGGUACGGGGAAUACGUCAAUGCAAGAAGUUUUUCAAAUCUGGAACUUGCUCAAGGUCUACUUGUAAGACAAGCAAUUUCCCUUCCCUGGCAAUUCUUACAUCGCGUGGACUCCAUGCAUGCACAUGGCUGUCUUUCUGUAAGCUGGAGCAGUUACUUUUUUUUCGGAAAUAACAACAGUUGUAUAACCUAAUCUAUUCUACACUAAGGGGAGGGACGGAUCUAAGGAGGUCCAGAAAUAACUCGGAAGGGGACUGAACCACUACCAAAUCAAACGAGUGCACAAUACACCCGUCUGAAUUUUUUGAAACAAAUCACUUAAAUGUGGUAUUUUGACCUCCCACUUCACCAAGCUAGGUGGUGGGCUGGUGGUUAGCUGGAGCAGUUACUUGGUCAAAGCUCCAUUAUAAUUUCCACAGCCAGGCAGUGCUUUUGUCACAUGAUAAGGUUUCCCACCACGUGCAAUACUACCGUCUUCAAUCAAAACAAAUUAUUAUCAUCAGUUAAAGUGUCCCCAAGAUUAGGUAACUUAAUUGCAUGGGGGGAUCAGAAGGACAAGGAGCUCAAAAAUGGAAGAAAUUAAGGGAGAUUGUGCAAUGAACUUUUUUCAUCCAGUUGUACAUGGCUCGUUUUAUUUUAUUCCAAAAGUGAGAUGACUAAAUAUGUUCAUCAAUAUCUAUGAGACAGAGUUUUUGAAUUUUUAAGUAUUUUUUUUUUUCAAGUUUUCUAGGGUAUGGUUGUGGACAGUUGUUCGAGUGAUUUUCACUCUUGAAAUUUGAUUCUGGCAUUGCUUAGAAUAGUUCAUUUGGUUUUGCAUCUGCCCUAUUUCUCCAGUAGCAUUAUUCUUUUGGCAAGUUAACAUACAAAAAGAAAAAGAGUGGAUUCUAGGGAGAUUACAGUCGUGAGUGGGGCUAUGUGGUGGAAUUCCAUAUGAUGAGAUUGUCUGCUACUACAUGAUUUCGUGAAAGCAUCUCAGUCAUUUCGCAAUCUUCUUGUUUCAGGUUAAAUAGGAGCACCAUUUAUUGGUCAGUUCACUAAUAAUUACAGAACUUUUAUGUAGAUAAAACAUGAUCUGCUUUACAUAACCAUGAAAGUAGUUCUCCGUCAAUGCAAAAAUCCAUCUCUCCUUCAUUAUUUUAUUUCCAGUAAUUUUUUUGAAGACUUGGAAACACAGAAAUCUGAGUGCAGAGUCAGCAACAGCAGGUCCAGCCCAGUGAUUCAGACAGUAGGCAGCCUGGAUUGAAAGUUUUAAAAAAUUUCAAGAGCCAGGUUUUACACACACACAAAAUCCACAGGCCUGAUACUGAGAAUCAACUCUAUUCUGUUUGCUCAUACAAUUACAGGCCCGCGUCAACUUAUUCUGUGAACCCAUGCGUAUACCACGCCAAUUCUCUAUGAGCUUAUUAAGUUUAUUUCUCUUUUAUUGGAGAAGCAUGUUCAGACGAAGGGAUUCAAGGCCUUUGCAAUCGUCCGUUUCAAUUGCAAUUAACACCAUACACUAAUUUGUUAGAUUUUGAUUUAGCGAUCAAAGUUAAAUCCCCACGAGUCGGAGAUUUUAAACUCAAAUUUCACUAUGUGUGAAUAUAUGUGAAUUUCAUCUUUCACUGCUGAUUGUUCUCCAUUUUUUUUUUUUUAAUAAGUUGAAGGUCUUGAAUCUAGAAUCUACCACUCAAUCCAAUCCUCCCCUCUCAUCUUCUAGUAAUAAGUUUAUUUGUGAUAUCAAUGAGUUAGUAAAUUUCUCGCUUCAUAAAUUAGUUUAUGCAUUCCAUGAUUCUAGAAAUUAUACCAACAGUGGAGGAUGCACUAAAACGAUCAUUGUCGAUAAACAACAAGAUGAAUAGAGAAAACUAACGUAAUAAUCAAAACAAACUUCAUCCUAAUUAUGUCUUACAUUUGGUUACAUAAAUCCAAUGUCAAAUGAUAUCCCAAUUGAGUCAUUAACCGAAACUUGCAAUUGCCGAGUAGUUUCUUAAUGUCACGGAUUGUUUGUUUUCAGAUGAACGUAGCGUACUUGAACAGCCGCUCCACCACAAUAAAAAUGUGUCAGGAGUCAGGACUACUAUAUACAGUGUGCGAUCCAUGUCGUGGAGGUUGGGUGCGAUCCGUGUCAUCAAGAGCCCAAGACAUCAGCACGACAAGAGUAGGUGCCUACUCCCAGUCAUUGCAUCGUUGUCGGUGUUGCGGUUAAAGCUUUGUCAGGCCAAGAUAUGGACGUCAUCAUUACAUCACAAAGUCGACUAGGCUUUGUUUUGGGAUAAUUUCAGAAACUUCCCUGAGGUUCGUGACAAUUUCACUAAACUGUCUCGAGAUUUUAAAAAUUAUACUUACCUCCCUUAGGUUGACAUUUUUGUAACAAAGCCUUAAACUUGGUCAAAAUUUUAAAUGAAAAACCUAAAAUGUCCUUAGUUUAUAAAGUUUAAAUUACUGAUCAUUCCAAACCAUUGAAAAAUAAUUCAACACAAAUGUAAAGGAAAAAUGUCAAGUGUUCAAUACAAAUCUAAGAGAAGAGUGUCAAGUUUCUAAUGCUCAUUUAUUGUUUGAUAAGCAACAACAAUAAUUCUAUCAUUAUGAUACGAUAUUAUGGUACUUUUCUAUAGAUAUAUAUAUAUAUAUUCCUUUUAUGUUGCUGAAGAGAGCGUCGUCAUAAUUCUUGUAGAAUUUGUGGAUUUUUAAAUUUGGUAGUUCUCUCUUUUUGAGUUAUUGUUACUUUUGAUUAAAAAAAAUUGGUCACAUUCAAAGUUUGUUAAGGAAAAUAUAAAUAUAUAUAUAUCACUAGUCCAACAUUUGAUAAUCAUAGAGGUUAAGGUCAAUGUUAAUAGUUCUAUGGUUUUACUGCCAAAAUAUAAAAAGGAGAAAUAAGAAGAGAAAAUGAAAAGAUUAAAUAAUUAUAAAAUCUAUCUUUUGUAUAAGCAUGCCCAACAAGAAAUUUUAUUAAAAUGUUAAAACUAGUUUUUUUAUUGUCAUUUUAAAUGGACGAGGGAAGUAAAUAUAAUUUUUAAAACUUCAAGGAAAUUUAGUGAAAUUGUUAUAAAUUUCAGGAGAGGUUUCUAAAAUUAUACCUUUUGUUUUUGGAGAGAGAGAGAGUGUGUAUAUGUGUGUGUGUGUUUGUGAAGUUUAUGCAGUCGUUGCAUUGCAUCAGUUCAUUUUCUGCAUCAGAGUCUUCUUUAGAACAAUUCUUUAUUUCUAGAAAAUGGAGCACUGAAUGGAAAUAAAAACGAAAAUUUCCUAGUCACUCGCAAUAACUUCUUGGAAUACAGCAUUUGGAAUAUCAAAAAGGCCCUUUUUCACCCUUUUGGGUUUCAAAGACAUUAGGCAUUGCUAACUUGGAAUUUGAAUACGAGAAAAAGAAAACAAUAAAGGGCUUAGCCAGCAGUAAACAACGAACGGUAAUUACAUCUUUUUUGUUUUGCUCUUUUUCUAAAUUUUAAGAUGCAGAUCGAGAAGACUUAACAAGGGCCAAUAUUCAAAAAAUGCGAAAAGAAAUUUGCAAAAAGAAAAAGGACACUACGGAUAGAGAAGGCAUGCUAGCAUUAACUGCAUGCUACUAGUAGCAUUUCCUCUGGGAAUAAAAAAAAAAAAAAAAAAAAAGUGGCUAGUACGUUAGUUCAAGUCCUAGGAAUCUCCGAAACAGAGACUGCAUGAUCACCAGAGGGGUGGAUUUUCUUGAACAUGGCAAAAAAGCAACUGCCAGAAGUGGGCUUCCCAGUUUGAUGAUUGCCAUGAUGAUGAUCAGCAUGGACCACUUUUCCUGAUCCAGAAGCGGCUGCCAGCUCUUCCAUUUUUUUUGUCAUCUUCAUUUUCUGAAGCUUCUUCAUUACCACGAUCUCUGCAAAACCAAUGCUAGGAGUUGACAUGAUAGCUGGAUUAGAGGGCAAAGAAGAAGGCUAAGAAUUGUGCUAGUAGAAUAGAAGAAUGGGGAGGUUGGAGGUUUGAUUGUGAAAUAUAUACUGAUCAGAGUGUUAUAGGUUUCUUGGCUGUGUUGCAAUAAAAUGAAUGAGGCAUUUGUUUUUCUGAAAUCUGGGAACUAUUUGGACUAAGUGGGAGACACAUUAAAUGCCCACAAGACAAUUGAAAAAACAAUGGCAGAAGCCGUGGGAAACAUAAAUCUCUUAAGUAGGGUCCCCGAAUUGGAGAGGACUUGGAAUUUUCCCCCCCUCAACACACUUCUGGGGUGUAGAUGUCUAACAGGCUAUAAAGAUUUUUAUCUGAUUUUCACGUUUUCCUUUCUUUUGCUAACUAUCAUCGUGGUCAUGGAAUGUCAAUGUGCUUUCAGACAAAUAGUAGGAAAUAGAGAAUUGAUGCUAGUGUGCAUCUUUGCAAAUAUUUUUUUAAAUUUUUCAAAUUUAUAUUUUUAUGGACUAUAAUUUUAUGAUGUUAUGGUAGUACUAACAAUUGUUUCUUAGAUGGUUUUUUUUUUUUUUGGGAGUAAAUAAUUUGGCUUAGGAGUAUAUUUAUUAAGCAAAAUGAGCAAAUGGUAUUUUUAGGAUUUUUAAAAAUUUUGUUACACCAAUAACAAAGAUAAGUGAAGUAAGUGAUAUCUUUAAAAUUUUAAGAAUGUUAAGUAAUAUUAAGAGAUACCUCAUGAGAGGUUCUGAUAUUAUCCCUAGUACUUAAUAUCUAUUUUCGAUAUGGUGAUUUCUGCCAUAUUAAAAAUGGUACUUUUCGUAAUGCGGGCAAUGAGCAUAUGCCUAAAUAAGAAUUUUUGUGAGUGGAGUUGAUAAAGAAAGGUUUAAAAACUAAGGGAAAAAAGUCCCAAUGGCUCACGAACUUUUAACUACAUAAGGUUUUAGCCCUUCAAUAUUUAGAAGUAAACUUUUGGCCCCCGAUCUAUCAAUAAUGUAAAUUGCUGGUCCUUCUGUGAAUUCUGGCCGUUUAUGUGUGACAAAAAUGAGGACAUUUUUGUCCAUUCAGGAAUAUUAAUCGAAUAUCCAAAGUAUCAAUGGACACCUCAAUCAAAAUGGACAUUAACUCACAAAUAUACACAGGAAAAAACCUCAAAAAUCCCAUUUUUUCAUUCUCUUUUUAAUAUUUUCACACAAUUAAGUGGAUCUGAAACCAAACCUUAUGUACCUCCUCCUCUAUGCACUUUUCUCCAUGUGAAAUUGAGUGAGAGAGAGAGAUAGCAAUAAGACAAAAAAAAAUAUUCAGCAAUGGAGAGAGGAGGUGGCGAUGGAUCUUUGCAAUUGAUGCUUUCUUCUCUAUGCUUGCUUUUCUCCUUUCUCAUCUUUUGUAUCAUGCUUCUAUCAAGGAUGGGUUUCUUAAGAAAAGGAAAAAGAUGAAGGAUGGGUUUCUUGAGAAAGUGAAGAAUUCCAAUCAAGAUAAUGGAAAGAAGAUUAAAGAAUCAUUGGAUUUGGAAAACCCACUAUGGAUGUCAUCGGACCCAUCAGCUAUUGUUUUUCUUUUGCUUUGAAGCUACAAUGCUUAUUACUUUUACCUUCCAGGGGGUCACCCCUAAAGAGUUUCAUAUGGUAUAAAAUUAAUGAUUGUAAAUAGGGAAAAUGACAUGUUUUAUCAUUCACAUUUCGUAAAAAUAUUCUUUUCAUCCCUCACUUUUAAAAUGAAGCAAAUUUGUUCCUGACAUUUAAAAAUUAAAACUAUUAUAUCCCUGAACCUAAUUUUCAAUCUGAAUCAAACCAUUCAAUAACCCAAUAAUAAAUUUUAAAAAUAGAAUUGAUAGAUCACUCGGUCAAUUUCAUCAUAUUCACAUGACAUUUAUUAAUCCAAAAAGAUAUAAAUUAUAACAUAAAAGGCCAUUCUUUGUCUUGAAAUAGUAGAGUUUUGUUUGGGUAAAUCUUUUCAUACAUCGUUAGUAUAUCAGUUUGCGAAUCUAGAUGUGUAUCAUAAAUAUAAAAUUUGGUGUUUAAAUUUAAAUUGAAAUGAUAUGGCGGUACAUAAAACCGUCAGUAUAUACAAUGAUAAUGUAGGAAAGAUUAAUCGUUCUUUUUUAUGUUAUAAUUUUUUAUUUUUUAUUUUUGAGUUCAUUAAAUUUUACAUGAAUAUCAUGUUGAAUUAACCAAGUGAUCUACCAAUUACACCUCUAAAAUUUCUAAUCAGGUUGAUUGGUGGUUUGAUUCAGAUUGAAAUUUGGAUUCAGGGAUAUAAGAACUUCAGUUUUUAAAUGUCAAGGACGAAAUUGCUUCGUUUAAAAAGUGAGGGAUGAAAAGAAUAUUUUUGUAAAAUGUGAAGGACGAAACCGAUCAUUUUCCCUUGUAAAUAUGUUGAUUUUAUUUGCAUUUGUAAGAUUCAAAAAACCCAUUUGUUCGUUUUAUAAGUUUUGUACAUAUCUGUGUUAAAGAGUGACUUUUAGGCGGUAAAAAUUUGGAAUCUUUGAAAUUUCUUAAUUUUUUAAUUUUGUCCUUUAAAUAGGCGUCAUAGGAUUUGUUGCAUUUGGGUAGCAUUGUUAAAGUUGAGGAGAAGUUUGAUUUUACAGAUUUCAUUAGAGAAAAUGGUUUUAUUUUUUAGCAGGAGUUUGAGUUUACUGAUUAAUAUUUCUACAUGGACAAGAAUGCCCUCAUUUCCGUUACUCAUAACGGCUGAAAUUCACAGAAGGGUUAACAAUUUACACUAUUCAUAGAUUGGAGGCCAAAAGUUUCUUUAUAAUUGUUGAAGGGCUAAAAUUUUAUUUGGUUAAAAGUUGAAGGGUCAUUGAGACUUUUUUUCCCAAAAACUAACCACUAGAUGGAAGGAUUUAGUUAAAAAACUAGCCACUUGAUUAGUGAAGUACUUAAUUAUGACUGGAAAUGAUAAAGAACUGGAUAUUUCGCUUAUCUCUUUUUUUUUUUUUUAUGGGUGGGCUUAUCCUUAUCCUUCAAUGCAUAGCAUAACGUACUUAACAAUGAAAAUAAAAAAUGAAAAAGGAAGAAAACCACCUCCCUUCCAUCCGUUAAAAAAAAAGGUUGUAGGGCUUGCGUUGUUUUUGUUGGGAGAGAGGGAGCAAAACAAUGGGGAGACUGCAAAAGAAAUUAUUGGGCCUCAUUUGUUGUUCGACACUGUUUGACUUCCGUGGUCCCAAAAUUAUUUUUGAAGUAUAUAAAGGUUUUUUUUUAGGGUAAAGGAAAUAUAAAAAGGUGAAACUCAAUUGGUAGGGAAAUUUUUAAAUCAAUCAUUGUUGCUUUUUCUUCCUCAGUUUCCUUAAACCAAAAAAAAAAAUGAAAGGAGGAAAAAAAAAAAAAAAAGAGUGACUCGAUGUAUGUUCAAGACCAUAACGUAAGUUGUGGCAAAUUCUUUUUUCUUUUUGAAAGAAGGGAAACUUACACACUUUAGGCCUGUUUGAAAUUGCAGUAACUUAUAAAAAAACAAUUCUGAUACAAGUAUUUUUUUUAAAAAAUGAUUUUAAAUUACCAAAAAUUGGACUCUUUAAAUUACGAGAAAUUAGUUAUCAAACACAUUAGGAGUAUUUUUAGCAGUUAAAAGAACUUUUUUUUUGAGGUCCUGAAGAUUGGCAAAAAAGAUGAAGUGAAAAAAAUGUUAAAAUGGAUGCAAAAUGACAUGGGAUAGACCUUUAGGGGAAAACGUCACUCGAGAUGGAGCAGAAGGCCAUAUGUAACACUCAAAGUUACAAGCUAGAUAUUUCUGCUGAAAUUGAUAAAGUGAAAAAAAAAAAAAAAAAAACCGGCAUGAACAAGCAGCUGAAGACGACCAACAAGAUCAAAUGGAGUUACAAUAGCUAAGGUUCUAGCCUAAAGAAUUGGAAUAGUGUCAUCGCUGUUCUAUUUCUGCAAUAUAUUACUGUUUUAUUGGUUUUUGGUUCUUCUAUUGUUGCUUGUGAGGUUUUUAAAAGAGUUUCCCUUUCUCUUGACUGAUUUUUUGUUUCGUUAGUUUUUGUCCCGACUUGUUUUUCUUUCACUUUCCUUCCAUUUUUGCUAAAUUGAUUACUUUUCUUUCUCAUAAACGCUGUCCUAUACAUGCAAGAAACAGCGUUCAAGUCUGUCUUGGGUUUUUUAGUUUUACGAAAAUUAAGAUAGACAACAAAAAAAGUUUACAAGCAAAAGGAUGACUCAUUUUGCUAUCCUGUCAUUUUUCUUCUCAUUCAAAUGAGUCUAUCCUUUUACUUUUCAUAAUCAACAGAACGUAGAUGUGCAAAAGUAAAACAUUUCAAGGGCUGUACUCAAAGAAACCAAAAAAUAAUAACAAAAUCGAAAAAAAAGUACAAAUUUAGUUGGGGUAAAUUUGAUAAUGGUUGAUAUGAUACUAAAAUGUGCUUUUCCAGCUCUUUGGCUGGAUGCAUUUUUUUUGAGUUGCGGAAAUAUAAAGACAUGCAAGCAAUAGAAGUAAAGCUGGGAUAUAUGGAAGGUGUACUUCUUAGUUUGCUUUCUACAUGGAGACAGAUUUAUCAAACCAAUUUAAUUGAUCGAUCACCCCAAGUGAACUUAAUUUAAUUGCAACUUAACCAGAUAUAUUGAUUAUUAAACAAAUCAGGUAGGUAAACUUCAACAUCGUAACCAUACAUCUUUUGGGACAAGCACAUAAUGAAAUACUAUCAAACAUCACACAGAUCACAUAGAUACUAAUCUAAGACACUCUCAAAACUCUUACCAAAAACCUAUUUGAAUUGCAAGCAGGAAAAUAAUGGCAACAGGUUGAUGGACUCGGAACCAGAGCUGUCUUUCACGGGGCAAUGUAUACGGCCACGGGAACUUAUUUGCUAAGCUAGUUAGGAGAUCCUGAUAAGGGCAGACUCGUUGGAUGGAUCUUCUUGAACAUCCUCAAGGAGAAGCAACCACCAGAAAUGGUCUUUUCUGCAGGAUGAUUAUGCUCAGCUACUUCCUGAAUACGUACACCCUGCAUUCUUUUGAUCUUCUCUUUAUGCAGCCGUUUCAUAGCAUAUACCUCUGCCAUGCCACCAGUAGCUAUGGACAUGGUGAUGAUUUCUGAACAACUUUUGUGGACGAAGCAAGAAUCAAUUAGAGAAAAAGAAUUUGAUAUCUGUUGUGGGGAGUUGCGAGGGUUGCAACUUCUUUAUGGCUCUAUUUGUAGUCAAGAAACCGUACUUUUUUGUUACGAACGGGGCCUUGGGCGACACCGACGGGCACUUUGGCUUUCAAGUGGAAACCAUAUCCCAUGAAUAAUCAAAUAUGGUACGAGCACCCAAUGAAAAAGUAUCAUGUGACAAAAUCUGAGGUGGCGUUGCAGCUAAAUAUUGGUCAUUUGGCACUCAGAUGUCUUCGCACCAUAAAUAACUCUAGUAAUCUUUAAUUAGGUAAGAUAAUAUUCUUUCAUUUUUUUUAAAUUCAAGGUGAAACUCUAAAAUUUAUAAAAAAGGAAAAGCACAGAGUUUUGAUUUUGAGAGUUGAACUAGGGAGCAUGUGAGGGCUUGAGAGUUGAACAAUGGAUCUCAUAGACCUCAAAGCUGUCAAGUUAAUGCCUAUUCCUUUAUUAAUACCCUCAUCUACUGAUCAUUCUUCUAAUGGAAUUUAUGUUCAUAUCAAAUUGAUCAACUUAAAAUUUUGUCUUCUAAAUGCCUGUAAUCUUUAGUGGAGGGUUCUUAAUGUUCUAAUAUCACAUCAAUUCGAUCAAAUUUCUUAAAUUUCAAUUGUCAUUAAUAACUAUAGUUAUGAAAAAAGAUAAUGAAUUAAGCCCGUUUAAAGUUGCAAUGACUUAUUGAAAAGUACUUCACCUAAUAAAUUUUUUUCAUAAAAAUGCUUAUUAAAUGUUUGUUUAAGUACCUUCAAAUCUGUUAGUUAGAUACAUAUUUCAAUAAGUAUUCAUUGCAUGGGUUAAUAUGUAAUUUAAAUUUUAUUAAAUGUAUUUAUUUAUCUCUUUAUUGAGUUCAUAAUGUAGGAUUAAAUGACAAAUUUUAAUAUUUAAUUUUUUUUUUCAAAUGUGAAAACUAUAUUAAAAACACCAAAUUUUUUGAAUUUUUGCUAAAAACGCUUUUAACACCAAAAGUUUACUCCUAAAAUCAUCUAAUGAUAUUCACUAAAUGCUUCAAAAGCAUUUACAUCACUCAAAAGUGUUUUUUUUUUACCAAAAGCACCUCACUCCCAAAUCACCGCAAAAAGCACCAUACUUCCAUUCCAAUGGUGAGAUAAUGAACACAGCUGUAAAAUUUGACAACUGAUUUAAUCAUUAAGAGUCUAGUGUUGCACUAAGAGGGUGAUCAACCAAUGUAAUUAAAAACAAAACAGAAAAGCCGAUUCAAGGUUCGAUUCGUUAAAUUUGUAAUUCGAGCACGCCAUUGCUGGCUCCGGCCAGAAGUGCGGUCUGCGUAUUAAAGCAUUUGUCCUCGCUUUCGAGGAGGUUGAAUGUUGAUUCCACGUGGUGCCCAUUAGCACAGAUGAUGAUGAAAUGAAAGGAUGCUCUAAUACUAGUGCUUUAUUGAUGUUUCCCUGCUUUUUGUCACACUUUCUUCAAAGCGGAAAAGUUAAAUUUAAAAGAAAAAGGAAAAAGGGGCUCGAGCAAGGCCCCAGCUGAAUUUGGAGUUUGAGUUGUUAGAGUACAGGGCAAAUUACACUUUAUCCCUCAUAGUUUAGUAUUUUUGUAUAUAAUUCUCUAUGAUUUCAAAAGUUAUACCUAACCCUCUCAUAGUUUGGAUUAAAGUAUUAAAGUAACCAAAUUUGCAAUCCAUAACGGAGUCACCUAAAAUAUCAAAAAUGCCCUUAUGUAAAAUUAAAAAUUAUUUAUUAACCACAGGAAAUGUUAUGUGUAUAUUUUGAAAAUCAUAAGGGGUUAUAUGACAAAACAUUAAACUAUAAAGGGGUUAUAUGGUAAAACAUAAAAUCAUACGGGGUUAGUGCGUCAUGUAUAUUAUAGUGCGUCAUGUAUAUUAUGUUUAUAUAUUUUGGUCACUUCAACCAUUUUAAUUUUUAAAUAAGGGUAAUUUCGAUAUUUUUAAAAGUUUCGUUACGAAUAGUCAUUUCCAUUAGUUUGACACUUUAAUCCAAAUUAUUAGGUGGUUAUAUAUAGUUUUUGAAACUAUAGGAGGAUUAUGUAUAAAAAUACUAAACCACAAGAGGUUAAAAUGUAAUUUACCCUAGAUUAUAUUACUACAAUUUAACUAAGGUUAUUAUCACUUUACCUUCUUAAAUUAUAUCACUGCUAUCAAUUUAUCCUCUAAUGUUAUCUUUUAGUCAUUUCAUCCCUAUAAGUAAUUUAAUUCAACAUGUUAAGAAAAUUUGGACAAAAAUACCCCUUUAUUCUAUAGCAUUAUCACAUUGUUAUUAUCAUUUUAUCCCUUAAAAUUAUAGUGAUAUAAUCACUUUAAUUCCUAACAUUAUUUUCUAGACAUUUUAUCCCGUCGUUAAUCUAGCUAGUAUGGUAAAAAAAUUUUGAAAUAUAUUUUCCCUUUUAUAUAUAAUUAAAAAUAAUUAUUCUUCCUUUUUUUUCACUUUAAGAGAUCCAAAAAUAUAAAAAUAAAAGGGUUUUCUCAAAUUUCUUUUUCACACUUAUUAAUACUAUGAAAAGAAAAGGAAAUAGGAAAGAAAGAGACAGAAAAUUAAAUUCUACAAAUAAAGAAAAUAAAGAAGAGUCCAACAUUAUCGUAUUACUUUAAAGUUGUCGAGAUUAGGAUUGAAAUUUGGUGGUAAAUAAAAAAGUAAAAUAAUUUUAAAAUAGUAAAAGUAUUUAAUUCUUUCUUAUUUGUGUAUUUUUUUUAAAAAAGAGAAUUGAAAUCUUUCUCUCUCUCUAUGUCUUUCUCUCCUCCCCUCCCCAUUUUUCUAUUUUUUUAAUAUUAAUAAGAUUGUCAAGAAUAAAGAGAUUAACACUUUGUUUUUUUUUCUUGAUAAUAAAAAAAGAAGAAGAGCCACUUUAAAAUUUUUAUUAUUUUUAUUAUCCAAUGAGGAGGGUACUUUCUUCUAAACUUCUUUAACUUACUAAGUUGGUUUAAUGGUGGAAUAAAUUGUCUAAAAGAUAACUCUGUGGGGUAAAUUGAUAAUAAAGCUAUAGUUUAUGGGGAUAAAGUGAUAAUAAUUUUAAGCGUUAAAUAUGUUUUUUUACUUUAAUUAACAAACUCCAUUAAGUUUGACCGUUAAUUUUGGAGGUAAAGUCACUAAAAGAUAACGUUAAAAAAGAAAUUGAUAGUGAUACCGAACGUUAAGGGAGUAAAGUGAUAAUAAGCCAUUUAACUACUUUGUUGUUCAUUUGGUAUGAGUGGAACUUAGAAAACAUUCGAGUGUGCUCUUAGUUGGAAUUCUCAAAAGUACUGCUAAGAUUGAGUAGACAUCAUGAAACAAAGGUUUUGAUAAUACCAUGAACAAAGAUUAUAGUCUUCAGAUAAUACUAAGCGAUUAAUUAGUGUCAAGAGGAGGUGAGAUUUUUUUUUUUUAACAAAGUUGAGCAUGCUUAAGUCAGAAGCACUUAGACUUAACUCCUUCAGAUCAAUUACGUCAAAGGAUUGUACCUUAUUAGUAUGACAUGGAUUUAGGUAUGUUGCCGAUUUAAUUACAAAAAGUGAAUGAAAAGAUUAUCCCUGGGAAGGAUUUGGUUGUAAUCAAUUUAUAUAAAUCCCACUAUUGUAAAUGUCCCAUUUGAAUUGCUAUUUUUUGAAAAUUUUAUAAAAAAUAUAUAUAUUGUAAUGAUUUGAUAUAUAUGAAAUAAAAAGGUGAUUAAAAAAUAUAUUUAUAAAUAAUGUUAAAACUUUUCUUUAGAAAAAAUUUCCUUACAAAACAUUAAAUGUGCUUGCCAAUUAUACUUAAAUGAAGACAUCUCUUGUUUGAAUUGUGAUUUUUCGUAGAAAGUUUUUUAUGUUUUUUGUUAACAUAUUUUUAAUUAUUUUUAUCUCACAUGCAUCAAAUUUAUAUCUUUUUUUUUUAUAAAAACUCCCAAAAAUACCAAUUCAAAUGGACCGUAAGGGACUCGAGUCCUUGACCUUGAUGGGACAAAGGUCUCAUCGGCAAACCAUUAUCUGUAGUCGAUGGCUUAAAUAAGCUGAACAUGCGCCUUUUUUUCAGUCCAAGCAACAGUGUUUUCCAUUUACGCUCUUCCUCGUACAUAUAUCUGCGUAUAGCGUUGGAGUACAACUUUAGUUUUUUUUUUUUUUCGGCAAAAAUAGAUGUUGUAUAACCUACUCUAACCUAAUCUAAGGGAAGGGGCAGGGAAUGGUCAACUAAGACCAGCAGGAAAUGGUCAACUAAGACCAGCCACAUAUUGUGACUAAAUUGUGGGAGGCAGGGGUUGAUCCCCUGACCUCCAGCAUCACCAUUAGUUGUACUUUAAACAUUUGUUUUGAAUACAUAUCGUUGGCAAUUUUAUUGGUGGCUUUCUCUAACGUUGUGUGGGAACAAGUUCUCGAAUGUCUCAAAGACAAAUGGAAAAGUAGAGGCAUUUCAAUUUUUCAGCAUCAUCACGUCUUGAAACAAACACCAAUUAAAUUAGGGUAAAUUACUAAUAACUCUUUAUGAUUUCAUCUAUUAUCACAUAGCCACCUUAACGUUUCAAAAUAUUUACUUUACCUCUCUAUGAUUUUAUGUAAACUGAAAAUUUAAUAGAAAAUAGUCUAUAUAACGUCAUUCGUUGAAAUAUCAAUAGUAGUCUUAUUUAAAUGCUAAAUCAAAUCCUAACUUGGCCAUAUUAUACAAAAUUAUAAGGAGAUUGCGUGAAUAAAUGCAAAAGUUACGAGAAAUAAAAUAGAUACUUAUGCUAAUCAUAGGGGAGUUAAGUGAAAAUUAUGAUUUCAUCACACGUACUUUUAGAACGUAUGUGUUAAUUACUGUGUGCAUUCCGUCCAUUUUUUACUUUAUAUAAAAUUACAGAAGGAUUAUGUGGUUAUUUUGAAAUCUCAAGAUGAUCAUCUAGCAUUUAUGCAAAACCGUAGGGGAUUAUAUGUAAUUUACCCAACAAAUUGCCGCUAGACGGGUGUAAAUGACUUUUUCUUCCUCAUAAUUGAUAUCUGAAUACCGACUAUUAGUAGCAAAUAUUAAGUACUCAGUCUACGGGACCUAAAUCAAAGCAGUGUACACCAACUCUUGUAAAUUAAUGUCUUCUCUGAUAUAUGUGUUUGAAAAACUUUGCAACUUAAUUAGUAUUUACACCACUUCCCUUUUAUUCAAAAUUUCUUCAUUUUAUAGAAUAGAAAUAAUCUUCUUGAGCAGACAACUUUUGUCAAUAUACAUUUUCUUGAAUUUUGACGCCCUCAAAUUACAAUAAUUUUAAUGUCCCUUUGAUCUCCUGCUGCGCUGCUACACCUGUUAACAAAUAUUUCAUUUGUCCUUUCUGUAUGCGCCCCACUUUGACUUUCUCCCACACUUUUUCUUUAUCCCUCACCCUUAAAAAAAAAAAGAAAAGAAAAGAAAAAGCUAAUCUAGUACUGAUCCUGUUUUCUAUUGUCAGUUCUAAAUUUGAGUUGGAUAUUUAAUUUUAACAUGAAAAGAACUUUAAUUCUAGAUACCAAGAAAUUCGUUAAUAGAAAAUGGAAGCACUCAUAUACGAUGAUGUAUCAUCAGCUUUUCUGAGUACCACAAGAAACGGAAUCUAGUUCUAUAGAUUUCCGUAGCAAGAAUCUAGAUUCUGGUGGGCUGAUAAAUUCUGCCAUUUUCUGUGAUUUAGUAAUCAACAGGUGAAGUUAUCGCCCUUUUUAUACCUCAAGGCUUGAAGAUUCGGCCACUCGGAUUAAUUUAUACAACAUGUGUUCUCAUACCUAAUUUGGAGAUAAUGUCCUCCGCAUAUGCAAAAAUCUUCAAAAGCCCAAAAGAAAUGGAUAAUUCUUGAGCAUUAAUGAAUGAGGUCCAUACAUUAAACAAGCCAUUUUCAUGUAAACUCUUAACUAGAGCGAUAAGGAAAAGAUUGCAAACAAUCUUGUUCGAUCUUUCUGAUGAAAAUAGUAAUAUAUUGCUUGCCCUUUUUUUUUUAUUUUUGGAUAAAAUAAUAUAUUGCUUACUUGAAUAGUACGAGAACAGGAUACCUCGGAACACUUUUGAUUCUUGCUUCACAGAAACCAGACAAUAUACUAUGCUAUCAUCUGCGGAUAAAGAUGGACUUGUUAAUGUGCUGUAAUGCCUGUUACUAUGAGCAGUUACAAUUCGUAAUUACCAAACAUUUUUCAAAUUUGAUUUAAGCCAUCUCAGUCAGUAAAAAAGCCCGUUAGAACCUGAUUCAAACCAAAUGAAAAUUCAGACCAAUUAUAUAUAUUGCAUACAUACAAAUUCCAAUUAUAUUCCUGCUGAUGACAAACUACAGCUUUGUAUUUUCUUUCAAUGUUCAGUCAAUCAGCUAGGUAAUAAUCGAUAUAGUACAUGACAUGUUUUUAACUUUAGUAACUAGUAAUAAUAACCACCGGAGUCGGCGGAGGCUCUUUAGCUUUUUCCUACUAUCAGGUUCAGAGUUUGAAUCUUGUGCCUAAUAGUUGGCGGUGGGAAGGAUAAAAGAAGAAAAAAACUAGUAAUAAUAAUAAUGUAAUCUCUUAUAGCAGAAAUCAUUUGAUCAUCAGCUCUUUUUAGUCCCUGAUGAUUGCUGCGAAGAAUGUGAAGAGGGAUUUUUUGCGCUUGGACGGACCUUCUUGAACGGCAACAUGGAGAAGCAACCAGUGCUGCUAUGAUGUGAAACUUUCUUCCGACUCCAACAACUGCAAUGGGCUUCUGCUUCCUCAGCUUCAUCCUCCCUUCCCUUCAUUUUCUCCUUGUGCAGCUUUCUCAUUACAUAAACUUCAGAUAGAUCAAGACCACUACCCAUCGACAUUGGCUCGUUAUUCUAAGGUAUACCCUUAUUCACUAAUUACAAGUAGUAAACAACUGCUAUCUUUAGUUCGGGUUGGACUGUGAUGUGAAGGUUCGGAGCAGUCUUGGCGUGGAAUUUAUACAGAUUCCUGUAAGCUUGGGGGUCACGCAAAUUUUUGACUCCAGUCAGAAGUUUCUGUAUGGUUUGUCUGUUAGUCUUCAGCCAACUCACCAAUAGCUGAGUGGUGGACAAGCAAGAGUGUAGGACAAAAAUUUUGAUGCUUUCUUGUGGAAAUGUUGCAGUAGUAGUAUUCUUUUGACUUGGGUGUGUGAAGUGAUGGAACACAACGACAGGAUAUACGAAUAAAACUUCAAAUUCAGCACAAAUUUGAAGGCUUGUGAUUUCAAUUUGCUAGUUUUAGAUUACAAAACUUAUAAAGGAUUCACAAUAAAUGUUUGGAUAGCACAAAUAUCUCAAAUAAUCUUUCGCUUGCAUCGUAAACACAUUUCCCAACUCACCUUUUUAUAUUCUCAAUUAUCUUUUUAUAUAUCUCACAUACAUCACAUCACAAAAAGUGCUACAGUAAUUAUUCCAAAUAAUAUUUCAAAUAAUACUCUAUCCAAGUUUUUUAGAUUAAAAAGUGUUUGGAUUGUAAAUUAUUUCAGAUAUUUUUACUGUAACACUUUUUGUAAUGUGAUGUAUGUGAGAUAAAAAGGUAAUUGAGAAGAUAAAAAUGUGUAUUGAAAAUUAUAAUGGUGAUGUAAGCAAAUAUAUUUGGACAAAUAAUCUCCCGUCCAAACACACAAUUAGUAAUACUGUACUUCCUUUUUUUUUUUUUCUUUCCUAGUUUUGGACUUUAGUUUCAAGUCUGGCUACACAAGUGUUCCAAAGCUAACAUAUAAAAUGGAAUUGUACACAAUUGUAACAUAAAAUAUUACAAGAGCCCAGACUCAUCUUUGACAACUCUUAUUGCAUAAGAGAAUCCAAGAAUAAACACUUUGAUCUAGUCUUUAGUCUUUACAGCUGAAAGAUCAGUCCUUCCAGGAAAUAACGUUUGCAAAAUCUUUGACAGUUGACAGGAGUCUUCCACUUCCAUGAAACUAUGCAAUUCUCACGCGGAAAAUUUUUCACGGGAGCAUCCUUCGAGGGCCUAGGAGACUGUUUUUCUCUCUCUUUUCCUCCAAACGCAGCCUUAUUUGGAUUGCUAUUUUUAAGAGUUUUUAUAGAAAAAUAUAUUAUAACGAUUUAAUGUGUGUGAAAUAAAAAAAUAUUUAAAAAAAAUGUAAAAAUUUUUCAUGAAAAAUCACAGUCCAAACAAUAAUGAGAAAAAAAAAAAGAAACAUUUAUGCCGCGUGGAGGGUUAGGGACUUGUGAACUUAGCGGUCAAAAUUGUGGCCCGGUUUGAAACAAGGACAUCUCCUCCAUCAAGGCUCCGCGGCAUUACAUUUCACGCUCUUCCAUGGAAAAACACGCCCCCAGCUUAAAUCCUCAGUUUAAAUCUCUGCUUCAUGACAAAUUCGAAUGUAAUCCUUCUCGGAUACAUUAUCCAAGAUUAUUAACAACUCAAAUAUCAUAGACUCUAAAAGCAGGAAAUCAACUUGUAAAACGUGUGCAACUAGCUUGUUUCGAUUGUUGGUUUUUUACAGAAAAAUUUUUAUAUUUUUCGUGAACAUAUUUUUCAAUCAUUUUUUUUAAUCUUACGUGAAAGUAUAUUUAUUUACAAAAACUCCUAAAAAUAACCAUUUCAAAAAGAUUCUUGGCUAUUUUCGCGAACUGCAAAGCAAGGGGUUUAUUGAUGGACGAUGAGGACAUCUUAAGGACAUCUUAACCCUCAUAAAGUAUUGCUCUCAAUCUCAAUCAACAUGUCGUCAUGCGUGACUGACCCGUUUGAUGAGUUGAUCAAAAUAUCUGCUCAAUUCUGUGAUAUCCUUUAUUCCAUUAAUUAUGGAAAAUCAAUACAUUAACUUCAGCCUUUAGGCGACCCUAUGCAAGCACGGGAAGAUUGGAACUUCAAUUUCCUAAAAGAAAUAUAUGAACAGGUACAAGAAUCAAGUAGAAAUUUAUUUAUUCCAUAUAAUUGUUAUGCACUCCAUACAAAUCAAGAUAAUCAUAGACCAUCAAUCGGACAAAAAAAAUAAAAAGAAAGAAAAGAAAAGGGGAUCAAAGAAUGGGAUGCAAGUUAAAAAUGUACAGGGACUUGGCAGCCAAAGAAGCAGAACCAAAAUCCCGUGAUAUACAACAGUAGCUCCACUCAUUUCAAGAUUGCACAGCGGAUUCUGACGAAGGGAGGACUGCAGAACUCGGGUGGACUUUCUUGAACAUCCUGGAGACGAAACCACGGGAAGAAUUCUUGGUUUUUUGAGCAGCACAACUACUUUUUUCAUGGCCUUUCUGAUCCUCACGACCGGCUUCAACCUUCUCCAUCCUCUUCAGUUUUUCUUCGUACUUCUUCUUCAUGACAUAGGCUUCGGCAAGGGGGGCACUGAAACUCGACAUGGCUAAUCCUCAAUCAAUUGAACAAACGGUUUUAUCCGGAAAAACAAGAAGAGAGAAAAAGGUUGUAGGCUUAACGACGUGGGUUUUGGAAUUGAAGUGGUUUUUGACAAUGGAGAAUUGGGAGAGGCCUUAAUGGGGUAUAUAUAUAGAUUCUUGGGGGAUUGGGGAGUACGCAAUGGAUGACUCGAGAAGAUCCUUUCUUGGGGAAGUCUGCGUACGAAGGAACAAAGUCGGAUGUUUCGGGUUCCUAGUUGCUACAAGAUGGAAAGUGGCCUUGACGUUGAUUUAAUAGAUGAAGAAAAGAAUUUUGAUGUCACCGCUUUGCUGCCUUUCCCUAGGUGGCAAGGAAGUUUCCACUGGAGUCGGAGUGUAGGUUUCCUUGAAGUGGGAACUUAAUAGGUUUAUGGUUUAUAACCUCGUCAUCUGGUCAACAAUGGCGUGAGGUUCAGUAACUCCAAGUUUACGCCAUUCGAUGCGCUGAAUCAAGGCUGACUUUAGGAUAUGGCAGUAAUUUAUUGUUCACUCACUAGACAAGGUUUAACUUACCAUUAAUUGCUAUCAAUUAGUGCAUAUAGAAUACUCCCUCCGUCCCACUUUGUUAGUCUUGUUUUCCUUUUUUGUCCGUCCCAAAUUGUAGUCCACUUUCCCAUUAAGAAAUAUAGUAAUCUUUCAAAUUGUCUAAAAUACCCUUAUUAAAUAUCUUGUUAUUAAUACAUUGUUAUUAAAUACUAACCCACUACAUUGAAUACAUUGAGAUUUUCCAAUACAUUGAAUACAUUGACUACAUUGAUUAGCAUAAGGGUAUUUUAGGAAAUUAUUAAUCUAAAUUUAUGUUUCCAACCAAAUUAAUUACACUUUCUUAAUCUGUGUGAAAAAAAAACCAAAACUAAGAAAACGGGACGGAGGGAGUAUCUAAUACUUCCUCCGUCCCACUUUGAUAAUCCUGUAUUCUUUUUUCAUCUGUCCCAAAUUGUAGUUCACUUUCCAAUUGAAGAAUGUAGUUGUAUUUUAAUUUUUCUAAAAUACCCUUAUUCAAUUUAAGUAGUUGUUAUUAUAAACCUAUCCCAUUUAAUGAGAGUUGAUUCUUUUUUUUACCAUCAAUUCAAGUUUCCAUAAAGUUGUACCAUAUUUAAUGUGAGGGUAUUUUAGAAAAAUAGCAAUUUAAAUUUACUUUUCUAACAAAGUUAACUAUUUUUUCUUAAACUAUGUGAAAAAAAAAACAGAAUUAUCAAAGUGGGACGGAUGGAGUAUUUUUCUUAUGUUCUUGGACUGAGCAAACAGAUAUGAUGAACGCAUAAUCUAUCCAAAUCCUACACCAUAGAUAUUGCCCUUUAGGGUGAGGGUGAAUGUUCAAUCCUAAGUAAAAGAAAAGGAUGUAAUGACAUUAUAAAACCACAGGGAUUAAUGAAAGGAUUUUGGGCCUUUCUAUCCAUGCCAAUUUUGAUUUAGAAGCGUACAUAAAUGACUAAAAUCGUCGGAAUUAUAAUUAGGCAAGUAAACUCUGCUUCCUACUUUUCAAUCUGGAUACUUGCCCUUUGCAUUCUAUAAUAGCAUUAUCGACCUCACUUCAAUAGAUAGAGACUAGUGAGCUAAAGAACUGGUAAACCAGUCUGAUCUUAGAUUUCUUUGACAAUAUCGAAGAGUUUUUUUUUUUGGUUUCUUGACAAUAUCCAACGGGGUGCUGAACGUGCAUUGCAUUUGUUGAAAUGUCUUGAAUCAGAUCUUCGCCCUCCGCUGAGCUGUUCGGGGAUCUCGAUUUUUUGGGCCUAAUGGUCCAGUUCGUUUUAAUUAUUUGGUUGUAUAUAUAUACCUUAUAUCCAUUAUGUACAAAUAUAUUCGAACCCUAAUAAAAUCUAAUUUCCCCCAAAUUUGUUCUUGUUUGUUCUUCCGUUCCGCUGCAUCUGUUUUAACAGCUUUUGUCUCGUGAUAUUGUCAACUUGUUUUUUUUAAAAAAAAUUAUCCAACAUUAUUUUAAUGAGAAGUAGCACAACUUGGAAUUUCAGAAUUUGUUUAAGAAACUAUUCGAUCAAGCAAACAAAUUAUCAAACAACAGUUCUAUACAGAGUAAACGAUUGACGAAAAAGAAUGGAGUCAGAAGAAUUUCAUCAUCGUACAACGAAUUUGGACCUUUCUUGACAGGCAAAUUAGACGAACCAUUAAAAUGAUUCCGUUCGCUCAAAAAGAUUAAUACACAAGUACAAGUAACUUUUAUAUACAAAACAGAAAAAAUUUACAUAAUUUGUAUCCAGAUGACUGAUUCUUCUGAACCAAGAAUUGAACAGCGGAGUACUCUUCUGAUGAAGGGACAGCACACGGCCGUAGCACGAAUGGGAGCGAGAAGCUUCAUUAUGGUUCUCCUGGUCUUUGUGAAACGGAAUAAGUUGAUGUCAGGCGAUCCAGGGGAAAAUGCUGAUUUGUUUAAUAUUUGACUUUUGACGUUUGAAGGAGUCGUCGAAAUGAAGAAUUUGACAAUUUCUACUUGCAACCGAAGCAACACAUAUCUAUUGGGUUGGACAAAAGACUUUUGGUAGGCUGACUCUGUCGUAGGGUCAAGGGUGAUGUGAGGUUCAUUUUAUGUAAUUUGUGUCAGAAUUUCCUCAAAACCGAUGAGGUUCCCCGGAAUCUGCGUCGUUGGACCUAAACACUCAGGCGAAAAAUUCGAUCUUUAAUUUUCACGGAAUAACAAAUUGAAAUACCUAAGUGUAUACUUUGUGGCAAUAGACCCAAAUUAGUUUACCUGCGGCCGGUCUCGGAGCGUGAUGGGGUAUACCUGCUUUUGUCCAUCUUGUAGUAGUAUAAGAACUUUUCAUUUAUUCGUUUAUUUUUGUUUGACUUUUCGAUUCAAAGAUCAGGAAUAUAUAUCACUGUACGCUACGUGACUUACAAUGCAAGAGUUAGAUGGCGUUUGGUUCGCACGUCGAAAUCAGAUUCGGAAUCGGAUAUCUUGAGUUUGGAAUGCGGUCAUUCAUUCCAAUACAUUUGUUUGGUUUAAGUACCUGAAAUGUGUACCAUUACUAUAGUUGAUGUUUGGCUCGUUGACUCUUUCGGAAUAGAAUAUAAUAAAUAUAUUAUAAAUCACAUCGUAAAUGAUAGUUAUUGACUCUUUGUAAAUGAGAUUUAAAAAAUUUUCACUAAUUAAAUAUAUUAGUAUAAAUGUAUUAGUAAAUUUAAUCUAACUAAUUAAUAAUUUCUAUUAGUAAACAUGUAUAAUUAUUAGUAUAAUUGAUAAUAUUAAUUAUAUUACAUAAAUUAAUAUACAUUAUAUAAUACAUAUAACUAAUAAUAUUAUUAUAAGUUUGUAACUAAUUAAAUUAAAUAUUAUAUAUAAUUAAAUAUAAAUAUAUAAUUGUUAUAAUAUAAAUAUAUAAUUAUAGUUAUAUAAUAUAUACAAAUAUUAAUUAUACUACUAUUUUAUAUAAAUAUAAUAUAUAUUGCAUUUUAAAUAUAGUUAUUAUUAUAUAUUAUUAUGUAUAAAAUUAUAAUUAUAAUUAUAAUUAUAUAACUUAUUAAUAUUACAUACAUGUAUAUAUUAUAAUUAUAUGCACAUAUAAUAUACAUUUAUAAAUAUACAUAUAUUUAUAUUAUAGAUAUAUUAUUAUAUAAUAUUAAUAAAUUUAUAUCAUAUAAAUAUAAUUAUAUUUAACUAAAUAAUUAUAAUAUAUAUUUAUAUAAUAUAAUAAUAUCAUUGUUAUAAGUUUGUAACUAAUUAAAUUAAAUAUUGUAUGUAAUUAAUUAUAAUUAUACAAAUGUUAUAAUAUAAAUAUAUAAUUAUAAUUAUAUAAUAUAUAAAUAUUAAUUGUACUAAUAUUUGAUAUAAAUAUAAUGCAUAUUAAUAUUAGAUAUAGUUAUUAUUAUAUUUAAAAUAAUAAAUAUACUUAUAAUUACAUAAUUUAUUAAUAUUAUAUACAUGUAUAUAUUAUAAUUAUAUGCACAUAUGAUAUACAUUUAUAAAUAUACAUAUAUAUUAUAAAUAUAUUAUUAAAUAAUAUUAAUAAAUUUAUAUUAUAUAAAUAUAAUUAUAUUUAACUAAAUAAUUAUAAUAUAUAUUUAUAUAAUAUACUAAUAUUAUAAUAAAAUAUUAUAAUUGUAAUAUAUUAUAUAUAUGUAUAUAUUAUAAUAUAAAUAUAUAAUAUAUAAUAUAUAUAAAUAUUAAUUAUAUUAUAAUAUAAAUAUUAAUUAUAUUAAAUAUUAUGUAAUUAUAAGAUUUUGGAAUCACACUUGGGUUUUGGACAAAACCCACCUUUUUACUAGGGAAUAGAGAGAUGUCAAAUUUUUAGAAAUCAUUCCAAAAUUUCAAUUCCCAUACCAAUGAACCAAACACCAGUUAUGUAGUUUAUUCCAUUAAUUCAUUCCGAUACCCUUUUACCAAACGUCCCCUUAUUAUGUGCGACGCGUUGGGGAUAGGAAUUUUUGUCAAGUCACUAGUGCUAUCGCUACAGACGCAAGACCUACAAAGCCUAGAAGCGCCAACCUCAUCAAAUUCUUCUAUCAAUUACUACAAAGUAUAUAUAUUUUUCGAUAAAUAAAAAGUUUGGAGGAGUUGGAUUUUGAUUAAUGUCACUGUCAAGCAUAUUUUCUAAACCAUACAUCGCUUAUAAGUGUUCUUGCAAAUCGUCCACUAAUACCGUCCUUACAUCGAUAGAUUUUUUAUGAGAGAAUGGUUCGUUCUUACCACUUAAAUCAACACAGAUCUCAUAUCGACAAUGAAAUUCAAAUAUAUAGCCUGAAUAUGAUCCGUUCUUACCAACUAUAUCAACUCGUAUAGGCCCAUUACAGAUAAGACUGUUCACGAAUCGAGCCUCAAUUAUUUUUUUUUUAUUUUUUAAGCUCGAGCUAAAGUUUGACAUUUUGAACUCAUCAAGGUCAAACUCGGGUUUGAGAUUCAUAAAAUUAAUGGGAGGCUCGAUUCAAUUAAAGCAAAAUUCGACUCUACUCGAUUCGGCUAGUUUAAACCCCUAAUUACAAAUUAAUUGAGCUAGCUAAGGAUGCCCAAGUUGCCAUUUGUGACAUGAUGACACAGAGGAACAGGACGCCACUGGAUUGAUUCCCAUCACCCCAGUCCUUGAGAACUGUUACACUCCGCACGCGCCCCUUUAAUCAAACAUUGCUGUCUUUCCCUCUCCCAACUCUACUUUAUGCCUUCGGAUUCCAAUACGCAAAACCACUUCCCCAGCCCCCACCACCCCGUGGCGGCCAAGAGAUUGCAAAUGCUUAAAUACCAAACAAAGUUGUGACUCUUUUGGUAGUUAUUAGGUCGUAAGAUGAAGAUGAAUCGUCGUAAAUUUGUCCAGUAGUUGGAAAUUAGGCUCGAAAAUGUUAGGUACGUUGCUGUCUACUCAAGGCUGCUGCUUUUCUGUAACUCCUACAAUGGAGUAUGGAGUGGGACCAAUUUGGUGUCAUAUUUCUGACACAGAUUUUGAGAUUUGCCAAGCAAAGGUAGAGAACUGCCAUUUCACAUAUGAAAGAAAGAAAGAAGGAAUUAAGAAGAAGAAGAAGAAGAAGAAAUUUUUUGUUUGAUACAUCCCUAGUCUAGUGAAAUAAAUACACCACCUCUAAUCCUACGUAUGCCUAUUUGCUAUGCAGGUGAAUCUAUCUAUGAGUUGGAAUUAGGCUCGAAAGCUAUGCCGGCACAACCACCCCACAAAUUAUUGUAUAGCAGUAGUACAUAUGUUGGAAUUUCAAUGAAUUCAAGAACCCCCAGAGCAACAAAAUGCAACACCAAAUCAAUGCAAAAACAUAAUCAUGUACAAAAUUACAUCAUAUUAUUAACAUCCCUGGCCCAAUUUGUAAGCCUGAAGUCUGAACAGAUUACAAACUUUUGCCCUUUUUGGUACGAAGAAAUUAUAACGUGUGAUCCGAGGAGGAGGAGGAAAGAAGUCAAAAUGCUACCACCGAGCUUUGGACAAGCAUCACAGUGCUAGUAGUAUUGGUAGUAAUUCCAAAUCAGAUUCACCAUACAUCAAUCUGUCAGCAGAAAGCAGGACAUUUUUAGUCCCCAAAGCACAGUUGCUGACUGACCAUACCUACGAGUUCCAUGAUCUCGACGUCCCAAGAAAACAUUUAUUGGGCAGUAGUUUCUGAAGAGGGAACAUCAGCACUUGAGUGAACUUUCUUAAACACCCGGCCGGAGAAGAAACCACCAGAAGAAGAAUCCUUGCUUUUGCGGGCAGUGGUGGUGCUCGCUUGAUCAGCUUCUUUUUUACCAGCAGCUGCUUCCAUCUUCUCCAUCUUCUUCAUCUUCUCUUCAUAUGUCCUUUUCGUCAUGUAAACUUCAGCAAUGGCUGCACUAGCUGUUGCCAUGGCUCCUCUGUAACGAGAUGGUUCUUAUAGUACAAAAACUAGGCCUUCUUGUUACAGUAACAGAGAAAAUUUUUCAAAAAUUGCGUUUUAUUCAGCAAGUACGAGUAAAUGUUGGGGUUGGCAUAAACGGGGUAUAUAUAAAUAGAAUUUUACGGGCUUGGACAACACGCAAGAAAAGUUGAUGUGGUGGACCAAAAGGUGGUAUAGAAUAUGAUGUUUGAUUUGAGUUGUGAGCUCAAAAAAUUUGACUAGGCUUUCUUGAUGGCAAAGCAAUAAAUGUGUGGGGCAAUUUUGUUUUAUCUGUUCAUGUAGUCACGACUGACGUGACAUUGAUUUACGAGUGGAAUUUGGAAGUGUGCCAAGUGCUGGCAUGAUAAUUUGUUCCGUUGUCUGUGCUUCAAAGGGCAAAAGAGCAGUCGACUUUGAUUCAACAAAUAAAUAUUAACGCGUGUUGUGUCGAAGAAGUUAUUGGUCUGCUCAUAAAUCAUCAUCUCAUUUGAUAGCAAUAUAAAAGUACGUUUUCUAAUCGUCCGUUUGUCUUCUAAUUAAAUUACUGGGGAAACUACUCUGUGCAAGGCACAGUUUGGGCCCAUCUGAAAUAUUGUUUAAAAUAUAUAUUAUUACAUUUUUAUUUAGGAACAUAGUAGCAAUACAAGAAUUAAAUAUAUGACAAAUAUAGAUUCAACAUGAUAGUGUUUCUGUUUAGCAUUGCUAAUUCAAAACAUUAGCCCCAAAAAUAAGACAGUCCUACAUUAAAAUUUAACUAAAAAAAGAAAGCAUGAAAUUUUUUUUUUGUAAAAUUAAUUCUAAUAAAUACAUAUACCUUCACAUGUCCUUAUUUAAAAAUAUAAUAAUAACAUGACAAACUGUGUCAAUAUCGCUAGAAAAAAAAAUGGCUCAUUCAACUUGCAACUCACUGAGUUUAAAAGCAUCAUUUAACAUAUAAUGUCCCAGUAAAAAGUAUAAGUGGGAAUACAUUGGCAAACGUUUAGAAAGAAAAUUAUGUUAGCAAAUUCGCCUCAUUUAGAAAAAGAAAAAAAAAAGGAGAAAAGUGUAAAGCUUGGGAGCGGUCAGAGAAAAUAAGGAUUUGUGUAAGUUUUUGUCAUGGUAAAAAAGAAAAGACAAAAUAAGGGAAAAAAUAAUGAAAAAGAAAAAAAAAGAAAUUAAAUCACCUACCUUAAAAGGCGUAUGCCACUUGUCAAAUUUGUCAAAAAGAAGAGAAGCCACGUGACAGCCAUUGGGACUGCUAUAGUAACUCCCCUUAAUAUACUUGAGGGAUGUUAUAGUAACUAGUGUUACUCUAAAAAUAAAAUUUCAUAUAAUCGUCUAUCCGGCUGCGUUUGGAUUGAGUGUUUUUGCACCUGUUUUUAAAAAACUGUUUUUCACAUUCCAAAUGCUACAGUAAUGUGUAUUUCAAAAACAACUUCAAAAACACCAUAUCCAAACAAUAUAUCAAAAACAACUCCAAAUAUAUUUCAAUUAUGUAUAUUUAAUUUAUAUAUUUUAAUAAGUAUAUUUCAAUUUGUAUAUUUUAAUUAUGUAUUUUAAUAUGUAUAUUUCAAUUAUGUAUUUUAAUAUGUAUAUUUCAAUUAUGUAUAUUAUAUAUAUUAUAUUAAUAUAAAUAUAUUUAUUUCAAUUAUGUAUAAUAUUAUAUAUAUUAUAUCAAUUGAAAUAAAUAUUAUAUAUUUAUAUAAAUACAUUUAUUUAUAUAUAAAUUUAUAAAUAUAUUUAUUCAAUUUUGUUUUAUAAUAUAUAUUAAUAUAUGUUAAUAUGUAUAUUUCAAUUAUGUAUAUUAUACAUAAAUUAUAUUAAUAAUAAUGUAUAUUAUAUAUAUUAUACAUUUCUAAUAUUAUAUAUUUAUACAUACAUAUUAUAAAUAUUUUAUUUUAUUUAUAAUAUAUUUAUAAUAUAUUUAUAAUAUAUUUACAUAAAUAUUAUAUGUUAUAUAAAUUAUAUUUAAUAUAACGUAUAACAUAUUAUACAUUUAUACAUAAUAUAUAAAUAUUUAUGUAUAUUUAUAAUAUACAUUUAUAUUAUGUAUAAUAUAUAAUAUAAUAUAUUUAUACAUUUAUAUUAAUAUACGUAAUAUUAAUUUUACAUUUAUACAUAAUAUUAAUACAUGUAUACAUUUAUAUUAAUUAUAUUAAUACAUUUCUACAUAAUAUUAAUAUAUAUUUAUAAUUUAUUAAUUUAUACAUUUAUAUAAUAUUCAUUUAUAAUUUAUACAUUUUUAAUAAUAUACACUUAUACAUUUAAAUAUACAUUUAUAUUAUGUAUUAUAUAUAUUAAUACAUUUAUACAUUUAUAUUAAUAUACAUAAUACUCCCUCCGUCCCGUUUUGUUAGUCUUGGUUUUUUUUUCACACAGAUUAAGAAAGUGUAAUUAAUUUGGUUGGAAACAUAAAUUUAGAUUAAUAAUUUUCUAAAAUGCCCUUAUGCUAAUCACGAAGAGUGCCAAUUAAUAUCAGUUACAGCUAAUGGGUUAGUAUUGGAAAAAUUCAAUGUAUUCAAUGUAGUGGGUUAGUAUUUAAUAACAAUGUAUUAAUAACAAGAUAUUUAAUAAGGGCAUUUUAGACAAUUUGAAAGAUUACUACAUUUCUUAAUGGGAAAGUGGACUAUAAUUUGGGACGGACGAAAAAGGAAAACAAGACUAACAAAGUGGGACGGAGGGAGUAUUAAUUUUACAUUUAUACAUAAUAUCAAUACAUAUGUACAUUUAUAUUAAUUAUAUAAAUACAUUUCUAUAUAAUAUUAAUAUAUAUUUAUAAUAUAUUAAUUUAUACAUUUAUAAUAUUCAUUUAUAAUUUAUACAUUUAUAAUAAUAUACACUUAUAAUUUAUAAUAUAUUUAUAAUAUUCAUUUAUAAUUUAUACAUUUAUAAUAAUAUACACUUAUACAUUUAUAAAUAUAUUUAUAUUAUGUAUUAUAUAUAAUAUAAUACAUUUAUAUAUUUUUAUAUGAAUAUAUAAAUAUAUUUAUUGAUAAAUAUCUAUAAAUGUAUUAUAAAUACAUAUUUAUAUAAAAAUAUAAAAUUUAUAAUUUAUAAUUUGUACAUUUAUAUAAUAUUCAUUUAUAAUAAUAUACAUCUAUACAUUUGUAAAUAUAAAUGGAUCAUAAAUGCAUAAAUCUAUAUUUAUAUAAAAAUAUAAAAAUUAUAAUAUUCUAAAAAUACUCAAAAAUGUGUUUCAAAAAUACCUCUAAAAAUAAUCCAAAAAAAUCUACAGUAAAAGUUUUUCAUAUAGUUUUUAAAAAACAACCCCAAAAACAACUAAUCCAAACGGACUUGUUUUUCAGAUUCAAAAUGCUACAAUGGUGUUUUUGAAAAACAAAUCCAAAAACAGCUAAUUCAAACGGAGCCCAUAUCUUUACUAUACUAAAAGCGUCAGUUGGCUUAGCUACAGUGAAAAUGGGUCGGUUAUAGCGUGAUUUGUGUGAGCUUGAGGAGCAGUUGGGUCUUUUGUCAUUCAGUGGUGAUGGCUUUUGUCGUUCAGUGGUGUGGGCGACAAGAGAAAGAACUGCUUCUUUUCUUGAACAAAAGAAGAGGCCGCCAUGUGCCUAGCUGUCUGCAUGGCUUUGGAACUUCGAUGCUGUCCGCGUGGCUUUGCUGCUGGCUGCAUGGCUUUGGCUUUGCUGGAAAUUUCCUGCUAUCCGCGUGGCUUUGUUGUGGGCGGUGAGUUUGUUGUGGGCGACAAGAGAAAGAACUGCUUCUUUUCUUCAACAAAAGAAAAGACCGCCAUGCGCCUAGCUGUCUGCAAGGCUUUGGAACUUCGAUGCUGUCCGCGUGGCUUUCUUGUGGCCGGUGAGUUUGCCGCUAUGAGCUGUCUGCAUAGAGGCAGGUUUUUGGGAAGUAAGUACUGGCGCAGGGAAUGGAGUUUUAAGAACAGACCUAUGCCCUUGGGCUGUUGAACAGAAUUCUUUAAAUAACCCCAUCUCCCACUAUAAAAGAAAGUCGUAUUCAAACUCCCCUUCACUUCCUCUUCCUUUGGUCGAGCGAGCUUUCGCUUCCUCUCCUAACUAAACACUAACUUCAAAAAAACAGCCAGUACUCUUUUACUUCAUUCCUUUCCAAGAGCUUCACUCCUGCCCGAAGACGUACAGGAUUUGAGUGAGUUUUGAGCUUUUCUUACAGGAGAGCAUACGGCCUGGCAGGCCUUCCCUUUCCGCCGGAGGGACGUAACUUCUUAUUACAAAAAAGAAUCGGAUGCCGUGGAACGAAGGUCCUUGCUUGCUGGCUAGCGCUAUUGCCUUCCUUGCUUUAUAAACGUAAUGAAAUGGAACACUGCCUUUUUGUUCAGUUUCACUCUUGUCAAUGACAGCCUCUAUCCUUUCUCUGGAUCUUAUGAGACUUAAUGCCCAACCAAUCUCGGUUUUGGGACUCUCUAUCCUUUCUCUGGAUCUUAUGAGACUUAAUGCCCAACCAGUCUCGGUUUUGGGACUCUCCCCUAAUCUUCGCUACUUUGAACUUAUCUUGUGUUAAAGGCCCGAGGUAAACCUCCUUUCGCCCAAAGUAUGGACUACUUUACUAUCUAGGAAGUAGUAUAGUUCGGCACGCGUUGAAGAACUCGGCUCCAUUAUGGAAUUAUAGAGAUGUGUGCUUUGAGAAGAGAAGAUUACACGUAGCUUAUCAAUUACGUGUGUCAUGCAAGCAGCAGCACAGGUGUUAGUAAUACGAGCAAUUGGAACGUGUGAUGUAUUAUGAGUAUGAGUAAAGCAGAGUUUUGUAGUGCUUCUAACAAUUAUUCGUCUAUAUUAUAUACCUGUUUUGUUUGAUGGAGUUGAAUUGUGUCUUGAGUGCGCUGAAGAAAAGCUUCCGAAAUCAACGGGAGUGAUUGAUAGUAGGGUAUGGUAUUCUUUUUGUUGAAGUUAGUACUGGUUUUUGCUUGUUUCUCAGAGGGUGUAUAAAUUUCUGAUAAGCGUGGGACUGGUUGGAAAAUGGAUGUCAGGUCAACAGGCAUAUUGGUGCUUUGGUGUCUGAAUCGUGCAAAGUUUUUCAUAGAUAUCUUUCCAUACUUUGUUCCAAAAUCGUAUAAAGAAGUUACUUUGUACUUGAUUGUUUGAAUUAUAUUUAGCCGCAUUAGUCUGUUGUGUACGUAAGCCAGGAGGAGACAGUUUUGAUUGAUUAAAAAUAAAAUUCAAUGCAGUGCAGGAAGAUAUUAGGAAUUUAAUAUGCCACCAGAUAGGCCUGGGAAUUCGAGGAAAGAAUGAAUAUUUAACCUCAUGGAUCGUAAAAAUAAAAGUUUCUUUCUUGUUGCAGUAAUCAGAUUCUUUAACUGAAUCAAGAGAUACAGUGAUCAUAUUUGUAAAUACAAAAAUUGAGAAUCUGGCCUUCUCUAAUGUAAAAAUAAAUAUUUCUAUGCUGUCUUGGUGAUCAGAUUGUGCAAUAUUUAUACGUUUUUGCUUAACAGAUGCCAAGCUGUCUUGUUUUUCUGUGAAGUUUGAAUUUAAGUGAGAUAUCGAGCGAAUUUUUUUUUUUUUAUGCUCGACAAUUUUGAUCUCCUCACUUAGAAGAAGGCGAUCAUAUUGCUGGUUCAGAGCUCAAAAGGAAGCAUUGAUUGUUCAUCAUAUCAGUAUAUCAGAAAAUUGUUUGUCUGUUGCUUGAUUAAAAGAAAGGUUAUAGAUAACAUCUCGGAAAUUGCUGCAUUAAACUAAUUGGAAUCGUGAGAUCAGAUGGAGCUGCUGGAUGAUAUAAAGAAAAAAGAAAACGUGGGCUGGGGAAAGAAUCUAGAGUCUCUCGCAUCCUCAAGUGGUUAUCAAUAAGUUUAAUUUAGGGAUUGAUCGUAUUGGAAAUUCUUUUUUAACUAUUUUAGAACAAUGGGUUGUUGAUUAAAACAAAAGAAUCGUGUUCAUCCUCGAAGAUGGUGCUGCGAAGGAUUAGCAGUAGGUCUGAUCUAUGACGACAUACAAAGUAGUAGCUUGGACGAAGUGUUUCAUAAGAAUACAAGUUCUGCAAUUAUCCUCUUUUGAAAGCAAAGGUUCAAUAUAGUCAUCAGAGCUGCGUUUUCGUACUUGGAUCACAUAGAAGAGCUACCUAUUGUCUUGUGGCUAGGAGAUGUCAACUGGAAGUUCAUGCUCGCGUUCCAGGUAUUGGGACAAUAUGUGCAAAGCGUUAGGAACGUACUUGGCCCUAUAGCUUCGGGCGGGUACCUCCAUACCCAUACUCUGAGCACUUUACCAAUCUAUAGUUUCUCAUUACAAGUUUUUCUAGCGAAAGUUUUUCGCACAAAUCGUUAACACCAAACUACCUACUAUCAAUUACAUUAGAGUAACACAAAUUUGGGGCAACUAGUAAUACUAAAACGUGUAAAGAUCCAUGUAACUUGAUCAAAACUUCUUUUUUUGAUAAAGAUAUAAGAAAAAGAAAUAAAAAAGACUCGUCUACUCACAUAUCCAUCAUGACAUAUGUAUGCAAUCUCCAAACAUUUAACUCUCUAUAUAUUUUUUUAUUUCAGAAAUUUUAGUAACAAAAAAUUUUAGUACCCGUUCUUAUUACAGGAUAUUGCUCAAAACAAGAAAAAAAAAAAAGGAAAAAAAUUUGUAAAAAAAUCUUACUACAAGAAUAAUUGACUCACCCCUCUUUGUUUGGCAUCCCACAUCAGCCCAUCUUGCAAAGUCCAGAUACGACUUAAGUUUAGCCACUUUCGAGUUCCUUGCACAUGAUUAUACGGAGGCCCUCAAACGAAGAUGAAGAUAAAUCAAGAAACCAGAGGCGGGGAAAAGUCAUCGUUUUGCUCUGUUAUUCUACUUUUUGUGUCAUCAAGGAAGUUAGCUCCUAGUUAGAAUUCAGUUUGAGUUAGUACUGUCUUCGACAAGCGUUAGUUGGAGUUUGGCAAAUAUGGCUUUUCCUUAUAGCUAAUUCAAAGUUGAGGAAAUCUCCAACAUUUCUGAAUGUGCAAAGAAAAUAGCUCUGUCCUUGGUGAGAGUACCAAAAUGCUUGCCAAUUUCCAACAGCAAGUGCUUUUGGCACCAAGACUCAGUAGAUCAUGACAAAAUGCUUACUAAUUCCAACAGCAAACCUAAUACCAAUCAUACCAUAAGAUUAGGCCCUUAUUUUCAUAUUUCUGUAGAAGAGCAUUUGCAAGUGCAUCAGCUGAUGCACCAUACAGCAAUAAAAGUUGCUCUUUCAACAUGAGCAAGAAGCAUCUGUUGACUGUAUAUACUGAUACCGCUGAUCCACAGCUUAUUUCAAGGAGAGAUCUUGAACCAGAGUUGUUUGAAGCUGAGUAGGUCUUAUUCUAAGUAUCUUGCAUUAACAAAGAUUCUGCAUCCAGGUCAUAGAGAGGGAAAGAAAUUUAAAAUGCUAGGCUAAACAGCAUUCCCCAAAUAGGAAGAUGCAAAAUAUUUGCUUGAUGAGUUUUAAGCAAGAUAUGCUUGCCAAGAAUCUAUUUGAGAUGGUUAUUACCCAACAUUAUCUCAAUUUUUUCCAAUUUUGACUGGAUCCCAUACAGGAAACCUGCUUAUUCUUGCAUGAAUCAGCUUGUGUACAUCUAGCAUUUCUGAAAUCCUCUGAUGACAGAUCCUCGUGCAUUAAAUUUGGGACUUUCUUAAUCUGAAUAAUUGGUUCUUAUACGUUGACCACAUUAAAUUACAAAACGAACAGAAUCAAGGAGUCUUAACAAUGACAGGUAUUUUAAAUGGUGACAGGAUCCUCCUCAUACUUGAGAAACUUAAAACUGAAAGGAGACGGUUAUGUCUAACGGGUAACUAGAAGAGAUUUUGCCUUGAAUACUUUGACAAAUUCAAAGAAUUAUAACUCGGUAUAUUUCCCAGUCUAUAAUAGUUCUGUAAUCUCUCGUGGUCGACACGUCAUAAAUAAUACAGGAAAAUUACUGUACAACAGCUCAUUCUUACAAGUUAGAGUGGCAUCUGAAGUUCCUUUUGUCCUUGCCACAUUACCAAAUUUCUCCAGAAGCAACUCCAUUAAAUCUAUUGCCCGCUUGACAAGAGGGGAUUAUGUCAUCUCCUUCACAUGGUUUAUCCUUUCCAUAGAGAGAAGGUUGUCUUGUAAUACCAGGGAUUCCAAUAAUCCACAAGCGUCAAAUCCAGGCAGGGUUCCCAAGUUCUAUUAUCAGGCCAUCGGCUUUAUCAAACUUCUGUUCCAUCACAGACAGGAACCACAUUGUUAAUCGUUCAAUAUACGCGGUUGACCAAAAAAGUCUCACAAAUCUCUAAUGAGAAGUAACUCCUGCUUAAACGAAGGAUCUAGAGGAAUCAAAACCCUGCUUCAAAACAGAUUCCACAUCCCAUUCAACAUCUCCACAGGCCGUAAGCACUGUAGCAAAAAUGUAGUCAUCCAACUGAAUGCCUUCAGCUUGCAUCCGGUACAUGAGCUUAAAAGCGUCUCUGCAGAGCCCAUUUCUGGCAUAAGCAAUGAUCAUCGCCUUCCAAGAAACCAAAUUUCGCUCUGGCAUGCUAUCAAAGACACGGAUUGCCUCAGCGAGAUGUCCACACUUUGCAUACAUAUGGAUCAAAGCACUGCCUACAAAUACAUUAGAAGAAGCAGGAGUCUUAUUUAUACUAGAGUGAAUCAGUUUCCCUUGUCUAAUAUCCUCCAACUGAGCGCAUGCUUUCAGAGCUGAUGAAUAAGUAAAACAAUUGGGAUCCACACCCUCUCCCAACAUCUCUUUCAAGUACUCAAGAGCUUCCUGCUCAUGGCCAAGACGAGCACAGCCGGAAAUCAUGGAAGUCCAUGAAACUACAUCUCUUAAGGGCAUGUGCUGGAGGACCUUAGAUGCAGCUGAAUAAUUGACACAUCUACAGUACAGCCACACGAGGGCACUCCCUAUAAAAAUAUUGCCUUGGACAUGAUUCCUGAAGACUUGUGCAUGGACCUCCUUUCCCAUUUGUAAGGCCCCAAGUAAGCCACAUGCCCUAAGAAUGCUUACCAUGGUCAAGUUAUUUGCAGCUAUCCUCCGUCUCUGCAUCACCCUGAAGUGUCUUAUGGCUUCUUCACCAAGCCCAUUACGAGCAUAUCCUGCAAUAAGAGAUGUCCAUGUCACCGUGUUCCUCUUCCUCAUCCCAUCAAACACCAUCCUUGAAUCCUCCAUUUCUCCGCACUUUGCAUACAUAUCCACAAGUGAAGUCCCCACAAAAAUAUCCAUUCUAUACUGUCUCUUAACAAUGGCCCCAUGCAAUUGCUUCCCCAAUUUCAACCCUUUUUCCUCCCCACAAGCAUCCAAGACACUGCAUACUGUAUAUUCAUUUGGCUCGAAUCCAUCAGCUAACAUCCUUGAAAACAUCUGAAAAGCCUCCUCUCCUCUCCCAUGCUGUGAACAGGCAGUAAUAAUAGUUGUCCAACAGACGACAUCCCUCUUAUUCAUCCGGUUAAACACACGAAAAGCAUUUUCCAGUUCACCACCCUGCACAUAAAAAUACACUACAGCACUAUCCAAUAUCAACCCACUAAAACAACCCUUUAGCAUACGAGCAUGUACUUGCUUGCCAAGUUCAAAGUCCAACCUUUUACAACAUAAGUUCAGCACACAGACAAAAGUUUUGGAAUUCCACGGGAUCCCAUUUUCAGCAAACUCGAUAAAGUGCCUCGCAGCAUCACUGAAUAGCCCAAAAAUUAUAUACCCAUUAAGCAUAGCUGUCCAAGAAACAACGUUUCUCUGCGACAUUUUAUCAAACACAUUCCUAGCUUGAACCAACCUACCAUGUUUUAUAUACUGGGAAAUCAAAUUAUUGUAACAAAAAACUUCUAAAUCGUUCACACACUUCAAAAUACAUGCGUGGAUUUUCUUAAUUUCUUUGGUGUUGCGAGAAGAUUGAAGCCACUUGGCAACCAAACGGAACUCAGGAACAACUAGCGAACGGUUAAAACAAGUGGUGCUGUUGUAGUCAUCUGGGCUUUCGGGGUCUGUCUGGAGUGUGCAGGAAGUGCGGUAAUCGGAUAAACAAGACGAGUUUUCGCCGGUAAAACGAGGGGUGGUUUUGUGGCUCUGUGUUCUUUGGAAUUGCUUCGUGUACUUAGGUGCUUGGUCUGGAUGAGCUCCAAAAAGGGUACGACAUUGAAGCUCAAAGACAGAAAUUUGUGCUGAGGGAAAUACUGGUGAGAACAUGGCCCGCAAAUAAAAUUGUCAGUCUCCCGCUGGAAAUUCUGCUGCAAACUUUUCGCUAUUUGCUCAGAAAUGGAAGCGAGCCGGAAGUGGUUAGUACUUGGAUUUUGGCUCACAACUCGCGCGCUUACAUAUACGUAUUUCGGUUGUGUAACAAAAAGCAAAUUUUAUCAGUCCCGCUACUUAGGCAAAGAAGCCUCUACACUACUAUUAUCAGACCAACUUUAUACUUUUAUAAUUCAUGACUACAUUUUGAGUUUUUGCUUUAGAUUUAUAUAAUUAAUGGCUAUAUUUUGAUUUUUUUGGUCGUGAGUAGAUUUUUUGUCAGAAGCAAUAGAUAUUAUUAUCAUUAGAUAAUCACCUUUACAAUUUGGGAGCAGAGGCUCUUAACACAAACUCUUGUCUGAGUCACUUAAAUUUGCAUCUAACUCAUUUUUAAGGACUUUCACCCGGUAGGAAAUUAGCAUUUGGCAUGUCUAGCUAAUGUAAAGUGACAUUUGGAUAUUGUUAAAAGAAAUGUGUUUGGAUAGAAUAUCACUUGAAUUUUUUUUUUUUGGGUAGAAUUAUUCCUCAAGACUUUUGGUGAUUUAAUGCAUUUGAGAAAAAAGAAUCAUUUAUAGAUGAAAAGAUGAUUGAAAAAUACGUUUAUGAUGCAAAAAGAAGAAAAAAAAAAGGGUUCUUCACUCAUUUUGUAACCUAAAAAUGGUGAAACAACAACAAUUUGACUUCAAUUUUACCUACAAGAAAGAAAAUUGACCUUUGGGAGGUGGGACAGAACAGAAGAGAGAGAAAUUUUGCAAGCAAAGAAGAGAAAUAUGCAAGUCGUUAUUUUCUCACAUCUGAGAAUUUUAAGAAUAUUAUCUUCCUAUUGGAGAGUUAACAUAGAUUUUCAAAUACUUUUUAUUUUUUACGUAUCCAAUUUUCUUAUAAGAAGAUUAGACUUAAUGAAGGUAAACUCGACAACGAUAUUCUGCUCUCCAACCUCUUCCGAUUAUCUAAUGCACUACUAAUCUCCAAAAAUGGCAAGAAAAAGAAAGGGUGGGGGUGGCAAUAAUACAGUUUCCUACCGAGCCAGACAGACACAAAACUGGUCAUCAGAAAGUGAAGCAACAGUAUGUUCAAAAUACUUUCACAAAAUUGGUAAUGAAAUGUAGCAUAGUCAUAUACAUUACACAAUGAUGGUACAGAAAGAAUAAGAUUAGGAGCAAAAGAGCCCCAUGUAGAAAAAGGGUAUGGGACGAACAUGCUCAACCAUACCAUGUAAGUAGUGUCUUCACACUGGCAAGGCUGAGGACGACGUCUCAACUGGGCACACACAUCUUUACACGAAAACUUUUACAUGCCAAUCUAAACUGAAUAUUUUUGCACAAAGUUCUUGGCAGAAAUUGAUCUUCCAGCAGACUUUUCAUCAUGAUAUUUUCUCAAGAAUAAUGCACCAAUUUGAUUUAUCAAAAAAUCUAUCAACAACAACUGCAUUGCCUAUACCAGACACCAAUCUGCAGCAAGAACAAAUGGCACAAGAAGAGGCACAAUCAAUUAAGAAUGCUGCCUAGGUGUAAAAAACACGACAAACUACACAGAUAACACGAUUCUUCUUUAUUUUUCGGAAAAAAAAUUUGACAGUUAAGUUUCAUGGUGGAAUGGGUUUUCAGGAAAACUUCAUUGUAUGUUUAGGUUGGAUGUACCAUUCAUCUUGUAUAGCAAAAAGAUAAUAAAAAACAAACAGCAUUUAGAGGCAGCAGUCAAAAUCAUGUAACCAAAAGACAGAAUUGAUGAAAAACUAAUAUGGCAAAGGCAAAGAGUUCCAGGUAGGCAGCAAUGGCAUGUACAUAUAGUCACUGUUCCUUCAUAGAUACACAAACAAGAUGACCAUGGUGAAACUUCAAAAGUUUGGACUUCAUUGAAUUGCUUAUGAAAGGCGUCAUUUACAUUUCUUCCUUCUUAUUGGAGCCAACAGCAAGAGAAAUUAUGACACACAGAAUAGGAUGAAGCACUGAAAGUUAGUCAACUUCUCCACAGAGUGUUUAUAUUUUUAUAGUACCAAAUGAUGAUUGUGGAAUGCACUCUGUGACAUACACACACUAUCCUUCCAAAACCUAACAAAUGCACCCAAAAUGUCGAUCAUCUAAAGGACUUAGAAAAUGCAGAAAAUUUAUAAUGAAUGUACACCCAUUAAACCCACUAAAUUCUGCAAAUAACCCAUCCCAUGUUAGCACCAUUUGAAGCAACUGCAUAUUGAACAUAAGAGAAAUAAAGAUAAACAAAUGUCAAUAGUUAUCAAGCUUGCAGCUGGUAUUCAUGGAUAUCAGGGAACACAUUAAAGCUCUUGGAUACAAGGAAACAUGUAAAGUACUUACACGAUCCAGGGAGUAAAGGCAGAAAUGCUUACUUUUCAAGUUCACCUUCACUGAAAACAUGGUAAUAUCUGUUGUAAACCACUGCACCCUUCUUAUCAUCCUUCUUUGCGAGACCACUCGCAACAGCAUUAGCAGAAGCUCCACUUACUUCAGCUCGAUGAUAAGGCAAGUGCCAUGGAACAAAAAAUUCCUGCUGGUCUUCACAACCUUUUUUAGUUAAUGAAGCCAAUGAAAGAUCUGCAGCCUGAGAAUUCAUGUGCAAAUGCCUUAAUUGAAGUGAUCUUAAAUCAGUAUAUUUAUCCGUAAAUUCUUUUAACUGCUCUCUUGAACCAUUUUCCUCAGCUUCCGGUAUACUCUCCAGAGUUAAAGGGGAAGAAGGGCUUCGAACACGAGGACUACCUGGCCCUACCCACUCCUCCAAAUAUUUCUGAGUAAGUGGAGUCCACUUGUUUAAUAGUGCUCCAUCCUCUUGCUCCCUAGCCCAAACUGUUAUCAAAACAAAUCCACCCUUCUUCACAACACGGAUUAAUUCAUCUACGGCUUUUCUCCUUCUCCUUUCUGUGCUAAGGUGAUGUAAGACAGCAAUGGAGAUUGCUGCAUCACCAUAACCAGUCCGAUAUGGAAGAUUGACAGCAUCAGCAACCAAGACUUCAUGCCCUCUAUCCGCACAAAUCUUGAUAAGGGGUGCACUUAUAUCACAACCAAUAAAAUAGCAAUUGGGAUUAAGCCCCAAGUAUUUUCCAUUUCCACAUCCAGCAUCCAAGACAAGGGAUCCAGCAGCCAAAGAAUUCAGAAAAGCCGAAACCUUUGGCCACUUGGCAAACCGAGUAGAACUAAAAUGGGGAGCAAUUGCAUCAUAAACACGAUGAACAUACUUCUUUUCGAUUUCUGGUGUGGAUUGUACAACUGAAGAAGGAGACCUUAGGCUGGCACCAACCUUUACAGGUGGUAGAGCAGGAGAAUCUCCACCGGCUAAAGCGGACCCACUAGAGCCUUUGUCACUAGAGACUUCUUUCAUAUCACUAGAACUCCUCAGACUACAGAAACUACUUCGUAUGACAGAAGAAUGCCCAAAACCCCUCUUGAAAUAAAACCUACUAGCACUUGCAAUGCCCAAUACCAUCAAUUUGUACCAUGACGCUCACCAAUCAUCUGCAGAAAUCCCAAAACUCUAUACCAAUCAAACUAUGCAAGUUAAGGUAAUUUAUGGAUUUCAGACAAAGUUAAUUCAUUCAAAAAUUUAAAUACAGAACAAUAGCUACAAAUAAACAAAUCAAAGCAAGAUGUCCAACAGCUAUAUGCGGGCAUACACAAAUCAAAACGUACAAAUUUAUUCGGAAAAAAAAAAACACGUGAAUAUCAAUGAGAAUAUGAUCAAUUGAUCAUAAUACAAAAAAAGAAACAAAAAAAGCAAUGGAGUGAUGAUAACGAUACCUACCUACAGGAGAAGUGGUGGGUUGAAUGAGAAGAGGGAGCUCAACCGGAAGGGUGGAGGAGUCAAAAUCAGAAUGAUUAGGGUUUUAAGUCCUGUCUGCUUGCCGGUUGCCAGCGUAAUGGCCUACAAAUUUUGGUUUUAGAAAUUUAAAUACACUGUAGUAGUGUCUACUGGUAUUUUGCCUCGCGUAAUUAGCACAUUCUUGGUUUUAUUUAUUUGAGUUAAUCUUCUCAUAUUUCAGGACUUAUUGGAUGUUAUCCUGUUUGUUUGAAUUGUAAUUUUAAAAAAAAAAAAAAAUUUUUACUAUUAUCGUAAAUAUAUUUUUUAAUUAUUUUUAUCUCAUAUAUAUAUAUGGAAUAUUCUUUCACACAAAUUUUAAAAACUAAUAAUUUAAGUGGGAUUUAAAAUUUUUUUUUUUUGAUAUGCACGAUUCAAAGUUUAUUCUGUUGCAAGCUUUUGUUUUGGUGGCAUUUACCUUUCUUUUAUUAUAGUUCCAUUCACAUUCUUAAUCAAAUGGAGAAUGUCGGCUACCGAAAGUUCUAUGUCGUGAUCCCAAACAUGAAACAUCCACCCGUUUUUAUUUUUUUACUUUCUUUUCGUCCUUUGGUAAAGCACAAAGGACGGCAACAUUUUUUUAGACCGGAAAGAGGACAAGAAAGUUUUCUAGAUGAUGAUCAUCAUUAUCAACUUCACGUUCAUAUUUUCAUCGUUCAGCGUCAUGACUCAUGAGAAUGGUUACAUGUAUGUAUCCACACUAAGGUUCAAACUUGCCUUUUUCCUAAUGCAAGUUCCGGCCAACAAACACUCAAGAUAGACUACUGAUAUGCAUUACUUUGUUCUGGAGAAACAGACGGACGAUCAAACCAUUUUUAAUCACUUAGGAAUUUAAUGUCUUUGCCAAAAAGAAACAUACCGUUUUGAGUUUUCAAGCCCACAUAAAUCGAGAGAUUGGUUAUCAACUCAGAAGAAAUAGGAAUUAGAAUUUUUUUAAGUGCAGAAGAAAUAAGAAAAUGGGAAGCUAAUUUUGGUACCUGAUCCUCUUAUCAGAACUAUUGUAUGUGGUGUUUCCACAAAUGAAAGUCAUGUAUAUAUUGCGUUCCUCAUGGCCUAGUAUCAGUAACCAAAUCCAUGAGCCAGUCAAAAACAAAUGGCGACUCAAAGCAACCAAAGUUACAAGGACUAGAGUACUAGACUAGUAUACAUUUAAUUGGCAUUGAUGCUAAGAUAAACUAAUGGUUCAGACCCCAGUCAUACGGCUGGUAAACUAAUUUCAGUUGAGUACUGGAAAGCAACUCCAACAACGUCUGAGACUGCUCCGGCUCCAAAUAGUUUGCACCAUGCUUCAGCACCUCAACUUCAGUCUUCCCAAAAUCAGAACUAUACCUGCAUGUUGCCAUAUGAGAUAACUUUAUUCUAGACUCUUAAGUAGAAAGCAUGGCAGCACCAGAUAAACUUUUAAACUAGUCAACUGAACAAGCCAAUUAAUCACUACAUCAUGCAUGUACUCGGAUAGUUGUGGUCAAAGCAAGAAAAAAAAAAAAGAAAAGAAACAAAUUGUAGUACUGAAACAGAAAAACAACUACAUACCAUCUAAAUAUCUUGCUUAUAUACAGAGUCUUGGCAUCUAAGUCAACAAUGAGUCCUCCACUCCUUAUAAAAUUAUGGGCAGCUUCCAUCAACUGUUUAUCAAUGUCCCCAGGUGAAUAGCAGCGAAGAGCUGGCCCAGAUCGAGUACCAUAAACCAAAGCAAAAUGGACAAGAGGCUCUGGGUAAGGCAGAAUCAUCUGAUAAAAGAAAAAAAAAAUGAUUACUCAAAUUGACAAGUCUAUAAAAUCCAUGACUGGAAUGAAGUUAUGUGCAUAGAGUUCAUAAGAAAUAAAAUAAGUUGAGGAUGCAAAGGACAAUUAACAAGCAUGACUAGCAUGUUAAAUCUCCUAAAUUCAGUCUUAAAGCUACAGAAAUUUUGUUAGGCAAAGUCGAUUUGCCAUAUAUAACCAGUUCUAAUUUGCCUAGACUCAAACUUCCAAAAAAUGGACAGAGAUUGAUACUCAGAAGAACUAGUUUAGAAUGAAAUUUUCAGGAACAGACAUGGUUGUUGCUUGACUUAAAGCUCCAUCAAACAACAAAAGUCUCUUCCUGUUAAGAGACCAAACAGCUAAUGCCUUAAUGAUCACGAUCUUCAACAGUAAGUUCUUGACAAUAGAAAAGAAUGUCAAAAAUAGAGAGUAACUUACCUUAAUACGCUUAUCUUUGAUUCCAAAUGGCUUGGUCAGAUUAUAAGGUGGCCUCUGAUUGGACCUUAAAAUGCCAUUAUAGAUAGCUGAGAGUGAAUAUGUACAGCCCCCAAUGACAUAUUUGAAAUCUCCAAACAAUUUUCUUCUCUCAAGUGGCCCAGAAGGAUGACCCCACACCAGUAUUGCAUGAAUGGCCAUCAUAUUAUAGAGGUUAAUAAAAAACGAAAGCUUCUCCUCCCUUGGCAUAUCAUGUAAUUCCACUCUUUGAAGCUCCUCAAUUAUCCUCAAGUACCUAGCAGGUGUGUGCUUUUAGCAGUCAAGGCCAAGGUUGACUUCAGGCCAAUAGAAGAUAAAUAUUCAAAUUAUGCAGCAAAUCCAAGGGUGCCAACAAACCUUGCAAAUUCCUCACUCCCAUGGAUGCUCCUAUAAUCAACAUGCUUCCGAUCUUCUGAAGUGUAAGCUUCUAAGAUAGCAUAAAACAAAAAUCGCAACCUUGAUGAAAUUUCAAUUAUGGGCUUUGGCUUGGCUUCAAUUACACCCCUUGGUAUAUUCUGGCAUUGGGAUACAAGGGGGUCAUCAUCAAGGAAACGGUACAAGUGACUGCCAUCUUCAAACACGUUCUCACUGGGCAAGCACAUUAUAACAAAUCUAUAAUAUGCCAUGGGGAGGAAGCUCAAAUACAGAAAACAUCAAAACAGUUUAGAUAACUCACUCGAGAACAUGCUGAAAGAAGAGUUUGCUUGCAAGCUUCCGACCAAAUUCAACAGCCUACUUAUAGCACCAGAAAAUGGAAAAUUAGUGGGUAACAAGAUUUAAAUUGGAAAGUGCAAGAAAAUACACAAUUAUACUUCCUUUUUUUAUCCUUAUCUAAGUUCCUCAGCCCUUUUUCUUUUUCUUUUUUCGCACAAUCUACAAAAAAGAGAUGAAAACUAGAAAUGCAAAUUCAAUAAAAUUACAGCCGAAUCUUUUAUGACCUAACACUUACUAGCUAAAACUUAAAGCCAAAAAAAUGAGUAAAUUACAUGGUGAAAAGUAAAGCUUGCUGUUAAAUCUAAUGAGAAGUAAAAAGAAAAUCCAAAAGUAAGUCAAAGCUUGUAUUCAAAUUAUUGCAAGAGCUAAGUAGUGAUAGAUAUGAAAUAGCCUUAUUCCGAACAUCUGUCUCCUACCCUGUAUGGUGUAUUUGCAACUGUGGAGGCUAUUUGACCAACCAUUUAUAAAAUCUCCAGAAUGUUAGUUCCACUGAUCACAUUAUCUUUGAAGAAGGAAAAACAGUGCCUUGGUGUUGCAGAUAUGUGGACAAGAAUUUUAAUGUAGAAAACUUAAUCUGCAAAACACUUGAGCUUGGCUCAUUGAGAAAGCCAUUGAUAGUUAUAGGCAUGAAAUUGAAAAUGUUGCAACAACAGAAACAAGAAUAGAACUAAAAUUUUCUAUAUAAGAAAAACUUAAGCCUAAGGAUUUAUGUCAAAGCCAUAUGACAGACAUUAAAAGCAUGAUACAGUUUCCAGGAUUGAGAACUUAAUAAGGCCAUGCACUCUUCAGAACAAGGCCAAAAUUUAGAAACAAUGAGUGUGUUUGGAUGGUAGAUUAUUUGUGAUAAGUUUUUUUAAAAAUAGUGUAGCAUUUUUUUGAUGUGAUGUAUGUGAGAUAAAACGUGGGUGAAAAAUGUAUUUAUGAUGCAAGCAAAUAAAUUUGUGCGAAUAAUCCACUAUCCAAAUGAACACAAUAUUUUCUCUAAAAUGAUGAUGGAACCAUUAAAUCGAUUAAUGUUUGCAGCAGAAGAUAGUAUCAUAAAGCAUUAAGUGCAAGAAACCACAAAGUCAAUACAAAGUUUAUAGCAUGCUCAACCAGUGGAUAUGCUUGGCAAAGCUAAAAUGAAAAAGUAACUUACCUCCUCCCUUUCCAAGUAUUGAUCUUCUGACAAAAAAUCCACAGCUUCCAAACCAAGAAAACAGUUAGUGAAGCGGCGCAUCUUAUAAAAUCGAUCCUUAACAACAAUAUUUUCUUUCAUUUUUCGAGCAAUGAGAGCAAGCUCAUCGAUAGAACCGCUGCUAGACAGAUCAUCUUCACCGGAAAGUGGUGGCAGAGGAGCUUCAAAUGAUGGUACUUCAGAUAUGACAUAUUCAAUCUUCUCCUCAAGCUUUCCAGACUCAUCCAAACUCUUUAGCUCACUCAAACCACCAACAAGUACUUCAUUAAAGAAAAUUUUAGGAACAGCAGAUGAUCCUGCAAUCUUUUCAAGCUCUAACUUUCUUCCAGGGUAUACAUCGAUGUUUAUCUCAACGUAUCUGAGUCUUUUCCUAUGAAGAAAUUGCCUUGCCUCUUUGCAAUCCUGGCAUCCUAACCUUGUGUACAAUAUGAUACGUCCUUUCAUGGGCAGUGGUUCUGUUAUGACUGUUGCAUUCCCCACUUGUUCAUCCUUAUUAUCUGCAUCAGCCUCACGUGAAAUCCCAAUUAAGCUCAAGGGAUUCCAUCCAUAUCGUUCUACAGUUUUUGGAGAACACUCUUGGGCUGCACUUUCUCUUGAAGAACCUGCAACCUCCUUUUUUUCUCUGUUGCUAGUAUUAUUCUCAUGUUCCUCAUCAGGAUCAUCCUGUCCAUCAUUACUUUUCCCAGAAAGGCGACGCAGAAGCCUGGAGACAGCAACUACACUUUUCUCCUUCACAAAGUUCUUGACAGCCACUGCUUUCUCAGGCCAGGCAUAUCCUUGUGUCUCUGACUCAUUCUCCAUGGAACUACCAGAUGAACUCCUAUUCGGGUCCAUACCAGGAUGCUCAGUUCCAUCGAAGACGGGCUCUUCUUCCUCUUCAUAAAGAAUAUCCUCAAGAUUCUUGGUUGUUCCUUCUGAAUAUCCAGCCUCCUUUUCACCCAAAUUACUGUGUGUCUUUUGACUACCUGCUUCAGUGGCUUCUUCACUAACAUUCCGCAAUCCUAGUGGUUCUUUCUGCAGUUCAACUAUUUCCUCCUCUGACUUUUUACAACGUACAGAAUCUACAUUCCCGUCCUCUGAAGAGAUUUCUUUUCCAUCUUCACCUUUCGCUAAGUCAGAUGGGCCUUUCUCACUCUUGUUAGUUGGAGAUUCUAUGACAUCUUUCUUGGUAGGACUUUCUUUUUCAUGUUCAUCUAUUCGUGUGUCAGGUGCAUUUUCCUCCAGCACUUGAGAUGCCAAGUUAGUAUCUAAAUGUGGCUCCAUAUGAAGUCCAUUUUCAUUGUGUUCUUUAGGAGAAUCAGAUGUAUCACCUUCCUUUCCUGGAUUUGAAGAAUUAGCUGCCUUUUUCUCAACUGAUUCUUCCUUUUCCAUGACCAAGCUAUAUAUAAACUCCACCAACUCCUGCUAAGCUAAUGCUUUCAAUUUACUUAUCAAGAGGUUCACUGGCCAGCAAGACAAAGGUAGCAACAAAAAGCAGCCUGUCAAAAUAUCACAAAAGCAAACCAAAAUAAGUACUAUCAAGAUUUUACUUCAAUGCAUCGGCUAAACCAACCAGAAUACAGUUUUCACGCACCACAAACAGUUCAUUUCAAUGUAAUAACAACAAAGGAACUCUUACAAACAGUAUCAAAUAAAUCACAUUCCUACUUGAAAGUUAUUAGCACUGAGCUAGUGAUUCGUCUGUAGAAAAAGUAUGAGAUUUCAGUCAUCUAUUUCAAAACUUCUGAAAAAAGUGGACAUAAAUGAAAAUCUGACAAAACGAAUGUGAAAGGUUCAAAUUAAACAAAUACUCAGCAAACAAGCUUUCAAAAGCUAAGAUUAACACUCUAAAUCACAGAAGGCUUGAAUCUUAUGAAAGUCUGACAAAAUUUUAACAGCAAAUUGUUGAUAAUGGCUGUGGUCUCAAGCCAGAACAACGGAUUAAACCUUCAAAUUAGGGCCACAAAAUCCGCAAAGAAGACUAAUCCAACACGGAAACUCAUAGCUAUACCCCAGGAACAUGUACAAUAUCAUGAGAAAAAACAAAAUAAAAAUAUAGAAGCUGAAAGGAACUAAGAAUAUCAAAUUUAAGCAAUUUUGAACCCCCAAAAAACAUAACAAUAAGACAAAAAACUAUCACCAACUAAUGCUAAAGACUUUGCCAACCCAAAAAAAGGAAGAUAAAAACCAAGCAUACUUGCAGAACAAUUCAUAUUAGCUAAAAAAAAAAUGAAAUGACAGAAAUUUCGUCAUAUAUUCUUAUCAAACGCAAUGCUAAACCCAAAAAAAAAUGCGAAAUAAAAAUUUAACUGAAAUAAAUUCAGGAAAACGCAACAUGCCGUGAAUUAUGGAAUGACGAGAAAUGAAAGUGGGGGGGGGACUUACAGAUCUGAGAAAGGAUAGCUUGAAAAGAGAGCAGAGGAGAUUGAGAAUAGAGAGAAAUUGAGAGAAAAUAUUAGGGUGGUAAUAAAUGUCAAUUUGACGAAAGUGAAAACUGUCCCUAUUCGUUGUUGUCUGGUUGGAGUGUGUUUUAGGGGGUCUUCUUUGACAGAAGACGAGGAGAAAACAGAACACACCCACGCCAGAAGCGGGAACUGGCUUCUAGGCAUCUUUUGCAAUCCACCCCCUUCCUUUUAGUCAAGAAUUUCAGAAAAAGCCCUGCAUCUUUUUUUUUUUUUUUGGUUCUUUUAGUAAGAUUUUCUUUUAAGUCUCUUCUAAGUGUUUUCUCGUUUUGAUCCUUGCGUGAUAUGGAAAAUGGUAAACAAGGGUUAGAGUGACACAAUGAUGACUAUACUAUGUUAUGUUAAUGGAUAUAAAAGACGAGUGGUCGAACUCAAUUUAAGAAUAUAUUUAUUCUUAAUAUUUUUAAAUCAUUUUUGAAUGAAAUUAUAUGUUUUUUUUAAAUUUGAUUAACACUUUCUUAUUGAUCUAAGGGCAUUUUCACCCGUUUUUUUAUUCUUUCUUUGUUAAUCAAAUUCAAACGUAUGUCGCAUCUUCUGUUAAGUACUUUCAAAAUAUUUUUAUAACGUUUUCUACAACAUUUUUGUUAUUACAUAAAUCAAGAACACUCAUGAAAUUGUUUUGAGAUGUGUUAUCAAGUACUAAAUCAAGAAAGACAUGAAGCUUAUAAUCAAACUCAAUAAGUAGUGCAAACUUUAGAAGAUGUUGAGCUUGGUCGUAGUUGAGUCCAAAUUGAAUUAACUUAUGAGGUCCCAAACUUAUUACACUUUUCGUUUGAGCCCAUAUCCUUUUUCGAUUUGGAUUUGCAUGUUGCCAGUUGCCAGUACUAUACAUUGUGAGUGCUAUGUUACCUUCCCUGUGGACCAGUCAAUUUGACUUUCAAACUCAGCUGGACGAGAAAUAAUAAUGCAAUAACUUCCAAAAGGGCAAACAAAAAUAAAAGGUACGAAAGAUUUGAGUGGGUUCGAUUAGCUUCCCCUUACUUUUCAACUUACUCUUGAUUUCUUUUAUGGUUUUAAUUUGCCAUCUUCAAAUUCAUCUCUUCUAACAAAUUUGUGGAAUUUUCAAUUCCAAAUACCAAAUUUUGCUUCAAUCACAGUCAAUACAAGAGAGUAAUUAACCAUUAUUAUCACUAACUCUUUAGAACGACUUUGCAAUCUUCAUGAAUAUUCAGAGUUCGCUUUAGAUUUGAAAGAGGAAUAAAAUUAACUAGUACGAGUGAGGGAGUAAAACAAGAAGUUCUGAAUUCGAAACCUAUCACUGACACUAUAAAAAAUUAAAAAAUAAUUCAUUUAUAGACUUAUGUAACUAUGACAGGUAAGCACAAAAUACAGGUCCAAUUCCCCGUGCUUGACUUAAAACAGGUUUCCAAAUUCCAACGGCGAUUCAUUAUGAGACUAUGGAUGAUUAACGAAGGCAAUACAUUUCAUACACGAAAUGUCUUUUGCGUGAUCCUGUGUAUCUGUAACAACUUCAUUGGUCUUUGGCUAUAGGAGUUGUUUUCAAUGUUUUGUAGUCAUCACUAGCCCUUGAUUCGUGAACACUAGAUUUACAAUCUGACAAACAAAUUGUCAAGAUCGGACAAAAUUUCUACAUCAACCAUUUUUACACUUUUUUUUUUCUUUUCUUUCGAGAAAUGUACACGCAUCAAGGUGGUAGACAUUAGCCUAUAAGUAAUCUUGAAUAGAAGGCUCGAAGUUAUCCCCCAAAAAAAAAAAAAAAAAAAGCCUCGAGGACUUGCAGGGCCAGGUUUAUCCUCCACCAGUAGAAAUGGGAUACUACUCUAGUAUUUCCGAAACUGUUCUGAUUGUUACUGUAAUUUGCAAGUAUUUAAAAAAAAUGUGAACCCGUUUGAGUUGCUACUUUAUAAAGUUUUUGUAGAAAAAUACAGUGUAGGAAUUUUGAUGUAGAUAAUGUAAAAAGAUGAUUGAUAAAUGUGUUCAAAAAAAUAUAAUUUUUUUUUAAAAAAAUUGAUAAUUCAAAUAAGGUCCAUAAUUUACUUGUACCCUAUAGAUAUAUUUGAUUGUCCAAUUUUAAAUUCUAUCGACAAGGGAACCAGCACAUUUGAUAGUUACUAAUUAAUUUACCAAUUAUGUAGUAAUAACACGUACUGGUUGCAACAAUAACAGAAAAUUUAGCUAAUACAAAUUGAUCUGGACAGCCCAGGAACCAAAAUAUUCUACAUCUUAAUUGCAUGUCGGAACGAGUGAGCCCCUUUUUUUUUUUAUUACUUAGUAGCCUUUGCAAUCAUCACCAGUUUUUUUUUCCCAUGAAAAAAAUGACUAUUAUUAAUUAGAUUGUUGAAAAUCGUCGAGCACAACUUACUUUACAAAAUCCGAUGGAGAAUUCUAUAGGAAAUCCAUAAGGUUAAACGUUUUAGCAUGAAAAGCUAAUGAGCAAAUUAUUCGGUUGACCAUUAAAUUUUUUUAAUCGUCGAGUUUUGGUCACUCAACUAUUAAAAGUUUGAUUUUGGUCACUAAAAUGUAUAAACUUAAGACUCGAGGCCAUUCUGUUAGCUUUAGUCGUUAAGUUUGUCGGUCUGUCUGUCAGCGCAAUUUCCAAGACAAAAGAAAAGGUUAAUUUAGGAAGUUCAAUAUGCAUGUUCUUCUUCUUAUUGUAUAAACCUAAAAAAGGUAGAGUACUAGAGAAACUACAAGAGAGAAGAAAAUGGAAGAAGCCCAACUUGGAUUAGAGGAAGUAGUAGGACCAAACUUAAUGCCACCAAGAGUCAUGCCAGCAAAUUUCAUUUCCCCAUAGGGGGUUUUCUAGAAUGAACCCUAAAUUGCUAAUCCCCUGGGGGAGUAGUGAAGAUCCUUGGAUUGAGGCCAGUGUAAUUUGGGGCAUGGAGGUUGGGAGUUCUUGGGAAUGGGUUGUUGCCCCUCUCUGCAAUUACGCUGCUGCUGAUAUUUCAUUUCAAUGCAAACAAACAACCCUGUACACCUCUUGAGGUUUUUGAAAUUAUCCCUUUUAUCUUUCGAUACUACUCUGUACAGCUUCAAUAGCAGAUCGGGAAUAUCUGAUCAAAGCAACCGAAGGACCUGUGCUUAACUUCGACCAUCCAUAGCCAUCUCCUCCCUCGAGUCUGCCUUUCAUUCUGGUUACCUCCCUCUCCUCUCCUCUCCAAAUUUCAGCACCACCACCCGUUGCAUAUGACAUGAAAGCCUUCUCGUCUUCUUUGGCCUUUUUAUUUUUUCCUUCUCUUGAAUCUCUGCCACCCACUUGCUGGGUCUUUGAGCCACGGGGAGAUUCCAUCGAUUGAGGCAGUGUAAUUUGGGGCAAGGAGGUUGGGAGUUUUUGGGAACGGGUUGUUGCCCCUCUCUGUCAUCCAGAAGAUGCAUGUUGAACUUCUCAAAUUGAUCCUUUUUUUUUUGUCUUGAAAAUCACGCCGAUAGACGCAUUAGAGAACUUAACGACUAAAUCUAACAGGAUGAUCUCAAGUCUUAAUUUUAUACAUUUUAAUGGUUAAAACUAAACUUUUAAUAGUUGAGUGAUCAAAACUCAACGCCAACCGAAUAAUUUGCUCAAAGCUAAUUUAUGCGUGCACCCUAGGAAUCCAAUUUAUACAUUGACUUUCCAUCAGAGGUACUCAAGCUUUCUCCAUGAUGGAAUGUUCCUUUUUUUUUUUUUUUGAAAAAUUAAUGGAACAGUUCUUAGAUAGCAGCAGCACAUCUUCCUCAUCUUGCAGGAUAUAAAAUAAUAAAUAACCGACGGUGCAUCACCCUCAAGGACACAGUUAGAAAUCUUAGCCAAAGUCUACUGCUUCGUGACCUGCGAUUGCUUCUGCUACUUCUGCUGUAACUGAGCCAUCACCAGUUGAUUAUUAUAACACGACAAAUGGUACGAAGUAUUGAAGGGCUUUCACCAUGUUAAUGAUAGGAACAUGUGACAAAUGCUAAGAAUACAAAGAUGGAAGGCAAGAACUUUACAAAAUCUAUAUUCGUAGUCAUUGGUAUCCAAUCAUUAAAUAGUACUAAUCUUCGAAUUGAUACCUAACCUUUUAACACUUUCUCCAACGUUUUCCAAGGCUAGUGGUUGAAUAGCUGAAGUAAAGUGCCCAAGUAAAACGCAAAAGUAAGCAAUUGAAAAUGAAAAAGUGAAAUUAGAUUCCAAGUCAAGACAUGUAAACCUACUUAACUACUGGAUUUAGCAAAUCUAUUUUAAUUGUGGUAGUGCAAAAAUGUCAAAUUUUUUUUUUUGAAGGAAACAAUAUAAUGUCAAGUUUCAACUAACUCCUGUGCAAAUAAGGCAUCAUUUCUUUUUCUUGUUUUAACUUGCACAAGGAUCAAACUGAAUCAGAUUCCAUGACCCAAUUUUUGCUUAAUCUAGCACAUCCAACAGAAUAAUAAUCACUAUUCCUCAAAUUUAUGCCCCAGAAUCUCUUUCAAUAUUUGGACGAAUCUCUGCGCAGACGGCCAACGCACCUGCACUAUAGAAGAAGAGCACAAGUCAAACAACAACUACUAACAACUACAAUCUGACCAACCAAAGAAACUUCAAGAAACUAGUCUGAAAUACUAGUUUCUAUUUUGGUUCAUUGCUUUAGUUGUGCCCCGAACCAUUCUUUUUUCCUCAUCAUCUCCCUCUUGUUGUGUAGAAGAAUGAAGGCUUUGGAAAAACUAUGCUCACAUUUUUACAAAGUGGCAGCCAUUAUCUUCUCCAUAAUACUUCCUCAAUCCAUAAGAUUAACAAUCUUGAUUAUACGUGCUUCCUGGAGCUGGUACAGACGUACAAGCUCCAAGUACAAGUACAUGGCAGCAAUCAACAAGAAAAGCUCCAAGUUUGUUUACACAAAGGAGUUGAGAAGAUUGAGGACAGAGCCACUUAUUUGCUCCAUCUGCUUAUCAGAUUUUGUGGAAGGAGAAGAGGGCAGAGAGCUUCUACAAUGCAAGCAUAGAUUUCACAGAAAUUGCAUAGAGAAAUGGCUUCAGGGCUGGCAAGCUACAUGCCCACUUUGCAGGCACUUGGUGAUACCUAAUGAGAUUGUUGCAGAAUAUCAGAUAUCACAGAUUGUGGAAGAAAAUAACAGCAGUGAGGAGGAAUUAGCUCUUGUUUUCUUGUCUCCCCUGCACCUGCAUGGCAGGCAUCAUCAUGGGAUUUUCUAGUGAAGUUGAUGCAUUAAACACAAACAACCACACGCAAGAGUUGCUCCAGUGGUUCAGCGAAAGACUUUUAGAAUUUUUUUCUACUAUCAAGUUUAGGAUUUGAUUCAGUAUUCGAAUUUUGUACCAAAGGAUUCCCCAGACAAGGGUUAGAGCAUAAAUGGUAAAAGCACCUGCUUAGGAAUUUAUGCACUGGGGGAUAUGAAGUGUAUUGUGCACUGGGGUUAUGAAGUGUAUUCUGUUCCUCUUUAAUCCUCAAUGUAUCAAAGAGAAAUUAGUCACUUUUCCAGAGUUAUCGGCCUUAUGCUAAGACAAUGUGAAAAAUGAAUAGUUUCGGCUCCAGAGAGGGGACGCUGCCAAGACUUCUGUCACUAUCACUCUCACGAGAGUAGCAUUUUACGCACCCACUUUAAGAGGAGGGGCAGGAAUGGUUGCAAGAAAGUUUAUGAUCAAGAUCGGACAAAAAAUAUAUAUAUAUAAGGUUUAGAUUGUAUUUUGUACAUUUUUUUAUAUAUCGUGUGUGUAGGAUUCAAAAAAUUUUAUUGUAUAGUUACACGUUAUUGAAAUUGAAUUACAUCGUAUGUAAUGCAAGUUAUAUCUUUGUGCAAAAUGCACAAAAUGGAUCGAACUAUUUUCCAGACGAUCGUUUGGACCUAUGUCCCCCAUUUGAUCCCUUUUUCUUUUCUCUUUUGAAAUGUGAGGUGCGUAAGUGUCACUACUCACCAGUACAUGAUGAAUACUCACUAGAGAGGGCUUCGAACUUGCGAAAUAUGUAUGCAUCGAUUUCCUAGCAGUACUUAUGGAAACGGUACCAGAACCAGACAGACAUCAAAUUCAUUGCGUGCAUGCUUGAUUUUAGUCGAACUUUUAAUUCCACCGACAAGGAAGAUCGGACGAUUCUUGCUCAUUUUUAUCUAUGUGGAUGGUUGAUCGUCCUACUUUGAUUCCACCGACAACGAAAUCAGAGCAAUGAAUAAUUGAUACACAUCUGAAUCAGAUAUUUAUUCCACGCACUCAAUCCAAGAACAGGGAAUUAUUUAAUAUUCAAGUCGAAUGGAUACAUAUAAAGCACUAGACCCAAAAAUUGUGGUUCUGCUGCUUCUUGCUGAUUAUAUAUUUAUAUAUGUUGGACUAAGUGUAAUGCCCUUUAGUUAGAGACCACCAGUUUUCAACUGAUUUUAGCUUCUAAAUCUGAAAAAUAUGAUAGCUUCUGGAUCCAAUAUGAUUUUAAUCUGCAUCAACGUUGCCAUGGUUGUGUUGUAUUGGAGGAGCCCAUGAGGUGGCAUUGAUUUUUCGCAUGCUUAGUUUAGUGGUGUAUUUUUUUCUUCAUGGUUGAAUACGAGAAGGUGCAUGUUAUUUAGGACAUGAUCUCUCCAGUAAAUUAAAUAUAUAAACAGUGAGAGAUAAGAGCAUGAGAAAUUUUAAGAAUCUCAUAGCAUUAACAAUACGAAUCUCUGAAUUUCAGGCUUUCACUCAGUUCCACCCUAGUACAGCUCAGUAUGUCUGAAAUAGGAUAAGCCGAAAACAUACUACUGUUUCCAGACCUAUCUAUAUCAGUGGAAGAGAAUAGUCCUGUAAUUGGGCUUUCCGUCCGGUGGCUACCAUCGAAGCAUUAAAACUUAAAACUUAAUGGAAUGAGAGCCAAUGAUUCAAAUCUUGCUUUCCAUCAAUUUGUCACAAUUAAAUGUUGUUUUACUUAAAAAAUUCAGACGGAUACAUAGUGCAUUCGUCUGGUCUGAUAGUGGUUCAGUCCUAUCCGUGUUACUCUUGGAUCUUUUCAGGUUCUCCCCCUUCCCCGUAGUAUAGAAAAUUAUUGUAUCGAUUAAAAAAAAAAAAGAACAAGAAAGUUUUCUUUGUGGUCAGUUUAAUUGUCAUACAACCGGACAGGAUUUUCCAAAUAUAAACCCAAAUUAAGAACUGAAUAGGAGUUAGGUGACCAACGCGAUAACUUUUAGGGAAGAGAAAUACACAAAAGGAUCCACAAAUUAGGGUGUAGAAAUUGUAUAUAUUUUAGGGAUAAAGAUAGAGGAAAAUGGUAAGACAUAAAAAUAAGCAAUGAAAUUGAAGUCUGAAAUCUGAAUUCUGAAUCCAUUAACUUAUUGAAUUGUUAAGUAUUAAAUCUAAUACAUUUGAGUACAUAUCACAUUCAAUGAUAAGUAAAUAGUUUAGCACUUAAUUUUGGGAGCAAGUUUUACCUAGGAAAUUCAGUGCCACUUAAUUAAUUUAGAUGUUCAAUUUUUUGUUAUCAACCGAUUUGAAUAUACUAAAAUCUGAAUCCAUUAAAUUUAAAUGUUAAAUUAGAUUAUUAAACAGGGUCUAAGAGUAAUUUGCAACUCUCUGGAUUAUAGCAUCUACCAUCGCUCUCUCUCUCUCUCUCUAUAUAUAUAUAUAUAUACACACACACACUUUUUUGGAAAUAAAACAUCUCAGACGUGAAAAUCAUAAAACUUUGGUACACAUAUAUAUCAAUCAACCGCCCUUCCAAGGCAGCCGAACUGGUCUCACUAAGAGUUAGUACACCCGAGACCCAGUGAUCGAGCCUUGUCACAAAAACAGGGAAUAACCCAACAACUCGAAUAAGGGUUGGGAUUUGAAGUGGGAUCAGGUCUUUUUUUUUGACAAAAAAUAUAUGUAUAUAUAUAUACACAUCAAUCAAUCAAUCAAUCAAGGAAAUGGCCUAAAUUAGCUAUUGGACUCCUGACCAAUUUGAUCAAUAAUGAACAUAGACGAAAUUCUUGCACCAUUUUUUUAUAACAGACUACAAAUAUACACACAUACCUCUCAUCAUCAGACGUAAGUACAAAGAUGCAUACGAGGUCUUUAUCACAUUAACAUACAUGUUCAUAUAUGCAUGUAUGUCCCUUAUUAUCAUAGGCAACGCCAAUAAUAUACCAUGAGAAAUUCACACUCGAGUCUUGAAAAGAUGUCUUGGUUUGGACUCUGGAGUCUUUAAAUACUUGUCUCAAAUAGUCAAUCGGCAGCUGACAAGACUACAGUCUUGCUGUAUCAGGAUGCUCAUCCCGAAACUAACUGUGCCUUUGAAGAGUUAGCCACCGAGUGAAAUACUACAUAUGGUGCAGGUCACAGGUUUAAAUUUUAUAAUUACAAUAAAAUUUAAAUCAUGUGCAGCAAUACAGUCUUUUGGUCUAAAGGCAGUAACCUAUCUCUUUUAACCCGGAUAAGGGGCAGGGACGGUCAUGUCCCUGCACAGUUCAUGGUCAGGAUUUGGUCAUAAAAAAUUGUAUAAUCUAAAUCACGUAUUGUAUCUCGAUUUUCACAAUAUAUGUGGAGUUCACAAAAUUUUAUUUUGAAAUUACACGUUAUGUAAACAAAAUUACACCGUAUGUAAACAAAGUUACAUGGCGUGCAAAAUGCACAAAACCACCAAUAACGGUUGCACCUGUCCGUGGUCCCUUUUCCUUUGCUUGUGGGCACUAAGAGGGAUCCAUUUCUCCAAGCGGGUAGAGUCCUGAAAACUAAGGCCUUGCUUGGAUUGCAACUUUCCGUCGGAAAAUUACGUUGUUUUCCGUGAUCACAUUUCCCUAUCACCUUUUUCCCUCACAUACAUCAAAUCGCUACAGUAAUUUUUCCAUGAAAAAUGACGGAAAAUGCAAUCCAAACACAACCUAAAUCUUUUGCACGUUUUUACUUCACAUUUCAAUUAAAACUCAAUACCUGCAGAAAAUUUUAGAGGUAAAUAGCCCUAUUAUACAUGUAGGAGAGGUGGAUGAGUUGGGUUUAAUUAAUUGCUGGUUCUUGAAGUUCUAUGUCACAGAGAACGAAAAACAUGGCCAUGUUUGGCAAGUAAGUUUUUGGCCAAAUUUGUCUGCUAUAAGUUUUUUAACAACUUUAACUACAAUAAUCUCAAAAAAAAUUUCAAAGUUUUUAAACUAUACAUUUCAAAAUAUUCAAAAAAUUUUCAUACAAUUUUUACAGUAAAGUUUUAGACAAAUACCCAAAAAACUCACUUAUCCAUAGCACCGUCUUGAACAGACGCAAGAUGCUUAUCAUUUGUUUGUUUUAACUCACAGAUAGAAUCCAACAUUUGAACUCAACCAGAUUCCAUGACAACUAUUUUUCCCUUGUAAUUAUGCGUGCCAAUAAAUAUUUAAAUUCUCAUUAACAUAUCAUUGUUCAGAAUUCUUGCUCUAUCAUAACACCAUCUUUUGCAAUUGGCAACCUUACAAGUCUAUCCCAUCAGAUGACAAACUUGUCAACAACUACUUACUACUAGUAGUUGACUUCUUGAAGCUGAUCUCUCCUGAAUCCAAAGGAAAUGAAGGAAAGUUUAAUAUCAACAUUAUGGAACAGUUGAAAAGUGCAACUUAAAUGUGUGUUGUUGACUGAUAAUGCCAUAAGGUGACAUCUUGAAAGUUGAAAUCAAAAUAAUUAACCGCUCCAUCUUCUUUCAGUUGACAAGCAAGUUGAAUUAAAUGUCAAAGCUGAUCCACAGAAGCAACCAUUCAUGAAUAAUCAAGUAGCAGGGAUAAUCAAAUUCUUGAGAAAAUUGUUGACUCUGAGUUUAGUUCAUUUCAAAGUAUCUAUAUGGGAAAAAGACUUUCCUGCCUAGAACUUCUUCAAAUAUCUCCAUGAUCGUUUAACAGCGCAGCGGAAGAUGUGACGACUGUUUCCCAAACCAAUUAACCAUCAUAGAACAAGAGAACGGCCGUGGACAUAGACGAACAGUAGGAGGCAAACUUCUUGGAGAGUAAAUCCACACGGCUGAUCAGAGGAAAGCACGGGAUCAAGCCCUUGAGUAGACCAAGAAAACGAAAUUCUAAACAGGUUCCAUAUAUCCAGGAAGCCAACUCUAUUUUCUAACUUAUUACCAAAUGAAAAAUAUGAUCCUAUAGUUACUAAAGUUCAAAAAAGGCUUAAUUUAAGAAAAAUAACUAAAAUUAAAAACAACUACCUGCAUGCAGCAUUUCAUUUCCAAUCGCAAUCUUUGUCAAUGAAAUUAGAAUGAAGAUGCGAAUGAGCAAGCUCCUUCGUGAGUUCGGAUUGCUCUUCUUUAUCCUAUUUUUAGCUAUACAUAUAUAGUAUUUACAGCCUGUAAUUCCUUUCGGUUAUCUAUUUAAAUCGUUCUUGCUUCUUGUUAAAGUUGAAAGCAAAAUGAAUAAUAACCAGUAAUUGUAUACGUUAAAAUAGAUUUACAAUAGCUUGUUUAUCUUGAGGACAAAUUUCACGAGAUCAAGAGGUGAAUUAGUUUAGAGUGUAUAUGUAGGAUUAUAAAAUUUAACCAGCAGCGACCACCAAACUGACUGUAUCAAUCAAAUUAGAAUCAACCAUCCAAAUCAUAUCUCCUUUGGCAUUUUCUCUUAAAUUUCUUAUUAUAAUGUUGGAAGUGGUGGCACAUGCACAAUACAAUGCAAACUGAAAUGUCACCGAGGAUUAAAGUUGGGGAAAGCCUUUCUUUGAAGAGUUAACUAUGGGGCUAAAUUGAGACAUUUCCAGUUUGGGGCUAAUUGAAAUUUUUGGCUAUCUUGGAAAGCCAUAGACGAAAUGAUUUUUAUCUGAGGGUUUUGUACAGAAAAAAAAAAUAACAAACAAAAAAUUAAGAAGGGAACAAAAUAAAAAAAAAAGGAAGAAAAGGAAGAAGAAGAAAAGAGAAACUCAAGUAUCUAGAAGCAAGCCGCCCAGUGGUCACUCCCAAGCCUUCUUAGGUUUGGUGGAUCGGGAGGUCAAGAGUUCGAAUCCUACCUUCCAUCAAAAAAUUUGUCACAAUAUGUGACGAUUUUCAUUGGUCAUUUUCGAUGGAAUUUUUACUCACAUCGCAUUCUGCCCAACUCACAUUGAUCACUUUGCUCAAGCUUAUUGAGUCAAACGAUUAGUAGUUUCAUUAGUAAUUUCUAUAGUUUCUCUGGUCGAAGUUACUUAGGUCAUUAGGUCUCUGGUUUAAGUGAAUCCAAUUCACUUCAGGUCUUCUAGUUUUGUAUGGCUAUACAUAUCCCAAGUAAGAGACCUUCAAAGGGAGUUGCGAGGGUGAGUUGUGAGGAAAAGUAUCUAGAAGCAAAACGACAUCCUCAUCAUCAAAACAGCGUCGUAUCCCCUGUUUCCACUUCUGCAUCAAACCGAAGAGCAAAGCUACUAGAAGAAAUUCCCAGAAGUAAUACAAGAAAAAGAAGCGAAGUCCUACUGAAAUCCUGAAGUGGGAGAUAACACUCAGCCAUGGAGUUGGCAUCAACAUCUGCAUCUCUGGGAACUUAUAUCGUCUUCCCGAAGCCACAACUCUCUUUCACUUCAAGAACCCUCUACCCAUCUUUAUUUUCCGUCAGAAAUUCAUUCUCAAAGUCACUAUAUUUGGCUUCAAAAUCCCAGGGUAAUUAAAAAACGGAACUUUAACUUUAGUUUUCCUUUUCUUUUAUGUCUUUAACUCUCUUUUGAUUCUCCCACAAAUUAUCCAAAAUAAUUAAAAAAGAAUGACAUAGUUUAGUGCUAGUUAUUGCAAGUUUAGCUUUUUCCGCCCUUUUCUCCCCAUUGUAGAUAGUAUUUUGUUUUGGUCAAGCUAAAAAUAUCUUCUAUUUCUCUUAAUAAGCAUAUGUUACUGCUUAAAGCUUGAAUAGUCGGGACUUCUGUUCUAUUUUUUUUUGGUAUAAAUGUGGUUUGAUUUUUUGAGAGCUGGGUUUUGGUUGGAAUGUGAAAUGCUACAUUUUUGUUAGCGCUCUGCAAAUUUUUAAUAGAUUAUGUGGUGAUAAUUGGCCCUCAUGGUCAACUGUUAGUUAUCCCGACUAGGAUAUGGGUUUGAUGACUGGCUUUGUAACUAUACAUUGACAUGUUCAGUAAAACCAUUUUCUUGUUAUCACAAGGACUAAUCUCGAAUUUGAUAUUUUUGUCAUGAUUUUUUAUUGAUGAACUUUACUAGUGGAGCUUUUAUGUGCUUAUUCAGAUUUUCAAGUUACUUUAUUCUAUACCAUGAGCUGUGAUGGUUUUUUAUUUCCUUAACUCAUUUAGAAAACAAUCAAGUUUGAGCUUUGAAAUGAUUACUUAAAGGUAACCCGAGUUGCUCCCCCCCCCCCCCCCCCCCCCACAAACAACAAAAAAAAACCACCACAAAAAACGAAAAUGAUUACUUUACUCACGAAAUAUUGUUCAAAAUUUAAAGAAAAAGUCAAAUUUCUGUCUUUAUGUUUAUAUAGCAAGAAAUUUCAAAUCUUCGUCCUGGUGGCAGACUUCAAUAUUUUGCUCUGGUCAAAUAGUUGCAUGUUGAUUAGAAAGUUCAUUUUUAUGGCUGUCUUUGAUGAGAGACCAUUGAAUCCAUGUUUUUCAAUAUGAAUCCUCCCCCUUUGGCUAAUAGUUUCUUACUUGCCACUUGGUACAGUCAGACUACACGAGUUUUUUCAUGCAGCCGCUGUUGGCAAUACAUCUAGAGUACCAUAUGAUUCUGUGGAAGAGCAUAUGACAACUGCUAAACACUCUGGCCUUAAAGCUAGUAAUGGGAUUACCACAAGCAAAGAAGAAGAGACUGACAAGAAGGAUGCUGCAAAAAGUUUGGAUGAUCAAAAAAUGACCAGAGUUUGUGACAAGCUGAUUGAAGUUUUCAUGGUUGACAAGCCCACUCCAACUGACUGGCGAAGGCUACUAGCUUUUAGCAGAGAAUGGGACAGUAUCCGACCUCAUUUCUAUCAGCGAUGUCAGGAUAGAGCUGACACUGAAAAUGAUCCUGGCAUGAAGCACAAGCUACUCAGACUUGCGAGAAAGCUCAAAGAGGUAGUGCUUUUCCUUUUACAUGAAGUUGGUAUAGAAGGCUCAUAAUGCUUGUUUCAUUCGAUUUCUGUGUAUCAAAAUGGAUUGUCUCCAGUAGGAAGAUAUUCCGAUCAGUGGCUUCUGGAACAAUGUAGAUACUCUUAUAGUCUUAUUUGCUGCUCGAAUUCUAUGAAACUACUCUGAAGGUUCUGUUUAAGUUCAAAAUUUUUCAGAGGAUAUUGUUUAAGCUCUUUCAUGAGCCUGGUUUUAGUUUCUGCUCAGAUUGACCUUUCUGCAUGAGUGAAUUUCGCUCAUAUCUUCUCUUUGGUUGGAACACUUCUGUAAGUACUGAGAGGAUUUAGUGGAUAGGUGAUUUUUAUGGUCUUAGAUAUCAUGGACCUGUUUUUAUUGUUAAUGGUUUUCUAUCUUAUGCUAUAUAAAGCUUUUGGAGCAUAUGAUGUUUUCGCUAGUAUGGAAAUUGACUGGGGAAUUCUGCUGCCUAGGUUGAUGAAGAUGUUCAAAGGCAUGAGGAACUACUCAAAGUGAUCAGAAAAUCACCAUCUGAGAUCAGUGAAAUAGUUGCAAAGCGUCGUAAAGAUUUUACACAGGAAUUCUUCGUUCAUCUUCAUGCUGUGGCGGAAUCUUAUUAUGACAAUCCGACUGAACAAAAUGGUUAGAUUGAUGCCCCUUUAUUUCCAUCUUGAACCUUCACUUCCACUUUAUUCUGUCAUAUGGCAUUAGUUAUAAUCAUUUUCAAAGGAACAUUGUAAUGUUGGUGCUCAUUUUGAAUAAAAACACGUUGGCUUCCUCUUCUAAGCAUAUAUUUAAUCAGAAUAUUAAGUGAAAUUGAGUGAAUUCUUGCGAAACUGUCAAAUUAGAAAUUAAUCCUUGUUGAGAUUAGUAUUGCUGCAUUGAUCUUGGUCAUGGAGUGCUAAUAAGUGUUGUUCUUGCUUAUGAUUGUUGAAGAAACCAGGCUUGUGGCUAAAGCUGAAACUUUCAAUAUUUGUGAAAACUAAGAAAAAUGGAGAGAAAAUACUUUUCUUCAUCUUAUUAGGACUACACAAUAUACAUAUAUAUAUACACAAGUGUAACCUAAUUUAGAUCCUAAAAUCAUGUUAAUCUAAAUCAAUCUACUACCUAAUUAAUACAUGAUACUAUAAUCAUAUGAUACCUAAUUAAUACAUGAUACUAUAAUCAUAUAUUUCUUAAUAUUAGAUCACAUAUCUUCAACACUCCCCCUCAAGCUGGAGCAUAGAUGUUGCUCAUGCCCAGCUUGUUACAAAGGUAAUCUACUCGAACUCCAUGUAGAGCCUUCGUAAAGAGAUCUCCCAAUUAUUCUCCAGUCCUUACAAAUCCUGUAGAAAUCAAGCCCUGCUGUAUUUUCUCACGAACAAAAUAACAAUCUAUUUCGAUGUGUUUUGUUCGCUCAUGAAAUACGGGAUUGGAUGCAAUAUGAAGAGCCGCUUGAUUAUCACACCACAAUUUUGCAGGCAUUGAGGUUUUGAGACCUACUUCAGUUAGAAGUUGAUUUAUCCACAUGAUUUCACAUGUCGACUGUGCCAUAGCUCUAUAUUCUGACUCUGUAUUUGAUCGCGAGACAACAUUCUGCUUCUUACUCUUCCAUGAGAUCAGGUUUCCUCCAACAAAGACACAAAAUCCAGUUGUGGAUCUUCGAUCUGCCUUGGAUCCUGCCCAAUCAGCAUAUGAAAAACACUCAAUCCUAGUAUGACCAUGAUUUUUAUACAGAAUACCACGUCCAGGAGCUCCUUUUAAAUAACACAAAAUUUGUUCUACAGCUGCCCAAUGAGUAACAGUAGGAUUAGACAUAUAUUGACUAACAACACUAACUGAAUACGCGAUAUCUGGACGAGUCACUGUAAGAUAAUUCAACUUUCCAACCAAUCUUCUAUACCUCCAGGAUUUUCUAACAAUUCACCUUCUUUUGUGAGCUGCAAGUUAGGGAUCAUUGGGGUACUAGCUGGUUUAGCCCCUAAUUUUCCUGUUUCAGAUAGUAAGUCAAGAACAUAUUUUCUUUGGGACAGGAAUAUCCCCUUCCUACUCUUUGCUACCUCAAUACCCAAAAAAUACUUUAAUAGUCCCAAAUCCUUUGUCUGAAAUUGACUAUGGAGAAAAGUUUUAAGAGAUGAAAUACCUGCAGCAUCAUUCCCAGUGAUAACAAUAUCAUCCACAUAUACUACCAACAAAAUAAUACCAUCUUCAGACUGUUUGUAGAAAACAGAGUGAUCAGAUUUGCUUUUCUGCAUCCCAAACCUUUCAACUGCUAGACUAAAUUUUUCAAACCAAGCACGAGGACUUUGUUUCAGUCCAUACAAGGACUUCCGAAGAUGACAAACCUUCCCAGACUCCCCCUGAGCAACAAACCCUGGUGGUUGCUCCAUAUAAACUUCCUCUUGGAGGUCUCCAUGAAGAAAGGCAUUCUUGAUAUCUAGUUGAUGCAAAGGCCAAUUAUGAGUGGCUGCCAUAGAAAUGAAUAACCUGACAGAUGUUAACUUGGCAACAGGGGAAAAAGUGUCAGAAUAAUCCUCUCCAUAGAUUUGAGCAUAGCCUUUGGCAACAAGGCGAGCUUUUAACUGAGCAACCGACCCAUCAGGAUUGAAUUUAACUGCAAAAACCCACUAACUCCCAAUGGCCUUCUUCCCUGCAGGUAAAUUUACUAAGUUCCAAGUAUCAUUACCAUCUAGAGCAUUCAUCUCCUUUAUCAUAGCAUUGCGCCAUCCGGGAUGGGAUAGGGCUUCAUGAACAGUUUUAGGAAGGGAGAUAGAAUCAAUAGAUGUAAUAAAGGAACAAUCUAGCAUCUUCCCUUAGCCAUGUCUAUCUUGAACCAUCUUUUGGAGGAUCAUCAGUCAGAUGAUUGUCUUUAUCAAUGCUUCGCAGAUAAAGACGAACCGUUUUGCUCCAAUCAAGAUAGUUAGAAUUGUUGAGUUUGUGGUCUGUGAUUUUAGACAUCACAGGAACCACAUCAGACAUAACGACAGAUUUCGUUUCUGCUAUGGGUUCAGAAUUAAUAGAAUAAAAACAAAAAAAAGAACAGAUCUGAACUCUUUAAAACAAGAGUGAAGAAUAGAACAGAGAUGUGUCCUAUACAGAACCAGAUGAACCGAAUGAUGAUUACUGAAUUUUCUGGCAGCGGACAGAGACUCUAACCUUGAUGGUAGGGCUCUGAUAUCAUGAAAACUAAGAAAAAUUGAGAGAAAAUACUUUUUUUCAUCUUAUUAGGACUACACAAUAUACAUAUAUAUAUACACAAGUGUAACCUAAUUUAGAUCCUAAAAUCAUGCUAAUCUAAAUCAAUCUACUACCUAAUUAAUACAUAAUACUAUAAUCAUAUGAUACCUAAUUAAUACAUGAUACUAUAAUCAUAUCUUUCCUAAUAUUAGAUCACAUAUCUUCAACAAUUUGCAUUGACAACGUGGUAACAAAUGCCACAUACAUGAUACUAUAAUCAUAUCUUUUCUAAUAUUAGAUCACAUAUCUUCAACAAUUUGCAUUGACAACGUGGUAACAAAUGCCACUCUUGCCUAAAGUCGUUUUCACUUUUUUCCAACUUAGGUUAAGAGUAACUUUGCAGUCUGAAAUCCAAAGUACUGGUGCUGCAUUUGCAGCAGUCAUGUUCUAUUACCUAGAUCUUUGCACCAAAGUUGCUGUUGGUUGUUCAAACUCAUUGAUAUUUUGCCCCACAUUUAAAUCUUGUGAUGGUGUCAGAGACCAUCGGACAAGUUGUUUUAUUUAGAUAGUAUAGUUGUCUCAAUAACAUGUCCGUUUUGGUGUAUGUUUAGCUGUGGCUAAGCUUGGGAAUAUGUGCUUGGCUGCUGUGCAAACUUAUGAUACUGCUACAGAAAGUAUAGAGGCUCUAAAUGCUGCAGAGCUGAAAUUUCAAGAUAUAAUCAAUUCUCCCUCAGUAGAUGCUGCUUGCAGGAAGAUUGAUAGUUUGGCUGAGAAAAAUCAACUUGAUUCUGCUUUGGUUCUGAUGAUCACAAAAGCUUGGUCCGCUGCAAAAGAAUCAACCAUGACAAAAGAUGAGGUUGGAAUCUAUUGAUUGUCUUAGGUGUCUGUCUCUUUUUAUUUAUCCAUUUCCUGUUGAUUGGAGAGGAAAAAAAGUGCUUUUAAAUUGCUCAGAGCUUGGUUAUGACGUUGUUUUGACUUUUUGGUGCAUCUGAAUUUUCAAGAAUAUAAGUUUAUUUUUCUCCUUAGUUUCUAUCUUCUACCAGGUUGCUUGCUGUAGGCCAGAUCUGUUAGUUGAUGAUUUCAAGUUCUCAAUUUUCUUCAGGUGAAAGAUGUACUGUAUCAUUUGUAUAUGACAGCACGGGGCAAUCUUCAGAGGCUUGUGCCGAAAGAAAUCAGGAUACUGAAGUAUCUUCUUACAAUUGAAGAUCCUGAGGAGCGCAUGAGUGCUUUAAAAGAUGCUUUUACUCCGGGAGAAGAACUUGAAGGAAAGGAUGUUGACUGCCUUUAUACGUGAGUCUAAUAAGCUUAACCCUUGAAGUGGUCAUAUAAGGUGCAAGCAUGCGUUAACUACUAAAGCCAAUGGGCAUGGCAGAUUUACUGCCCUUUCAUUACUUUUUAAAAUUUUAAAAUAUGCACAUAUGUUCUGGUAUUCGUUUGGCUGGUGUUGCAUGCAUGACUAGAUUAUUAGGGUGUACAGUUCCUUAGCUGGUUUUCUUUUUCCUUCUCAUUUUGUCAUUCCGUAACUUAUGCAAAUUUCUAUUACUUGUCUUACAGGACACCAGAGCAGCUCCACACCUGGAUUAGGACUGUGGUAGAUGCAUAUCAUUUCAGCAGAGAAGGCACGCUUAUAAGGGAAGCUAGAGACCUGAUGAGCCCAAAAAUAAUCCAAAAGCUAGAAGAGUUGAAGAAGCUAGUCCAGGACAAAUUCUUGUAAGAAUCACUCGCUUAUAAAGAGUUGUCUCUAUGGUUUGAAUGGGGAUCAAUAUGUCUAAUAGGAGCUUUGAGAUCUAUGAGAAUGAGAGCCAAGAUGUCAAUCCUUUGUUAUGUUACCGACCUGCUUAGUCAACUAUCAGUGGUCCGUCCACAACUUAAGAAAUGUGGCCGCGAUGGUCAAUGAUACCACUUCUCCAUGAAGUUGGGCAUAGCUUCAUGUUUUUGACUGCAGCUUAUGAACCUCAUUUGCAUGAUACAGUCAGGAUGGCAUUUUGCUUCAGCUAUUUCGGGUUUCAAAGCAAGAAGCAGGAUUAUGUCUGAAAGGUGGUACUUCGUAUGCUCUUUCUGCAGUUGUAUACAAAUUAUAUGUAGAAUAGCUCCAAUUUUUCCAUGUUUGAACGUUGUUUAUAGAGUCAAUAGAUCGCAUAGGCAUCAUUUGCUCCAAAAUAUACAGUUGACGGCUCCUUCCCUUUGGCUGUCCUACGUUUUUUUCUGCCAUCUUUAAUAGCAGAAUAAUACGGGCUUGCGUUCAUAUCUUCUGAGAAAUUUCUUGCAUGUAUUUGUCCAGUCCGGAGUACGGAGCAUUCUAAGAGUAGUGUUUUGCAAUGGGAAAAAGGAAAAAUGAUUCUCUCUUGGAUUCCUUAGAAACCAUUAUUGAAUUCCAUGGUCUUGGACGGUGUGCUGAGCUGAGACCCUGGCGGCUAUAAUUAGUGGGGAAUUAAGACUAAGAUUGAGCUGCCGGUUAGGGGGAUAAGAGUGGAAGACCAGACCAAAAACUUCAGAAUUCUAUUGACAGCUUGCUUGUACGCUUGAGGAGCAAAACAAUUUGGUACUUGUUACAAAAAUAUUGAACAAGCAAAAGAAAGGGUUGAAUGCUUUUGCUCAGAGAGCAGAACCUUUGGCUGCGAAUUGAGUAAUGAAUCGAUAAUAUUAUUCAUGCUGUGUCUUUAUCAUCAUAUUAUUCAUGUUCGUAAUGUUUUUUUUGUUUCCCCAAAUUCCAGGAACGUUGUAUCUCUCCACGUUUUACAUGUACAAUAAUGUUUCCAAUGUGGUCAGGUGAUUGCAGUUUUCGCCUUUGCUUGUUUGUCCGGUUCUGAUGCAUCUGUGCAGGUUAUCAACUCACACGUAACUUCACCCUCCCUGGUAGCCCACACGCAUAACCACGUACAAAAGCGUGGAAAAAGUUUGCAUGAUUAAAAAUUAGGGUUAAUCACAUUUUAUCCCCUUAAAGAAUACCCCAUUUCUCAGUUUACCCCCUAACCUUUAAUUUUGUUCACUUAACCCCCUUUAGGACAAAAUUGCCCUUGCAUUAUUUUGACUUUUCAUUUACCUUAUUUUCCUUUCUUUUAUUUCUUUUUCUCUUUCUUCUUUAUUUAAUUCUUCCUUUUUCCCACAAAAAUCUUCACCUUAAUGAUUGAAAUUAAAAAAGAGGAAUUGUAGAGAUCUAUCUUUUCCUUAAAUGAUUAAAAAAAAUUCAAAUCACUUUCCUAAAAUACAAUUUUUUUUAGCCUUUCAAUUCUUUUAAUUUUGGGUUUUCCUCUUUCCUUUCUAGUUUCUCAUUUUAUUCCCAAGAAAAUAUCUUAAGAUGAAAUUGUGACCUGAUUAAUAAUUAUCAAUUGAAAUUUGUGACACGUGACAUCAUACAGAAAAUCAAAAUUAGUUUUUGAUGUCUUUUAAACCUUCGCCCAAAAAUAUGCGAUUACAAACUCAAAACAAAAAUUUUUGUGGAAAUCGAAUUUUCUAUUGGGAAGGAUGAUAGAGAGAAGAAAGAGAAAAAGAAAUAAAAGAAAGGAAAACAAUUUCAUCUUAUGAUAUUUUCUUGAGAAUAAAAUGAGAAACUAGAAAGGAAAGAGGAAAACCCAAAAUUAAAAGAAUUGAAAGGCUAAAAAAAUUGUAUUUUAGAAAAGUGGUUUGAAUUUUUUUUGAUCAUUUAAGAAGAAGAUAGAUCUUUGUAAUUCAUCUUUUUUAAUUUCAAUCAUUAAGGUGAAGAUUUUUGUGGGAAAGAGGAAGAAUUAAAUAAAGAAGAAAGAGAAAAAAAAAAUAAAAGAAAGGAAAAUAAGGUAAAUGAAAAGUCAAAAUAAUGCAAGGGCAAUUUUGUCCUAAAGGGGGUUAAGUGAGCAAAAUUAAAGGUUAGGGGGUAAACUGAGAAAUGGGGUAUUCUUUAAGGGGAUAAAAUGUGAUUAACCCUAAAAAUUAUGGCAACAACCGACGAUGAAAGUAACUAACGUAGAGCUGGUCCUGAUUUUGAUCUGACAAUUGCCAACCUUUACAUUGGAUUAAGGGCCUUUACAAUUGUUAAUGCCAAUUGUACCAUGCAAUAUUAGAUGUUACAUAAAACCACAAAUAUAAAUACUAGUAAAAUAAUUGUUGGGUAUAAUUUUCAACAGGUGAGAAAUUUUUUUAUGCUUUUGCACGUCAGUAUAUACAUUUUUUUUUUUUACUAGUGUCUAUAAUAUAUGUAUAAUUAUAGGUACAAUUGUCACUAAGAUCCUUGACAUAAGGUGCAAGAAUGAUUUCUGGCUAGCCUAGGAACUUAAGGGCCUUUUAAUGUUUUAGCAAAAUGUUGUACUAUAAUUCAACCCUUUCAAAGUAGGGACGUAAACGAGUUUAAUUAAGUCAAACACUCUAAUGUUUAAAUUUGUUUGAUAAUUUUGACGAGUUUGAAAUUUUACUUAAAAUUGACUUGUUUAUUUACUAAAUCGAGUUUGAACGAUUUUUUUUUUUUAUCGAUUUUAAAUGUUAUUGAAUAUAAAUCGCUGUUCAAGAUUGAUAUGACCAAUUCGUGAACCAAAUUCGAAUAAAUUCUUAUCAAAUUGAAUUUGAUUUUACUAUCGAGUAAUUUGAUUCAUUUUUCGGCUCACUAUGUUAGGUUUCUUCCCACUUAUCGUUCCGGGGAAAAAAAAAAAAAAAGGUUAGGUUUCUCCCGUGCCAACCACUCCCGUACGCUGGCGGUGGAAGAAUAUAAUUGGUAGCAACCAUCCGGCGUGCGUUUCGCACUGCACAUGCAAUGCAGUCCACGAUGGAGACAGACAAGACGGUCUUAGAACAAUUUAACAGCUGGUCAAAUGUUUGGAUCUUGAAUCCAUUAACUCCUUCUUCAUAAUUAAAAGAAAAAAAAAAAGAGAGAGAGAAUUUGAUCAAGUGCUUAAAGUCUAAAUUUGUAUAUGGCCACAUAUGCUAGAGCCUAUUUGAUUCUUGCCCAGUUUUGUGUACUCCCGAUGAUAAAAUGAUCAGCAGCAUAAAAAGGUAAGAUAAGGUUAAAAUAAUUUUGGUAAUUCAUCCUAGAAACAAUUGCGAGUCACCAUUUUGUACAAAUGCUUUCCUACCAAACCAAAGAAUAUCUCAUCUAUACCAACUAUAUGUUGCUCAUAAUGCAUUAACUGGUGCGGUGUUUGAUUCAACUGCCCUUCUUGCCAAUCCCAGAAAAGAGAGAAGAAACCCCAAUCUUGUUGAGCAAUUAGAACCCAGAAUGACAGCUCCAACCACUCAUGGUCAUGGUAGACAACAACAUAAGAGCCAAUUCCUCCUCCACACUAUUCUUCAGCAGCUGAUGUUCAGCCUGUGAUCGUUUAUGCUCGGAGGCAACUUCCUCAGGCACCACCAAGCUCCGGCAAAGCGGGCAAGUAGCAUGACAGCGCUGCAACCAUUUCUCCAGGCAAUUCUUGUGGAACACAUGAUUGCAAUGCAGCUCUCUUGCUUCAUCACCUUCUUCAAUUUCGCACAAGCAGAUGGAACAUUCCAUUGCCUCCAAAGAUGGCCUCAACUUCUUUCUGAAUACAAAUUUGCAGCUCUGCUUGUCGAUCUGUGCCAUGUACUCGUGCCUAGAGCUUUGACGCCUGUAAGAACUCCAUAAAAUAACCGCAGAUAAAAUCAAGAACUUCAAAGCUUCAGGAAGAACUUUAGAGAAGCAAAUUGAUGUGGCUUUGUAAAUUGGAGACAAGAAGAAUUUAGACAGAGCACCCAUUUUUUCUUGCAAGAAAGACCAAAGGGUCGUCCGCACUCCGGAAUCUGUAAUUGUACGUGUGAGCAAAUUAGCAGGCCAGGAAAAUACUAUAUAUAUAUAUAGAAAGGUUGGUGAGGGCCACUUUUUGUAGUUUAAUGGAUAUCACGUACCUGGUCUUGGACAGUUGUUGAUUGUCUGUUGACUCGUUUCUUCUAGAUUCAUAAUCUAUAUCUGCUCCUCAUCAUCUAGACUCAAGUUGCUCAUUAUUUUCAUGCAAAAAAAAUUUGGAAUUUUCUUUCUUAUAGCUUCCCAGAAAUGAAGGUAUUCUACUGUUCUGUACUGUAUCAGUGCAAAAGUUUGCUCCAAGUGGGUACUGACCAACUGAGAUGGCCGGCUUGGAAUCUAGUUCAAGUAACUCCAAAGACUGAUAUUCUUGUGUUUUUUUAAGCUUGCAGUCCUGAGUUCGAGAAUGUCUUCCUGUCUAGAUGCUUUUGUCAUUCAUCUGCAGCUCAUCCUUGCAAAAUUUCCAUCUUAAUUUAGGUACUACUGAAAGUUCAUCAACCUUAAAAGUCAGAAUUGGCCCCCGUAAGAAACAUCCAUUUAUAAUAAUGUUUGAUAUGCAUAUUAUGCCAAAUUGAGAAGACAAUUUGGUCAAUUAUUUUAAGUCUUUGCUUAUGAUACUGCAAAAAGCGGCCUUUUGACCAUUUCUUAACGAUGGUAAUUAAUGUAUAAGAUGGAAGACCAUUUGAGAAUGUAUGUACAUAUUUGAUUAAUUGGUUGAUAACGUUAGCAAUUAGGCGUUGGACCAAUUAUAUAGAUUAGAGAAAAAUUUAAUCAGGAUAAUUACCAAUAAAUCCAUUAUCCAGAGAGAGAGAGAGAGAGAGUUAGAGACAAAUAACUAAAGCUUUCAUAACCAAAAUGGUAAAUUUCUAGAAAUAAUGCUGAAAAAUAUAAUAUUACAUAUUUACUUGGCAGAUGUGAGCGAGUGACGUAAUUGAAUUGAAUCCGUCAAUAAUGUUUGACCAGUUUUGCUGGUUAGAUAACCCAAAUGUAUGCCAAAACCUCAUUAAUUACUCUUUUUAUACUACGUAUUAUACAUAUUUUGCAUGAGCUCCACUCUAAGUCUGGUCUUUGGAGGUUUUAACUACCGGAGAGAACUUGAAUAUUGGCAAGCCAAUACUCUGUGGUGAGUGCGGACAUACCGAGGGAGGGGAUUAACCAAAUAGCGAAGAUUGACUCUGGUAGAACUUAUCGAUGUCUGAAAACUGAAAUCUGAAUUUCUUAAAUUAUUAAGUACUAAAUCGGGUACAUUUGAACGUAUACCAUAUUAAGUGAUAAGUGAAUAGUUCAUCACUUAUUUUUGGAACAAAUUUUGUCCAAAAAAUUCAGUGCCACUCAAUUAAUUCAAAUAUUCAAUUUUUGGUUAUUAAACGAGUUUGAACAUGUUAAGAUCUGAAUUCGUUAAUUUUAACUGUUGAAUUGAUUUAUUAAACAGGACUUUAAUCUUGACAAUGGGUUUUUUAUUACAUAGGUGGGUGUUACAUCUCAAUUACACAACUUAAUUUAAUGCCGUAACUCUUGCACUAUUUGGUGAAUAUGUUCAUUGGGUUGAUGUAACCGGUACACCAAGUACGUAUGAAUUUAACCUAAUGCUCUGUUUUCAAACUCGGACCGGACCGGCCGGUCGAACCGGGAACCGGCCAGGUAGCCGGUCCGAGUCAACUUAGAAAACCGGAAAUUUUAAAACUCGGUCAAAGCCGGUCAAAAUUCGGGUUUGACCGGGUUUGACCGGAAAAAAACCGGUUUUCCGAUUCAACAGUAAUUUUUAAAAAAAAAAUUCAAACUUUAUAAUAUUAUGUUUUGGCCCCCUAAAUUGUUAAAACUUAUUCGUAUACCUCAAAUAUUUGAUACUUUAUAAAUAUUGUCCUACAAUUUGAUGUUAUUUUUCAAUUAAAUUCAUAAUUUUAAUUCUAAACUUGUUAAUAUUUAUUAAAUAAUAUAAAUUGCUACUUGAUUAUUCUAAUUUCUUUGUAUUUUCUUGUUAAAUAUAUUUGAAACAUCAAAUAUAUAUGAAUAUAUCUUUAUUAAUAUCAAUAUAUUAUUAGAUAUGAUAUAUAUAAUAUUUUAAUUUUUAAAUAAUUUUUAUUUAUGACGUCAUCCGGUUCGACCCCUAUCGACCCCCGGUCGAACCCAUUGACCCCUGACCUUGGCCGAAUCGCUAUCCGGUCCGGUUCUGAAAACAUAGACCUAAUGCACAAGAAAGAUACGCAUAAUAUUGCAAGAUUUGAUAGUGUAAUAGGGAUACAACACAUGAAAGUGCAAUAAAAGAUCCGGAGCCCUUAAAACUUUGGACUAGACCAGCGAGAUGAGCAAAUGGCAAAAUAACCCUACUUUUGUGAUAUGGACUGAAACGUCCUCUCAUACCGUGCCCAUUUCUACGUCCAAUUGUAGACCUAAUGCGCGCCUCACAAAUCAUGGACUUCCCUUAAAUACUAAGCCGGUUUCCCUUUUAAAAAAAAAAAAAUAGAAGGUAUGCCAUCAGAUAAUGCACUAUGUUUGGGCUUCUAUAUAUGGGCUUUGCAUAUUGGGCCUCAUCAACCCAAGAUUAAAAUCACCCUUGACCCAGUGGAUGAGCAGUUACCGUUGACCCAUCAUCCCAAGGUACGUAAUUUGAGUUUAAUUAGUAGUGAUAUUAGUCAAAUUAAUCAAGAGAUCUCAAAUCCCCUAUUUUCGACUUUUAUAAUCUUAUUUUGCACAAAAAAAAGUGCUAGUAAUUUGAUUGAGUUUAUUAAAUUGUAUCUAAAUUUAAGGCCAAAUAUAUAAGAAGGUGAUCAUUUCUAAACAACUUUUAUACAAAAGUUUCUUAUUUAGUUAAAUAAGAAGUUUAAGGAAUAUAAAAAUCUUAAACAUAAUAUUUUUUUUUUAUAAUAUGUAUAUAGAGAAAAAAUAAUUUUCACUGCUCCUAUUUACAUGUUUUCUAUUCUUUUGUCAUAUAUAUAUUUUUUUGUUACACUCAUUGAAAUAUUACCUUGUCACCGAUUUUGCCUGUUUUUUGUUUUCAACUAAAUGGAUAAUUAUACAUCAAAAUUUUGUAAUUACGGCACAUUAAAAAAAGGGCUUUGAAUUAUUUAUAUUAAGAUUUGUUUUAGUAGUAGUUAAUAAAGGUCAAGAAUGCACUACUGAUGGCAAACAUAAACCAGUGCCUCUUAUAACACCACCGCCCCCAGCAAUUCUACAUUCCAUCUACGUAUACUAUUCCGUACGUAUACGCGUAUAAUUCACUGUGUACGUGCAGCUCAAGUUACUUUUAGCCUCAGAGCUCUUUCUUCUCCCAAAUUAACAAGAUUGAUUAUUUUCCAGUAUUAUUGAUUCCGAUGAGCUGCAACUUUUUCCCCUUUGCAAUUCAUCGGGAACGGCGUCGUUUGUGAAUCUAGGGGUUCAGUGUGGAGCAAAUUCUAGAUAAAUAUUCAGUUGGCUGAUGAAUUCUCAGCUGAUGCCGAUGACCAGAAGAACCAAUACUAGCUGUGCUAUUUGCGACAGCUCCAAUCUUGCCUCAAUCUGCCCUGUCUGCGUCAAUUACAGGUAUUUCAAUUCAGAGACUAAUAUGUUCCCAAAUGUUUCUUUCUUUCUUUCUUUUUUUUUUGGAAUUUUAAUUAGACUUCAUGGCUUGUUAUCUGUUUUUGCAUGUGCAGAUUGAAUGAGUACAGUACUAAUUUAAAGUCUCUGAAGAGCAAGAAGGAUGCCUUAUAUUCAAAAUUAAGCGAAGCCCUUCUUGCAAAGGUUUGAGUGCCUGCAGCAUUCUUUUGGUCUUUGCUAGCUUGUGUUUUACUUGGCUUGCACUUGGUUAUUUUUGUAAGUUAUAUGCUAACAUAAAUAUGGGAGCUUUUUGAUUCUCAACUUAGCUGACAAUGUUGGUGGAAUCGCGCUUGUUUAUAUGGUUACGUGUGAUGUUGAAAACUUAGGAUAUAUGUAGCUCUAUCUAUUGGCAAAGAAGUAUUAAGAAUGUUAUUUUGUUAGGGAGCAUGGUUUUCAAACCUUUAGCUGUGGGAACAGAGAGAGAGAGGGAGAAGGAAUUGGGUUAUUUACAAUAGUGAAAGAGCGUAGAGAAAGAGAGGCAGAGAAUGAGAACAGCUGUUACUUGUGCUCAUAAGAUGUUAUGGACUAAGAAAAUGGCAUAGAACAUGAUGCGCUGACUGAGCAGUGGUGGGAUUGGGAAUACUCGAAUGUCACCUAAAAUUUGUCCUACCCAAAAAAGAAAAAACUAAAAUUGUGAAUUUCAAUUCUCGAUUUUGCCUUGGCAGAUGUAAAAUACGAACUUUCUGAUGGAUGACCUGACCUAUUCAUACCAUCACUCAUUUUUGAAUGAUUUUCAUAUAUCUUCCUGCACUCUACAGCGAAAGGCAGAUGAUCAGAAAAGUUGGUUGCUGCUUCAAAAAGAGAAACUUAUAAAAAUGAAGGAGAAGCUCCAUCUUCGACAACAAGAAGUUUUGCAAGGUUGAAAACUUAUUGAGUUACUUUUUACAUGCAAAACGAGGCUAAUUAGUAUCUUUUUUUUUUUUUUGGCCCCAGCUGCUAGACUAAUAGAUGUUUGUGCAGGAAAGUCAAUGAUCGAGGCGAUGUCUCAUGAUUUAGAUGCCAAGUAUGAAUUGCUUGAGUCGGCCAUGAGUGUGGUAUCAUAUUUUAGCUCUGGAAUUUGUUUUUUCAGUCAGAUGCAUAUACAUUAUGGAAAGUGAUAAUUGAGAUUCUGGGAUCUGCAUAAUUUAAUUUCUAUUGAUGAUUAUCUCAUUGCAGCUGCAAAAGAAUCAAGUGGAACAACUAGAAAAGUUCUAUCCUAAUCUUAUUUGCACACAGAGUCUUGGACAUGUAAGAUGUUUCUCUACCCUAUACAUUCAGGCUUUCAACUUGAGUUGGAGACAUGAUUCUACAUAUUGUUUAUCGUUAUCUUGAGAACUUUUGGUGAACUUCAUUUAAUACUACAGCAUAUGUCAAUUGCAGAUGGCAAUUACCUCUGAACUCCUACACAGACAGUCUGUCAUUGUGAAACAGAUAUGCAAGUUAUUCCCAUUACGUCGGGUCAGAUUCAGAUGUUAUUUUAGUGUUAUUUGUCUUUUUUUUUCCUUGUUGCCAUGCUCUGACCAGGGGAGAUUCAAUAAGACUAAAUUUUCUUGUUGCUGUGCAGCUGAAUGUUGAUGGUGAUAGAAAAGAUGGUUUCACUGGUCAAUAUGACACCAUUUGUAAUGCACGCUUACCGAGAGGACUUGAUCCACAUUCUGUUCCACGUGAUGAGCUUGCCGCCUCUUUGGGGUAAUUGUUAUACUGUAUACAUCUAUACUUGCUACUUUGGAUGAUGCGAGUUUAAUGUAUAUAUCAUAUAAUUUAUCCCGUGGCAGUCAUUCAAAAUACAUUAUUUCCUUUUUCUUCAUGAGUAGAUGGUGAAAUCUCUCCUCCUUUCAGUCUGUAUGAACAUAAUGUUGGUAGAAGAAUUAGUUGCUGCUGAAACAAGGGUUCUUUGGUUAAAGUGAACAUGAACAAAGUGUUAGGUAAUCUUGAAAAAGAAAAUAAUAAUUAGGAAGGAAGUCUUGAGUCAGUUGUUACUGAAUUUUAGUCAUUUUUCUCUUCUUUAAGUUUCAUCUGAUGCAAUGUUAUGUAAUUUUGACCACUUGAUCACAUAUUUGAAGUGAGAAUAUCUGCCAUAUUUUUAAUAGUUUUAGCUUGUCCAAGUCGAUCAUUUUUAUUCCAGUCCUGCACUGAAGAAUGUAAGGGACACUUUCAGGACAUAUAUACAUGUAUGUAUAUUAUCCAAUCAUGUUUAUCUUCUCUCAGUUAUCAUUAUUCUAAAAAUCUGAGAAACAAAAGAUUUUCUGUUUUGCAUAUUAUAUAUUACCUCUCUCUAUUGGAUAGUAAUCAACUGUUGAAAUCAGAUACAUGGUGCAGCUUCUGAAUCUUGUCGUUCAUCAUGUCUGUGCCCCUGCACUUCAUAACUCAGGAUUUGCGGUAUGCUCAUUAGUCAUCUCUUUUUAAUAAUUUAAUACUUGUGGCUGCAUUUAUAUGUUUACUAAGUAUAAUUUUAUACCAUGUAUAUACCAGUAACUUGCAAGGAUUUUUUAGAGGAGAGGUAUCUUUGGUGUUUGGAUUUAGUAGCUAUAUUAUCUGAUUUUAGAUCAACCUUGCAGCUCAUAGUGAAUUUACUAUAUAAACUUAGAUAAAGCGGUAAAGUUUUGUUAUACACUCUUCACAUCCAUAUUUGUCAAGUCUCAUGCAUCUACAGGAAAAGAUAGAACUGGUGAAAAUCAUUUAUAGAGAUUAUAGCAUGCAAAAGUCUAGUUUUCUGUGUAUGUUUUGUACACAUGCUUUUCUGCUGGAGUGGAUUUUUUAUUGAUAUGCUUUUGAAAGGUCAAAAUAUCAGAUAUCAUGCAUGUACAGAGAAAGACAGAAAUGUGGAAUCUUGUUUUCAGCAAUUGCAUGCAAAAGUCCUUGUGCAUGCUCUAAACAUGUUGGAAUUCAAUGUUCCUUCAGCUAUGGUAUUUAAGAAAAUAAAUUAUCAUUUCUCUUACUUACAUACGUCAUAGUUGGCCUUGAUAACUGAAUCUCAGUUGGUUAUUAAUGAACAAGUUCACCUAUUGCUUUUGUCCCCUCUGUUAGAAGAAGAUCAGUGUUCUUGUUGAAGGUACUUUUUGACUCCUAGACAAUCAGAAAUCGCUAUAGUUGUGUUGUAUAGGUGGACUUUUCCUCAUGAUAUCUACUUUGUUAGUUACAUAGGAAGAGAAUUGUUGUGAUGAUGGUUUUUAAAGCCUAAACAGUUUAAAAGCUUAUUAAUGUUGUGAUUCCAUGUCCGUGUUCCUAUUCACAUGUUUCUGUGUUGUGUUUGUGAAACUGCAGUAAGAUGGGGAGUUUGCUCGUCACUGUAGGAGUUAAUAUUCUCUUCAUCUUUUGCUAUUUUCUAUUAUCAGGGUUCAUGCUCUAGGAUAUGGCAACGAGAUUCUUAUUGGGACGCUCGUCCAUCUUCAAGAAGGUAUUCUGGUGGCCUCAGAUUACUGGCCCCUUUUAGACUGUGAAUUACUUAGUCUUGCUACUAAUUAGUUGUUGUUGUUUAUGCAAUGCAGCAGCGAAUAUCCUCUUUUCAUUCCUCGCCAAAAUUUUUGCUCCACUAGUGGGGAAACCUCAUGGUCUGAUAGAAGCUCAAGUAACUUUGGUGUUGCUUCGAUGGAAUCAGAUAGGAAACCUCAUUUGGAUUCUUCUCGUAGUAGCAGUCUCAACUACUCGUCUGCCUCUCCUCAUUCUAUUGAAACACACAAUGAUUUGCAGAAAGGAAUAUCCCUUCUCAAGAAAAGCGUGGCAUGUGCAACUGCAUACUGCUAUAAUUCAUUGUGUUUGGAAGUUCCUGCCGAGGCUUCUACGUUUGAAGCAUUUUCGAGGUUGUUGUCCAUCCUUUCUUCUUCCAAGCAAGUGCGGUCUUUUGUUUCCUCGAAAAUGGCUUCUUCAAGGUACCUUAUUCUUUUCUUCCAUUGGCCAUACUUUGAAUAACUUGCACCAUUCUUGGCGCAACAAUUUUAUGUUCUAUUUGAGUUGAAAGUUCUAAAAUGGCAAACUCUGCUUGAUUUCAGUCCAUCUUAAAUCUAUACCAACCUCAGCUGCAGUAGCUGAAGUUGACUUAUAUGCUUUACAACUUGGAUUAAAUGACCUGUGGGCUAUUUAGUUCAUCCCUCUAAGGUUGAGAAAUGCCCUGGAAAUACAAAAACCAAUUAAGAUGUCUUUACCAGGUUUACUUGAUUGUGUGAAGAAUUGAUACAUGAGGUAAAUUACUUAAUGUUGCUAGCAAUGCCUCGAGGUUUUUUGCUCACCAGAAAUUUAUCCUAUAUGUUAACAGACUAGACUUUGCUUUGUCCUUUUGGACUAUCUAUGUUGACGUGGUUUUUAGGUCAUCCAAGCAAGCCCAGCAGUUGAACAAGUCUGUAUGGAAGGUAGAUUCAGCUAUUUCAUCAAGCACUUUGGUGGAAAGUGCACAUGCCUUCCCUAUGAAGGUAAUUACUUUAUAAUGAAUUUAUACAUAUUCUGUCUGGCUCCAUUGUUGCAGCAUCAGUAUCUUCUUGUUUCUUAGUACUAUCAGUAUUUGCGGGCACUGUAUCAACAUUUUCUUGAAUUCAUUGGAAGAUCAAAUUUAUUUUUUGAUUCAUGCAGAAAGGCAAUGAUGGUUUCGGAUAUAACUUUUCGUCUGACUUUAGUUUGGUUCCUUCAGUCACAGUACCAUGAUGAAAAUAUGAUGAAAUCAUAUUCUGAUCAUGAGGUGGUAACAAAUAAGAGCAAUGGGAUGUGAUUUGACACUCAGAUUAGAAUUAGAUAAUGUAAGAUUGGCUCUGUCGCUCUUGAUUAUCAAGAAAGUAGGAGUAGGAUGUACAGAUCAAGUGUCUAUGAUACCUGUGGGCUGCUUUCAGCUGGGAAACAAUUUUUUUUUGGGUUUAUCUUAGAAUAGUUAAUAAACAGACAAAUAGCAGACACCUUUAUGAUGAGUUCGUCCUGUAACCUGAAUUUCUCUAUCUUUUCACCAUGCAGAGAAAUGUUUUUGACAGCCAUGUUCCGAGUUCUGCUUCCAGUUUCCUAUUCCCCACUGAAUUUUCUGAUAUUGGAAAGAAUGAAAACUUCAUUGAAGGAUGGGAUCUUGUUGAGCAUCCAACUUAUCCUCCUCCACCUUCACAAACUGAAGAUGUAGAGCACUGGACACGAGCGAUGUUUAUUGAUGCCACAAAGAAAUGAUUAGUUGUUCAAGAGGAUAGUGGAAUACUACAAUUAUAAGCUUUCUCGCCCCUCAUAAGCUCUAAAGAAGGCAAGAAGAGGUCAAUUCUAGAUCAUCACAUUCUCUUUUAUAUUUAUGAACGACUUGGAACACUGCUGGUCAAUAUACUUGGUUCCUGGGAGUAAAUUUCAAACAGUACAAGAGAACUUAACAGUACUUUGCUUAUGCCAAGCAACCUGAAGUCUGAACUAGUGCAGAAAAUUGUUUGACAGUGUUCGUCUUGAACUCAAUGCUAGCAAUGUUCUAACAUAAUUGAUAAUUUGGUUAUACUGAAAUUGCUGUCUUAAAUACCAAUAGACUGUCUUUGAUUAUUACUCCUCCAAUCUUUUAUACAAAUUAACCGCUGCAAGUUUUUCUUCUAGUGAAAUGGGCAGAUAGAACGUAUUACUCAUUUCUGUAUUUGCCCCAAAUGCUGUUUCUCUUCUUGUUGGUUGGUCUUCUGGUGCAUUAUAUUGUCAUUAAAGGUCAAAAAGAUCAAGUUCCUUUGCUUUGUUUUAUUACUCAAACUUCUGACGUCUGUACUCCAACGUGUUUUGCGUUUGUUUUUUCCUCAGAACUAUUUGUCAAUUCAUUUUGUGCUGAUUUCGUGUGUAGGUUCAGCGUUGCAGGGCACUUGACGGCAAAACUAGAAUAACUCCUCAAGUGUCUGCCUGGCAUAUGUAAAUAGACUCUCUCUGUAUAUGGAACUCUAUACAUGGUAAUUUCUGCUUGCCCGUAGCAUUAAAGCUAUGUAUAUUGACGGUUCCCAAUUGUUUUAAGUCGUAAAAUGUAGGAAAAGGUAGUUAUAGUUACUGUCUUGCUAUGUUACUACUACUAUAUGGUAUACUCAUGCGAGAACCCUUCCAACAUUAGGGAGCAAUGACGACCUGAUUUUAGUGAUGUACGGCGCCCUUGGCAAAAUCUGUAGCAGUGUCUUGUCGAAUUUUCCCCCUUAGCCCAUGUUCUUGGUAAGGUUUUUAGUAUUGAAAGCAGUUAAAAAAUUAAAACAGUGGUAUGUUACGUCCUGACAUCCUGGAAAACAAUCAUGUUCUUGUCCUUGCACGGCGAAAGUAAUCAUGCUAAACCUGGAAACUCAAUAAACGGCAGGAGAGUUAAGACGAACAAGGAGAGACAUCAUAGCAGAUUGGUAUGCAGGAUGAAUCAAUGGCUAAUGACUGAAAUUCAGUGAGAAUGAAGGUGAACGACGGAGAAAAUCAUGUUUUUAAUCAAGUAACCAAAAAUCAGUUGUCUGCUCAAUUGGCCAAUCUAUAAAGUUGGGAAGUUGUCUAAAACAUUCGAAUGAAAGACGUUCAUAAUUAUACUCAUCAGCUACAGUACGAUCAGAAGGUCAGAGACCUAGUUUUUCAUCAGGUUAAAAGAGAAGGGGGGCUGCUCCAAACGGGGAGGGGGAGUUGUAACAUUUUCAUUUUCGAGCCAUCUACUUCUUCCUCUUCUUUGGAGGCUGGAGGGCCUCCUCCUCUUCCUCAUCUUCUGGCUCCUCUUCGUCUUCUGCGUCCUCUUCUGCCACUUCUUCCUCAUCUCCUUCAUCCUCACGAUCAUCAUCCUCCUCCUCCUCCUCGUCGUCAUCAUCAUCAUCAUCCUGGUUUUCGUCAUCGUCGUCGUCAUCACGGUCAUUGUGUCCGUCACCAUCUUCUCCAUCUUCUUCCUCCCCAUUCUCGUCUCCCGCACCACCAGCUCCUGCAGGGCCCUUCUUGGCGUUGCCAUUGCUGCUGUUGGGAUUGCUUCCAGGACCGCCUCCAUCUUCAGGGGCUACCUCUUCUUCACCAUCCGGGAAGUCACCUUCCCCAUUAUCACUGCCACCGUCGUUUUGCUCGUCUCCAUCCCCUUGCUCUGCACCCACCACUUUCAACUGGUCAUCAGAGUUUCCUUUACCCUUCACUUCAGUUGCCGCCAACCACCCAAAAAGAUCCUGUAAUUUGCUUGCCGUUCACGACAAAGUGUACCAUUAGCAAGUGUACAACAACAACAACAACAAGUGAAGUGAGAGGUGAAGAAGAACUUGUUCAAUAAUUUCCUUUACCCAUGCAACUUAAUGAUUAACUCUGCACUUAAGUUAACACUCAUACUAAAGCAUACUAGUUGCCAAUGUAAUAAAGCCACAGAUCCUUAUUCCCCUGUGUACGAAAAGUAAAAUGCUUGGAAAAAAAAAGGUGUUAAAAAAAAAUUCUCAUAAUUUCAAAAGAAUAUUCGAAUAUAUGCUCAACGCCCGGAAUAAAAUAUGAACUCAAAAGCACGGUAGUUUGAAAUGAUUUGCUUUUGAGGUUUCACCAUUUCUGUUUUAAAAUUCAGUCCAGAAUUAAGGAAUAGCAGAAUAAUAAUGGCGCAUGGGAUUGGUGGCAGACUAUUGUAGUAUUCAGAUCGGGACCCAUCAACAACUAACCCGGAACUCUAAAAGGCGUAUAAAAGCCAAAUUCAUGUUCCCUUUGACGUCCGGUAUGAGGAAAAUAGUGCAAUUAGCAUAGUACUAAAGGACAAAAUAAGCAAUACUAGCAUUAUUCACUAAACUUGAAAAAAAAAAAAAAAGUAAAUCUUAUAUACGGUUAAGGCAUAUAUUAUCUUUACCUUUACUAGAUCCAUGAUAAAUAUGUAAAAAUUAAAUUUUAGAUUCAAAUUUUUCAUAAUUUUUAUUACACUCUUCGUGACGAGUGUAUAAAAAAUUAAUUCAAGAAAAAAAAUACUAGAUAAAGAUUAAAAUCUUAACAACCUUGAAAGACACUUUAAAAUAAAUGAAAGUUAAAAAAAAAAAAAAGAGAGAGAGAGAGAGGAAGAAAAUCCCGUCCAAUCAUGACAAAGUGAAAAAUUGAAUUGAUAAUGGACCGACUUUGUAAAAAAAAAAAUUGAAAUUAAAAAGUGACAGAAUUAAUUAAUGAAAAAGGGAAAGAAAUGGAAAGAGGGGAGUGAUGAAAUCUUACUCGAGCCAAGGAAAGCAGUUGAACGUUGACCAAAGAAGCAGGAGGAGUAGCCGUAGUGAAAAUCGAGGACAGAGCACCCUCGGCGCACGUUAGCAAGGGCUUCUUAACAAUCACCUCCAUCUGUACGGCUAGCAACCUGACAUCAGAAAACAUCAAACCUCGUAUCACCGUUAGAUCUCUCCUCCGAGUCCCUCGGACAAAACAAACCGUUUUUCCUAGUAUCUUCCGACAAUUUCUAACCACAAACCAACCAAAAAAAAAAAAAAACCGUCACGUUAAGAUUUUUCCCCACAAAAAAGGGGAAAAAAAAAAAGAAAAGAAAAGAAAGAGCCAAAAGUAGUAGAUUUUUUUCUCUUAGUACCACUACUAAUUACUGAAACAGGACAAGAUUUCAUUUCUCGUUACUGCUAGCUAGCAGUAAGAAACUUUUAAAAAAAAAAAAAAAAUCUUUUUCAGGUAGCAUAAAAUUGAAUAGUUUCACGUAGACAAAAAUAUUGAGCAUGAGACAAGAAUUUAUGAAUAGGAAAGACAGCAACUUCAUAAGUAGGGAAGACAUAUUUACAAAAUUCAUAUAUAUGCGUUCAGAUAAUGAUGGAGACGGACUAAUGGAGAUCUAAAAGAGAAGAUUACACUGAAUAAUGGCGAAAGGUGCAGUACGAAGAAGAACAAUGUACAGCAGUAAACUAACGACAACCAAAUCUAGUUUCUUCUUGGGAUUGUUUUACCCUGCAAAGGGUAGUUUUUUAACUGGAAAGAAACGAAAGGAAAAAUGAGAGCUAGGAGUUUUUUUGCCCGAGAAUAAUAAGCUGCAGGCAGAAAACUUGUUCAUGAAAAAGAGAAUUUUGGCUGGGAAAAAGCUUUGAAAGAAAGGAGGAGGGAGCUGGGGGAGAAAGAAAAAGAAGCUGAGUACAUACCUGCAAAAUCUAGGGAGAAAAUUGAUUUUCUCUUCAGGGGAAGAUCUAAGCCUAGCUAGCUGAAGCUGCAGAAAAGGGUUGUGUUGUUGUGGAGUAAUUGCAAAUUUGCAAUGCAAGACAGGGUUGAGUGAGUGUGAAGACUUUGUUUGGGUUUUGACCGUCGGAUGAAAUGAUCUUUAAUCAGAGGGUUUGAAGAGAAAGACUUGGGACUCGGGAGGGCCGACCCAAGAGUCAUUAGAUACAAGAAAGAGAGAAACUAAGUAGGGGCAGCAGUGAAUGACUAAGGAGCAGGGAAGUGAGGUCAUGGGUGGGGCAGAAUGGGCAGGCCGACUCCCUCCCUCCCUCCCUCACUGGGACGUCAAGAACGGAGAGAUAACGGUGACCCUGACCGUGACCGUGACCGCGGUAUUAGGACAUGAGAUGAGAGCAGAUUGAUCAUUGAUGAACUUUAUGAUGGAUGGGAUGAUUGUAGCAAGCACUUUGCUACGUUCAGGCAGUCAAUAGAAGAGAGAGAGUUUUGACAAAAAAUAAAAAUAAAAAUAAAAAUAGAAGAGAGAGAGAGAGAGAGAGAAAGAGAUGUGUUGUUGUUAGGAGAGUGGUUGAGAGUUGAGAGACUUUUGGAAUCGAAGAAAGGAAGGAGAAUAGAAUCUAAUACUCGCUGCUCCCACCUCCCCCCCCCCCCCCCCCCCGCCCCACUUUUUUUUUUUUGAUCCAAUAAACAUGGCUCCAUCAUCCAUUCAAUUUUUUCCUCUCUUGUUUCCCUUUUUGUUCUGGUUGUUACACUUACACGUACGUAACAUUUUUGUAGCAUGACCCAUGUAUGUAAUUUUAUAAAGAUAUAUGAAUCUUUUUUUUUUUUCAUAAAAUUUUUACGCUGAACAAAUCCUCCUUUAAGUUGGUCGAACUAGUGUCAUGGAUGGAUCAUUUGAGGUGAUUAAUAGUUCGUAGUCUACUAGGUUAUGAUAUAAUUGUGAGAAAAAAAAAAAAAAAAAGAGGGGGAAACUGCAAAUUAGAUGAAAAGUGUUGUCGAUCUUUUUCUUGGUUAUUGACAAUCAGUCGUGUGUCUAGAAACAGUUGGUCAAUGUUCGAGUUUCUUCUUUUAAAUAUCUUUAGGUUGGGUGAUGGAUCCACAGAGUUGCAAGCAAGUCGUUUUCUAAAAAAUAUCGAAAUCCUUAACUGUAAUUUGGCUACUUGUGCUGAGAUAAUUACCCAUGUUGGCACAUUCAUUCUCUCUCGCCUGCCCUGACUUGCAUCGUUGCAACUUAAUUAACUCCAAAUCUUCGAAAAAUGGAACUAGACUUUGGAAGUGAGAAUGGUAUACCGUCUCAUUUAGCAGUGGAGUGAGAUGUAAAUCAUAACAUUCUCUCAAACAAUGUAGUCAUAUUCUCAAAUAAUUUUGUUCAUUUAAAGCAGGCAACGGCUUUUGUGAAGGGUUGGGGAGUAGGUAAUUAAGAUGAUCAUGAAUUUUGUGAAGAAGGGCAUUUGUUCCAUAGCCACAAUAUCUGCAAAACAUGAUUCCUUUUUUGGUCCUACCACCCUCAGGAAUCAGGAUGAGAUAGUUAGUGCCUCUUCCACACCAUGCCACAGCUUCAUUUGGAAGAUGUUGGAGUUUAAAGUACACCGCUAGGGUCGAUGAAGGUUAAACUUUUUCACUAGAAGCAUGCACUUGACAAAUGAAGCAUAAUUAAUGACAAGGUUCUCCAUUACCAACACCGCUGUCAUAUAUAUUUUACGCACAAUUUUUUUCAUUUCCAACAAGAACUACGCAAUCUCAUAUCAUUUUAUUAAGAAAAAUAUUUUAUGCACUGAUUGUGUAGUGAUUUUUUUUUUUUUAUACUAGUAACUAUGGAUGUAUGGAAUAUGCGCAUGAUUUGAAUUUCAAAUUUAAAUUCAUAUUAGGUGGCAUGAUCUAAACCUGCUAACGUAAGUAAGAAGAUUCGAACUCGAGACCUCUUGUUUAUACUCCCUUCCCUCGUACCACCCAACCCAUCCCUCUCCUCGGACGUACAACCUAUAGAACAGAUCCUGUUCAAUUCCUGUACAACCUAUAUGUACACACUAACAAUAUAUAAAAAAAAAAUGACACUUACUCUUUUAUUAAUGGGGUACAAUUUUGGUUUUGAUACUUUUAGAAUUUAUCUCACAAUGAUUUUGAUUCUCCCAUCUACAGCUCCAUUUUUUCUCCUUUUUGGGAUGGAGGAUGGGCUGGGGUUCCAAGUAGUGGACUUUAUAACAUUAUAUAAUCAGGUUCAGGGCUUCUAGAUGAGGUAUUGAGUGGCACUGGGCUUACAGUCCGAGACAUAUUUCACAGAAGAUUAGUCCACCACGCAAAGGGAGAAAAAUCUACGGGUCCAAAUCCUAUUGAUCAAAACUAUACCAACAAAAAAAAAAAAAAAUGUAACAUGAGGUUUGUUUUUUUUUUUGGGGCAAAAAACUUGAGCUUAGAAGGAGAAAGACCUGAAAUAUCCUAACUAAGGUAUUGGCGAAGUGCUGACUCAUGCAAUAAAUAGCAGUAGAAAAUUAAGUAGCAUUAGAAAAGAAAGUGUUGCGGUUAAAAUGUCAAGAAGACGUGUCUAGAGACUAUGGUUAAGGUUUUUGGAAUUAAAGGUUCCGCGUUCAAAUUGUCCAUUACCCAUUGCUUUUUCAAUUUUAAUCUUCUUCUACUAAAACAAAAAAAUCGGUGGUACUAAUACUGAACCUUCUUUUUUUCAAGUGGGAUUAACAUUAAUAAUUAGUCACGUUAAUUUUGUGGAAUUUAUUUUACUAUCACAUUGAUAAAUUUGCAAAUUAAGUAUAAUAAUAUGGUUAUGAUUACGAUGACCUUUGAUGCGCAAGGUUCAAAAAAAUAGUAUUCAAAUUUACAUUCUGUCCAUAUAUAUUGUGUGCAAUCUACGUAUUUCAUUAAUUAUACACACUGUUUUUUAACAAUUAUUUUUAAGUGCAAUUGUUUCAUUUGCACUGUUGUUUGUUUUUAACAAAUGUGUUCGGAAAUUCUACAUUAAAAAAGGAAAGAAAAAAAAAAUUUGCCGACAUGUAUAUAUAGCUUGCAGCAGAUUUUCAAUUCUUGAUCAAUAUUCUUCUUUGCCUCCUUCGGAUUCUCCCACCUAUAUUUCUAAACUAAUUUCCUACUAGAUACUGUGAAGAAAUCACGUAUUUCCAUUGCACCCCCAUCCAAUUAACCUCAUUUCAAUUACAAAAUCUCCUGAUUAUUGCAUCCUUUUUAGAAAACCUCUAUCGUGUGUUAUACCAAAGUCCAAAGGCAAAACAAAAAUAGUUCGUGUACUUGAACAAUUUGGUUGCCCUAUGCUCUCAGUCUUCCCCCCCCCCCCAAAAAAAAGGUAAUAAAUGUAUCGAUGUUGUGCAUGCUAUUCUUGGAUCAUGCUUGACUAUAAUUGAGGUUUUCUUAAGAGGAGCUUAGACCCGUGCAAAGCCUCAACAUGAAAGGUCUUUUAAGCUUGUUUCAGGUAAAAUAAGGUACCCAACGGAAUAGUAAGAACCUCAUUGCUUAAAGGGAUUGUCCUGUGUUCUGAAGAUAAUUACUCGAGACCAGACGACCCUUGUAUUAUAUCUCCGCGAACCAAAAAAAGAACAACUAAGCAGUCAAAAUUCUUCUCCAGCUUAUUAUUAUUAAAAUAAAAGUCAAAUCUAGUUCGAAACACAGAAAGGUUCUUGUAUCAAAGCGAUGCUAAAAUGGAGCUGAGCUGGUUCUUCGCAGCUGGUAUCGAGAUCCUGAAGUAGGAUUGGAAUCUAACACCAUUCCCAUUUCCUGCGAACAAGUAAUAAUAGGUAUCAAAACAAUUAGGCCAAUAAUCAAUAAGCUUGUUGAACAUGCAUGUAUUAUAGGCUUGCUUCCGCCCAUAUUGCAAUUGAGGCAUUUCGCAACAGGGAAAUGCGUGUUUAGAAGCAAACGAAAAUGAAGAAGAACCAUUUUGGAGAUAGAUGAUGCAUAAGUGACGCGUCUAAUAUGUUAACUCAUUGGAACACAAAGGUAUGUCUGUGCAAUAUUUGCAUGAAUUAAUUUGCUUCUUUCCGUUAGAAUUUUUUAGCUGCGUCACCUCUAUAUAUAGGUUAUUCAAGAAAUUUGCCACACGAUUUGCACGAGCAUCUUCAUUUGUUUUGCCUACUUCUGAUCACGUCCCUGAAUUAUGUGUCACAGGAAGCUUUUGUGUGAAAUUGAGAAAUUCAAGGAACUAGCCACACAUUUCUGGAACCCCUUUUUUCAGUUUGAUCCUGUAAGCGGGAUGAAUCUUGGACGACUAGUCAGGAUGUCUAUUCUCACUUCAUAACCAGUUCUCUCAGUUAAAGGUAACUAUGUUUUGACAUUGGAAACAAAAGACACAGUUGUUGUACAUAGAAAACAAGUUUACUCAUGGUAGAUGAUUUUCCGGUUUUGAGGAUAAAAAAUGAUUCAUAGGGUGACAUCAUAAUUAUUUAAGCAAUCAAAUAUACAUACAAUGAACUUCAAUGAUUUUCGUGUGUGAUGAAUUAACACAAUCUUUUCUUAGUUGAGUGAAUAAGAUCAACAAUGAAAUCAAUUAGGGUUUCCAACAAUAGCAAUUAGUACCUUUCGCUUCUUCAGCCUUAAGUUUGUUCUCUUUAAUUCCAACACAUUCUGCUCCAACUGUUUUGUAUAUGCCUAUAGCCACCAAAAAAAAAAAAAAACUUUCAGAGCAUUCAGAAAUCGUAUAUGAUCCAAAAUGCUACAAAAAGACAAUUCACGAAAUCCCUGAUAUAUAUGAACCUGUUUCCUUGCCCUUGACCUUGCAGCAGAUUCUCGGUUCUUGAUCAUCCUUCUUUGCCUCCUUUGGUAGCUCCUCUCCAUCAUUUCGUCAGAGUGUCGCCUUUUCCUCUCAGUCUCCAAAUGAGGAUUUGAUGAACAUGCUGCCUCCAUAGGUAGUCCCAUCUGCUUUUCCAAGUCACAGGAGACAUCCCCAACCUGAGGAUGAUUUUCAAAACCAGUAUCUGACACCGGAAAAUAUGAAGCAUCCAUCCGGGCCUGGAUUGGCGUUGGAAAAAUCACCUGAUGCUGCUGUUCCUGUUCCUGACCGUGCUCCAUGUCGAACUUAAUCCAAUCAGAUGACUGUUGCUUCACUAACACCAGUGGAUCCAAUACUGAUAAUGGUGGUGGAUUUGUAAUGCUUUGUUGAUUUCCCAGGCUGAGGACACCUGCCCGAAUGAAGAAUUCUUCUAAAUUCGUUUCUCCAACUGUCAGUUGUCGUCUAGCUGAGUAAUCAAUAUUGCCGUUGAGAUCGCCGCAUUCUCGAUCCACAAUCUCGUUCCAAACUUCUUCUAUUGUUUUCUUACUCAAUGGACGGUCCAACUUUUUAGCGUCAACAGAAGCUAAGGAAGACGAGGAUGACGAUGAUGAUGAUGAUACUGCUGAAGAAUGGUCGUGGAUCAAAUGAUCAUGACCCUCUUCAGUUGAGAUGACAUUCUUGACUAAUUCAUCUAAAUUCAUAGUGUUCGAAGGUUUGGACAUGUCUCCAAAUUGGCUGUUUACCUCAUCCGCACUGAGGUUGUACAUAGAGCCUUGUCUAAGUAAUAUUGGAAAAGGAGCUAAUCCCUCAUGAUCAACUUUAUUUGGUAACAUCAUGGCUUCUGUCUAUAUAUAUAUAUAUAUAUAUAUGAACACUCCAACAAAAUUUAUGUUCUAAAUUUCACAAUUAUCUCAAACAAUGCAGUGAAAUAUCAAUUUAUUUUCGAUCAGCUGGUGAUCUAAUGAUCUGAAAGGGGGUUAUAUAACUCAAAUUUCAGAUCUACUCGAGAAAGAGUACUAGUCUGAAGAAAUUUGUAGAAAUGAGUAGGAAGUUUAUAUUGUGAAAUGACAUAACAUUUAGUGAUAGUGCCUUGAUCAAGUGAAUAGUGAAAAUUGAAAAGUAUUGAGUUCAGGAAGAAAAGAUGCAUGACAUUUGAGAACCUGUUUAUAUAACUUUUGGUGUAUAUUUAGAACUUCCAACUCUAUAUCCCAGCAAUAUAGGGUGGAAAUCCGGUGUGGCUGUUGAGAUAUAUAAGGGAUCAAAAACGGAGUCAUGGACCCGAUCGACUAGAAAUUUGUGCCUCAAUUGAUUUUUUAUUUUCUUGGGAUCCUCUGUGAAAACUAAUAAGUGGGCUGCAUGGGGUGUAACCAAUUCCACACAUUCGAGUGGGAAACCAGGGAUGAUUUUAGUUAUUUUUGCAAUAAACACUUCUUGGUUCUUGAAAAGCAUAAUCGCCGCGUAAAGGUAGUUUACUUUGUGAAGAAAUUACUACAGCAAAAAUACAAAUGUUUGUAUACUUGGGCUAUAUAGGUUUUGUUUUCCCUUUUUCUUUGUACUUUUACUUUAGAUUUUUAGCUAACAUUCUUCUUCUGAGAGCAAAGAACAACAUUCGUAUAAUGAUGGUAUCAACGAGAUAAUCUUUUGUUAUGCUCUAGCCAAUUUAAUUCCUCGAGUUAGUGUAUUAAGUUCGAUAGAAAAAAAAAAAAAUUAACGUCCUUGGUUUGUUGAAUUUCCCGCCUAACGAGCCAAUUUCACGCAUAAUUAUGAUUACUUUCUCAUUUCAAGAGACGAUAUUGGGGCAAUUUCAAUAUUAACCCAAAAAAAAAAAUUUUAAAAUUACUGCCUUCAACUGUAUCUUUCCUCCAAACUCCAGCCAAGGCAGUAUAAUAAAGAAUGUUGCCAUCCAAGACAUUUUGGCUACAGAUUAUGGAAAUUACUUUUUUUUUUUCCGGAGACGACAAUUGUUGUAUAACUUAAUCUAGUCUACACUAAAGGGGAGGGGGCGGACCUAAGGAGGCUCAGGAAUAAUCCGGAGGGGAGUGAACCACCACCGGAUCAAAUGCGUGCACAACACACCCUCCUGAAUUUUUUGAAGCAAACCUACACGUGGCAUUUUGGUGGAGGCAACCAAGGUAGAUGGUAGCCACCAACCCAAAUUAUGGAAAUUACACAAAAACCAACAAGUCUUAAAGAAUCUUUUCACAGUGUCAAAACUCUGAACAGUACAACAAGCCAAGCACUCGGCCUCAUUCUCGUUUACUUCAGAUUUUACAAAACUGUGAUUAUUAAAAACAAUCAAGAUCAGCAAAAACCAAUCUUUAAUUGAUUCUAGGUAUUAACUUUUUUGGCUAUUAAAGAAUUCAUAAUCUGAACGCAAAAGCAAAUGGUAAUAUAAUAUCACAAAAAAUAAUUAUCUAAAAUAAAAAUCUAUAAUUAGAUUGAAGUUUGCUAAAGGCAUUUCAACAUGGCAACAUACAAUCAGUUGGUUUGUGUGGGCUGACUAUUUGUUCAGAGGUUUGCACACAGUAGAAGUUUUGUACAGCUUCUGUUCGGCCACCAAGUGUAAGGCUGAUCUGUCAGCCAUAUGAUACCAGCCCAUAUGUCCAUAAGACCAUUCUUUAAGGUUUUUGGAAAAGUUUUUAUUCACAAAUUAGACAAUUUUCAUUUUUUUUCUUUCUAAUGCAAAAAUGAAGCCCUAUGUUUUCGAUUGGGUGAAUCUGUGGUCAUUUAAAUUGAAGUACAAUGUUAGACACCAGACUCCUUAAAAUUUGUGAAUUAGGACUACUAACUUUGUACUAACUUCCUUUUAAAAAAAAAAAAUUGUACUUAUCUCGAAAGGUUUCCAUACUUUUACAUCACAUAUUUUACUUUUCUUCAUUUCGAGCUUUUCCUAGGAGUAUAGCAUGGGUUAUUUCAGCGUCGCAGCGCUUGGUACUCGAACAUUGGCUCGAGACAUUUUCUCUAAGAAAGCAUUUUCUCUACCCCUUCUUACCCUGAAAAAGUAGGGGUGCCUUACGUUCUUGAAUCGAUAAUUAUCUUUCGACUAACCUAAUCUCCUUCAUCCCUCAGGUUCAACAAACGGUAGUACAGAAAUAUUAACCUGUCGGUUUGGGAUCAUAAUCAUUAUAUAGGAGAGAUGGGACCGACUAAAAAUUUUACAGUAAAUUAGAGUAAAAUUUUAUAAAAACUCCUAAAAAACACACCAUCUAAACAGAUCCAUCAGUAGUUCCCCUGCGCAAAAGCACAUUCGUCACUUUUCUGCUCUCCUUGUUGUAUAAUUGAAACUUCAGAAAAAAGAAUAGCCUAUUCCUUUCGCCAUUUUUUUCCGUGUAAAUGUGGUUUGUUUGCUUCAUAAAAGUGGUGCAACUAUUUAGGUGUUAAUAGUAGAGAAUUGGAUAAAUGAUAUUUGAAAUGCGUAGCAGCACUUAUAAUUGUGAUCUAAUUCUGAAUCAACAGUCAUAGAAGAUUGAUUUUCGUGCGUUAAAUCUUACACUCAUAAUUCUUCCUUUUAGCCAUGAAUUGUUGUAUCAACACUACAUAAGAUUCCAAGUUAAUUUUUAAAGCCAAUCUCCAGAUCAAGUAGCAUAAUAAAUCCUAUCCCCAAUCAAUCAAUUAACAGAAGAAAAUAUAAAGUUUGGAAUUAGCCCUUGAUUUGUACUAUUUUUCAAUUUAGGUUGCGUCAUGAAACCUUUAUGUAGAUACCGGAUUCUUGAUUACGACGAGGAAAAGGUACCCUUUAUGAGGAUACUUCACUUUAAUUUUUUUUUUUUUGUUCUUAUUUCUUCUUUUCCUCUAAAGCUCUUCUCUAGAAUAAUAUCUUCACCUAUAAGUUACAUAAGCUUACAAAUGACUCAAGCACAAAGAUUGUGAUAACAAUUCUGUAACAAAAAAACAAAGAAAGAAAGAAAAAAUUAUGGCUACAAUUCCCAAGAUGAACAUAUCCAUAGUUCUCAUUUACUUGCUAUAUCUUAAAUAAUUGAAGAAGCAUAAGCAUUAGAGGCCAAUUGUGUCUCACUGGUUCCACCAUGGCCAAUGACUUGUCCUAGAGUUAACCCUUUUUUCUUUUUGGUGUGUGUGAAAAAGAAAAUCAAUGAAAAGAAGCAAAGCAUGAAAGUUCUUGUUGAUGACUUCAUGGGGGGUUGCAUAAUUCAGAAUCUAUUCACAUUCAGCUGGCGAUGGCUAUGACUUGUGAAGCAUAGUAUCCUCAGCUUUGGAGAAUUGGGACCCUAUAUAAUGGUAGUGCAAUUCCCACUUUAGAAUCAAUCCAACCCAAUGAAUUAGGCAAAGCAAGUCGAGUGGCUCAGGUUGAUUUGUGCUCUCCAACCGCCAAAAUCACCGUAGAAGUGGUUAGGAUUGCCGGUGACAUUGAGGACAAGCCCAGAAUAAAGUGAUGGUGUGAUCAAUGCACAGUUUGACCAAAAUUUGCGGACGCACGUAAUAUUUGUUAAUCCUUGAACGUGAACUUAUUUGGAAGAAUUAUGUAUUUCAUCCCUUUUCACCCUCAACUGUCAGACACAGAAUUUAAACACUGACGGGCAAAUGCUUCAAUCAAUUAAUAUGUUGGUCACUUCGAGUUUAAUUUGGUUAGUUAUGCCAGACAAUAGUCCACAGAACCCUUUUUUUUUUCAGAUCAAAAUAAUAUCGUAAUAUAAAGUACUCGAUCGGCUGCUGCAAUAAUGAAAAAUUCAAAUAAAAUGUCUGUUUAAUUUGGCUAGUUUCAAGCUGGAUUUUCAGAGCAAUCGACUUCAUACAAGUGUUGCAGCAACACAGGUUAGAAAAUACCUUAAAAGCGUAGAAUAGAAACAUGAAAUAUGAUAAAAUUGCUGUCCUAAUCAAGUCAGAUUAGAAUCAAUAAUGAAGCAUUUGUCGGUCCUUUUAUCUCCACUUAUCAUGAUCAGUUCGCCUUCUCCCAGAAUAUUGGUCUGCUGUAUUUGGCUCCAGGCCGGUCUUCUUCGGUAGUUGCCUUGGAGGCUUGGAACUAUUUGUUGAAUCUUGACCCAUAUAUAAAUACCAAGCUUUUUGCAUUAUAAUUUGCUAGUGACAUGCUACUCGAGAUUUCUAUAUUUGCCACUUGACCAAUCAAUCUCAAUUUUCUUGAUUUUUCUUUGUUCGUUAAAGGAAUGCAAACACCAGCAUUUGACACCUCUCCCUCCACUGGGACAUAAUCACCUACUAGUUUUUUUUUUUAACUGAAGUUCCCAUCAUCAAAAGAUAAAUCACCUACUAGUUUUUUCUUCUUCCUUUUCUCUUUCUCGUGACAGCAAGGAUUGUAAGUUCUUGUUCAUGUGAAUUAACUGUUUUUUUUAAAAAAAAAAAAAAAAAAAGAGGAUCUCUUUGAUGAUUCGAACCAUGACCCGUCGAUUGCAGGUGAAGCGUCUUACAAAUUAUUGGACUGCGUUUCUUUGUCAUGUAAAUUAACUUGUACAUGCAUGACUGUAUAAUUUUAGAAUAUAAUUUACAUAAUACAGGAAGAACUUAUUAAACUCCCAAAAAUUCAUUCUCAGUCAGACCCUCCAUUCUAAUUUCUUCUAUAGUUAGACCAAAAUUUCCUUACAAAUCUAUCUGCAAUAUCAAAUCAGUGUAAAACAAUAAUAUGAUUAGGCUGUGAAUGCAGCAGUAUAAAGUAGGUACCUAACUAAUUUAUACAUAAAAGAAACACCCCUGUUUGGCCUACUAAAGUACCUUUCUCUCAUUUUUCUCAAAUAAAAACGUCGCUUUCCCAUGUUUGUUCUAAAAAGAAGAUUGAAUUGAAUAUUUAUCCCAUUAUCCUGCUUUUUGAGGUUUUCAUCUUUAAGUAUACAAUUAAAAGCUGCUUCAACUUGCGUUGCGUGAAUGAUGGGGCUUUGGGAAGGGGAGGCCAGUAGAUGAAGGAUAAAAAGGAAAGAGGAUGAGUAAUCCCCAAUCCUAAAGGUGUUUUAAAGCCAAAAAGUGUAAAUAGUGGACAAGGGUUUCCUUCAUCCAUUGGAGUUCUUUAAGUCAAUAGCUUUACGCAAGCAAAUACAUGCAGACACAACAAGGAUUCAAUAUUUUAGGUUCUGGAAUCAAUUAAGGUGCUCUCUUUUUUUUUUUUUUUCAAAUUUUCUUUCUAAGUGAAAAAUUUCGAAUUCAAGACUCCAAUUAAUGUUGUCGCAACAUAAACUUUCAAUCAUUACUUUUUCUGUAACAUGUGUCCUGUGAAAUAGAUAUUUAUUAAGUUUCGAGGGUCAACUUUCUGCAAAAGGAUAAUUAAAUUGAGCUGGUGCUUAAUACUAAAAGGUCAAUAAAUGUGAGUAUGGACAUGAUAUUCCACACUUACCAAGAAAAAAAAAAGCUUAAUUAUUUUGCUUUUCCUUUUUAAAAGUCGCCUAAUAGGUAUCAAUGGCUCUGUUUGGGUUGUAAAUUAUUUGAGAUAUUUUUACUGUAGCACUUUUUGUGAUGUGAUGUAGCACUUUUUACAAUUUAUAUAGUGUGCACAAACCAUGACAACAGAUAUGUAACGUUGUCAAAUAAAUUAACAUUGUGCUCACCAAUUAACUCCAUAUUACUUAGCAUUAAUAACUUAUCAGAGUCGUGGGACGUCAACCCUCUCAUCUGGAGGGUUUAACAAUAAUUGGUCUUGGCGUUAGAGGAAGGGCCAUUAGCACCAAGAUAUUCAAGUUAAAUACUAGUAAUUAGUUUCCCCUAAAUAGCAUGAACUAGCUAAUAUUUUCAGUGGAGAUCAUGUUACAAAAGCAUCCUUGAUAAUUGGCGUACAUGAUUUUGAAUGUGACAACUUGGCAUAUUUUUGCUACCUUUUUUUCUCCCUUAUCUUUGUUUUCUUGCCCUUUCUCCUUCCAUGUAUCAUGCUAAUCUGAUUCAAAACCUUUUUCUCUCUUUUUUGCAUCUUGUGACAAAGCAACACCAUUAAAGUAGUCACUCACUGGGGUAGGGUGGCAUUCUACUCAUCUUUAGCCCUCUCAUGACGCCCGGAGUAUACAUCAACUAUUGCAUGCAGAACACGUUCGCAAACCUUUGCUUUUGCAAAUAACUAUCUUUUAUGGGUGAUAUACACUUUGCCUCUCUUAUCUGGUUUACUGAUUUUUUAUAUAACAUUCUGUGAUUUCAAAAACUAUAUAUAUAUAUAUAUAUAUAUAUAUAUAUAUAUAUAUAUAUAUAACUUUUUCAUAAUUUGGAUUAAAGUAUCAAAAUGUUGAAAACGAUCUUCUGUAACGAAAUUCAUGAAUGCGUCGAGAUUAUCCUUGUUUAAAAAAUAAAAUCAUUAAAGUGACCAGAAUAGAUAAACGAUAAUAUACCAAAAAAAAAAUUGGAACUGAUUAUAUUUUCAUUAUUUUCUCAUUUUUGGUGGUUAGAUGAUGCUUGCUUUGUGCAUUUCUCUUUUUCUAAAGGCCUGGCUGAUAGGAGGGGGCCCUAUGUCCCUGACCUUCUAGUACAGCAAGAGUCAUCACAAAUGUAAUCAGCAACGUCCAAAUUGUCUUCAACUGCAAAAUUCGAUUGUGUUUCUAGAGUCUUUAAAUUGUAGUGACUUAUGAUAAGAAUCCAGAGAGAUGUACUUUUGGACUGCCCAUGCAACUAGGCUAGCUAGCUUCCAGCCAGAGAAAAAGUACAGAAAAAGAAAAUUUUGUACCUGGGAUUCAGUAAUUAUUGGUACCUCUCCCACGACUCCCCCGGCAGGACGCAAUAAUGUAUCUAAAACUUGGUAAAAGCCUAAAGUAUUGGGAGCUUGCCACCAUAAUGCCUUACGAGAUAGACAGGACAAGCCCUGCCAUUUCUUCCAAUUCGGCUGGAACAUUAGCUGUUGCAUUGCACCUGUAAAGAUUGGAAGUUUCCCCAAAAGGAAAAUGAAAAGGACAUUCUAUCACAGCCAAAUCGCACGUGACAAGAUGCUGCCAGCCUCGUACUC
rnacentral:lncRNA from 1 species